rnacentral:lncRNA from 1 species
UUCAGUUAAUGGGGUAGACGUAAAUGCAGAAAAAUAUCUGUAGCUUCUCGUUGAACACAGAAAGAAAUUGAUGGAGAACACAAUAAUUGAGAAUCAAGAGGACAUAAAACCGCCCAGAGUACUCCACAGAAACUAUCAGAUAAAUGAGCACCGGAAGAUAUCAUUUAUGGAACAUGUAAUACAAAAUACAAAGGGAAAAAGAAAAAAAAAAUAUACUCUUCAUUCUCAAGGCUGUAUUGUAUGAUACAGGCACAGUGGUCGUAAUCCAUAGCGGAAAAGUGAACAAGGCUAUCAUUUCAUAGUCGAAUGGAAGGAUUGAAGAUACAUGGAGAAAACACGCUCAGAUAGAAAGAACACAAAGCAACCUAUAACCAAUUUUCAACUCUAAGAGAAUAAUAAUAGACCCUGGUCAGCUAUUAUGCGUAAUUGACUUGAUCUAUAGUGACAUAUGCCAAUGGCCUGAAUCCAACAGUAGGCAUUUGUAACCAAGCCAAGUAACUAAAUAGCCUAUUGAUGACUUCUGGUGCAAGAAAAAAUAUGGGUAUUCUUUUCAACAUGAAUAUGAGUAACUUUCUCAACAGAGAAGCACCAAGUGAAACAUGGAAGCAUCCAUCUGCGUACCAGGGUAGACAGAGAUAGCAGAUAUAAGAGGACCAUAAACUCCUCCGUCAGGUAUAGCAGUGGUUCCUUUCCCAGCCCAAUAGAAGCGUAUCUCCAGAGUGCCCUUGGUCACAUUGGCAGUAAAAAUUUUCAUGACCUCCUUUCCAACUCCACCUGCUUCAAUCUCAAUGUUGAAAUCUUUCCACACCAAUUUCCCCUGAAAUAGUAUUUCAUCUGAUUCAAGUUGAGUUUCUCCACACUGAACAAGGUAAAACUUUUAGUCUCCAUAGAAUGUGCAAAUUGUGAAAAAAUCAUGAUUUGCAAGUACAAGAUAUUUGGAUAAACUUCCCAACCAUAACAUAUUGAACGCUUUAUGUGCUUUAUAUAUUAGAACCAGCACUCCAUAAUGCUCCGAGUUUACCUGUAUAUAAAUAUUAAAAGCUCGCCUUCCAAGGCUUUUAUAACUUUUGUUUCCUGUGAACAUUAUCUCUGAAAAAUGAAGGGUUACAUUGUAGGGCCCAUCCAUCAGACAAAAACCGUAAUAAGUUAGAGAGAUGGCAGAACGUCGUGCUUCCAUGUAAAGUUGGGCAUUAUUCAUGGACAGUGUGGAUGUGUUUUUAACUUUAUAGCUAACUGCAGCGACAUUGUAAUCGGCGAAGUAACUAGUGCUACUGUAGGCCCAGUAAUCACUCUUGAAGAAACUUGAAGGUGUAGCCUCCUGUGAGUCAUCUUCGUAUGUGGUGCCCCUUACUUCUGCUUUGCUCCCACCGCAAUUUAUGAAGAGGUUAUACCGAGCUGAAUGGAGUAAAGAAGCAGCCACAGAGAAAAUUCAGUUUCUUCUAUUUGUUAAUAUGGAGUGGACUUUCCAGACACACUAAAUAAGCUAGCAUUCACUCAUUGGAAAAUUACAUAGAAACUCCCAAGUUAUGAGCAACCCAUUAUUUCAUGCAGGUAGCUUUUGAAAUUAUUAGGGUAAAUAUGCAUCAACCAUCAAAGAUUGACACAAUAGCCAAGAGGAGAGUUGACAAGGAGAUAAAUUUGAUGAGAAAUUACACAGAGAGUAAGAUGUAAUAUUAGAAUCUGAUGAUAAUGAUAGGAUAUGUUAGAAUAAUUUAAAUAUAAAAUCACGCAUUCUUCUAACAAUUUAAGUUUUUAAAACAGUUGGCUGUAAUCCUAUAAAAUCUCAUAUAGUAUCAAAGCUGGAUUUCAUGAGUUCAAAUCUUUCGAAGCCUAAUUUGCCUCCCUAAUUAAAUAUGUCCACACUUCAUCUAAUAGCUUAAACUUUUAGAACAAUUAGCUACAGUCCCACAAAAUUUCAUAGGAUAUACAGCACGUCAAUUUACAUUUUAUACAACAAUGACUCUGCAGCAUAUUAACUUACUUUUUGCACAACGUUGACUCUGCAAACAUGAGACAAGUCCACUUGUGGCAGAAUAUGAGGUUCUGAGCAAGUCAGCAAAGAUUUUACUGUUAUAAUCAUCAUCAUUCUUAAUGAAGUUCAAUGCUAAGAACAUAAUCAAUAAAAAUGUGGAUCCUUAGAAAUCCAAGUCUCUCGUUGAAAAGUUAAUCGCAAACAUACGCAUUCUCAACCUCAGAGCUUGCGAACAAGUUGCUGUAGAGAAAAGACAAAAUCAACAUUCAGCAGAGAAAUGGAAAUAUUAUACACAAACAGGAUAUAAGUUACUCAAUAAGUGCACAUUUGGGGGGAGCCCUGGACUGACUGAAGGAAGUAGGACAUACACAGAUCCUUCAUGACAUUCUAAGCCUCCAGCAGUGAAUUUGUUGUAUGAUAAAUCACUACACAGAGAAACAGUCAACCAUUUCCAAAAUCUCAUCAAUUUGAAGAAUAAACUGAAAGUCAUUCCAUCCAAUGAUUUUUUUUUUCAAUAAUUCCAUCAAAUGAUUAGUAUGUACAAAAAUGCAGACAAGUUGCAAAAAAUGGACAGGUAAGGCAAGAUGAAAGGUGAAAACAUCACAAUAUGAUGAAAUUGAUAUUUUAUUCCUACUGAAAAUAUCUUAUCUUAGAAUAUGAAAAGGAGAAAGACUAACUGAAGUAAAUGGAGACUUCAAAACUAUUUAUAGUGUAUAAAAACAUUUUUACUCAGUAACAGUACCAGUCAUGAUGUCUAAGGCAAAGAGGCUUAAAUAGAACUGUGAUUCCACCUACUACUACGUCGUGUUGGGGACUAGAGCUUGAGUGUCAAGGACCCAAGCACUGCUUUUAUGUACUCGGGGUCAGGUAUUAGGGCAUUGGGCUUGGGCACCAGGGCUUCGGGCCCAGCCUCGAUGGACUAGGCCCGGGCGCUGAAGACCUAGUCCUGAACGCUGAGGACCAAGAACCAGGCGUUGGGGUUCCCGUGUCCAAGCAAAGAGUUGCGGGUCCAAGCACCAAUACCAACUCAUAGUUUGGAAAAUGUUUUCCCACUUUUUCAAAAGAGGAAAUCAUUUCCUAAAUUUAAACAUAGAUCUUUCAUUGACUCGGAAAACAUUUUCCAUUAAUUCAUUUUCCUAAACAAACCAAACGCUGGAAAAUUGGGAAAAAGUUUUUCGUGAAACAAACAAAGCCAUGACAGAAUGGCAAUAUGUUGCUGUUAAAAGUAGCGUUUAUCAAAUCUUACAGAGAUGACCACAUGAACAAGAAGAAUUGACUUGUAUAGAGAUGCAUUUGAAGCCAUGCUCUCGUUUGAACUAUGAAUGUUAUGUCUGACAAGUGUACAACAGUCAAGCAAAAAACUCCAGCUAGAUAUUGUAGGGCUGAGAUUCGAGAAUGUAAACCACCAGAAGGAAAGUUUCCAGACAAUCAACCAAUAGAAGCCUCCAUUUUGCAUUAAUGCUCUUAAGAAGUUAAGAUAACAUAUCAAAGCAAAAGUAAAUCAGACGAAAUGGGAAACCACAACCAAGGUAAGAAUUCUUGCUGGAAAAGUGAAAACAAAGAGUGUUAGAAUAUUUAAAUAACAAACCACGCUUUCAUCUAAUAGGUUGAGUUUUUAGAACAGUUGACAUUUCCCGUUAAGUGAUUUAUAUGAAUCAUUAAUUUUUCUUUCAUGGAGUUUCUCCGUUAUUCAUAUGGUUCCGUAUUUUAGAAAACAUAAAAAUUAUUAAAGCACAAUGAACGCGCCAAGUACUAUUUUUACCCAAGGCUUUGCUACUUCGGGCCUUUUAACUGAAAUGCAUCAAUCCGAAAUAGUAGUACCUGCUCUCCAAUCCCAAUGGUUAAUGAUGCAUGUAAGUAUGAUGAUAUUGGGCUACGCAGCUCUUUUAUGUGGAUCAUUAUUAUCAGUAGUAGUUCCACAAAUUCUCACAGAGAGAAAAAGUCCAUAUACUUUUGUGCAAAACUGUAUAUUAUACAGCAGAGACCACAAUCACCAAGAGUUUAAAUGCCACAUCAUUCACAAUUCAGCAAUAUCAAUAGAAAAUAUCAAAACACCAUUGAAGUCAGUAAGGGACCUUCAAGCCAUCUUAAAUGGGUUCUUUAACUGCAACCAAUAGUCAACCAAAAACUAGUAGAAGUUUCACUCCUUAAGGGUAAAAUUAUUUAUUCUGCCUGGAAUAGCCAACGGGAAAAGCUGCUUUCUACUCACAAUAUUUUUAGAUUUGUCAUAUUUGCUAGAUAACCAGGUAGCUCUCCCGUGAGAUUGCAGCUCCUCAGAAUCCUAUAAGAAAAUAACACCGAUAUUGUCACAUUGCUAAGACGAUUUGGCUCUUUUGCAUAAAGUAAACUAUCUGUGAAGGAGCAUCGAUCUCACAGUGUUUCAAUAUCUGUACUGUUAAGUUGUGGAACACAAGACUCGGGUCCAUCGAGGUCACUUAUUCUCCUGCAUAUCACAAUCAAAUAGGAGCUUUAUUUGAUUGAUAACAUUUAAAGAAAGAGAGAUCAGAUCGAAAUGCCAAAAUUCCAUACUGACAAGUCGUUCAAUCGCUCCAAAAGUGCGAUCCCAGAGGGAAUUGGCCCUUGCAAUCCGCUUCCUUGGAUAACCCUGAUGAUACAAUUCAUAGAUGGAAUUGUCUUGGGGGUAUAUCUAUAGAGACCGAUUUAAAAGGGGAAGAAGCAUUAAGCCUUACAGUGUUCUGAGAUUUGUCAAGUUCUGAAUAAAAUCGGGUAUCUUUCCCAUGAACUGAUUAUCACCAAGUUGCCUACAGUGCAUUAAACAACAUGAUUUAUAUGAAGGAGAAAGAAUAGAAAUGGCUAAAUUUAGCUGAGUUUGUGGAUACUGGAAACUAACAGGUCAUCCAAUUCCCUUAAGUUAACAAAUGGUUGAGGCAGCUCCCCCGUGAAAUUAUUUGACGUAAGCCACCUGAAACAAGAAAAACCCAUGACAACACGUUGGUUAAUAGAACCUGAAUGCUGUAUCUCUCAACAGAUCACUCCAAUGGAUAAAAUUCCCUCGCCAGAUACAAAAUCAUCAGCGAAUAAAAACUCGAUGCCUAACACAGAAAUUUGCAUCAAGAGACUCACAAUUGUUGUGACCCGGACAAGUUCCCGAGCUCUGGAGGAAGAGGUCCAGAAAGCCAAUUGCUUUCGACGAUUCUGAGCGGAAUAUGAAAGUUAAAAUCUUGAAACACCAAUCAAAUUUAAAACAGCGAAGAGGCCAAAGGCGAGCGUCGGGAUGAGUGGUCACUCACAAAUACCGAAGUGUGGAUAUGUUCCCCAACUCCUUCGGGAUUGGACCAGUCAAUCGGUUUCCGAAUACAGAACUGCACCCACAUCAUCGCGUUUCCCCCAAUCAAACAAUAGAACAUACACUCGUGAGAGAGAGAGAGAGAGAGAGAGAGAGAGAGCAUACAUGUGAACCACGUUCGUAGAGCCCCAUUCUUUAGGAAUUGUGCCGUUCAGGUAGUUGCGGGAGACAAUACUGUUUAUAGAGAGAGAGGAUGAAGAAGAAGAAGAUCGAAAAUGGAGAAAGGGGAAAUGGAGAAAGAGAGUGCUUACAAGUUCUUGAGAAAAGGCAAUCUGAACAAUCGAGGCGGAAGGGUGCCGGCAAGAGAUUGCUCCCGAAGAACUCUGUUUUCGCAACGACACCAAGGCUUUAUUCUAGCUUUGCUUGAAAACUAGGCAUCAAAAUGAUGUUACAAAAUGGCUUUAUUACAUCUAAUUGAUAUGUAUACAUACAUCUCAAUUGAUUCUAAAUUAAAAAAAUCUUCAAAAAUUGCCUAAAAAAAGAAGGUUUGUUUAAAGUAAAUGAAUAUAUAGCUAAUGUGAAAAGCAUGCAUCACUCAAAGUACAGCCCUACCAUGCAUUAAUAUAAAUAACAUAUGUAAUAAGGAGAGAAUAGCAAUAAAAUUUUGACACUACCCUUACGAUUAAAGGUAGAGGGAGUAUAAUCACCGACCGUGGUGGCUCCGCUGGGUAGGCUUCAAACCUUUGAAAGAAGGUCAGGAGUUUGAAGCACAAAAAAAAAAGGUAGAGGGAGUAUAUAACUCUCGUCACUUUGAUAUUUAACCAUGAUCUUUGGGUUUGACAUUCCCAUUAAUCACUAAAAAUAUAAUUUAUAUAAUUAAAUGCCAAGCAUAUAAUAUGCAAUUUUAUUGAUUUAACUUAUAAAAAUUUGUAUAAUCAUACCGUGAAUAAUUAAUAUUAUGCUCAUAAUUACUUCAUGAGUAAUUUUAAUGUAAUAAGUGAUUACAUAUUGUUGCUACAUUUCGACCAAAAAAUCAGCUAAUGUUUUUUUUUUAUGAAAUACUAAUAUGGUGCAAAGGGAUUCAAUUCGGUAGCCUGUCAAUUCUAUAAAGACAAAAGAUUGGUGUGCAACUACGUGAUUGAUAUUAAAGUCUAGCAAGGAAUCUACGAUGGUAUAAUUCAUGAAAUUGAGGGAGAAAGAGACAUGCUGGUGACGUGAGAAAUGGUGUUGUUGUGGGCGUCGGUGGAAUUGCCACAGGUGAUGGCGUUGAUAGUUGUAUAAAUGUCUUUGUCGUCACCCCAUCCACCCUCCACACCGCAUGGAUCUGCAUUGAAAUCUCAAUCCGAUUUCCCUAACAUCUUUGCUAUUUCUUUCAAUGCAUCCACUGAAAGAGGAAAGAGUUGAUGAGUCAAAAGGAACAACUCGUGUGUGCCUGAGGUUGAAUAUAUGUAUGAAAAACAAGCACCAAAAACAAAACAAAAAAAAAAAAACAAAAAAACUUGGUGUACGUUGGAGCCCAAAAGGUAAAAGAACAAUACGAUGAAAGCGAUGAAAGCAAUGAAAGAUCGAUGGGUUUAUUUUUUUUUCACCUUCGUCUUGGGGCAAAAGAGUGGCGACAACAGCUAAGUUAGUGAUGCUGAAAAGGACGAGAAUAUAGAAGAGAUAUCGAGCCGAGAAGAGAAUUGUCGUCAUUUUAGUCUCAAGCUUAACGCAGAGAGAGAGAGAGAGAGAGAGAGAGAGAGAGAUCUCCCGUUCUUUAAUCAGAGUCUGUGAAAACAAAACUUGGCUAAGCGAGGGAGCAAGAGAGAGAUAAUUGUUAAGUGAGCGAUCUAACUUCAUGCAUUUAUGUAUGAAAAAAGGGAGAGUGGAUAAAGACAUUUUGCUAUUAUAUAUUUGACGACUUUAAGUCUUCUUCAAACGUACAAAUAUUCAUCCAGAAUUGAGUUUUGGUUCAACUUUUCUUCAUAAUAACUUUCUUGGAAAGAGAGAGAGAGAGAGAGAUGUGAUUGUUAAUUGAGUGGUCUUCACGAAAAAUAGAGAGAGAGAGAGAGAUGUGAUUGUUAGAGUGGUCUUCACGGAAAACAGCGAAUGGACAAAGACUGAGAGAGAGAGAUGUGAUUGUUAGAGUGGUCUUCACGGAAAACAGAGAAUGGACAAAGACUCUUUGCUUUUGUAUGUCUAGGAUGUGAAAGUGAUGUGUGAGAGUGAGACAGAGAGACAACCCCAAGUCUUUCUUGAUUGUAGCAUAUCUAUCUAGAAUAGAGCUGUCAAGCUUUUGUCCAUCUCUUCUUGCAUAAUAACCUUUUUCAUAUUAUGGGUUUAGCCAAUCCCUCCUUUCAUAUUGUCCUUCCAACGACAGUAGUCUUUUUCAUUGCUCUAAUUUUGGCAGUCGACAAAAUUUUGAUUGUCGACUUAAAAUUAAGUUAUAUAAAAAAAUUAUGGAUUAAUUUUUAGCCUCUAAAUCAAAAAGAAAAAAAAUUCCAUUAAAUUACACAGCAAAGCGCAGGUCAACGCCAAAGGACGAAGGAGGAGAAGGGACCGCCAAGGUAGCCUAAGGACUGGCCAGCACGCGAGAGAUUGGAGGGUGAAGGGUCUCCGCUGAUUGGACUUUUCCGCAGGUCGAGAGCCUAUAAAAAGAGGCCUUUGGACGCUGACCGGGGAGUUCGAAGAGGUUCAAGAUAGAAGGGAAAAAAAAAACAAAGAGAGAGAAAAGAGAAGAAAAAAGGUCCGCCGUGAGAAAUCUAGCGAGUGUCCUCUGGCGACAGACACACUCGAAACCCGGCCGACAACUUACCGAUGUUAGCCUUCUUCCCGAAUUAAAGCCACGGUAGGUCUUGGUUUGAAUCUGGUUUGUUCUUCUUCAGGUGCGUCGCGUCGAGUUCCUGAGGAUUCUGGCUAGGGGGUGCGCGAGGCGACCAGACAUUGUCCGAUCUAUCAAGUUCACCCUCAUUCGCCGCCCCUAAGUUAGUUAGUACCACCAAUGGCCCCUUUUUUUCCCUUGUCAUUUUGAUUUUGUGGCCUGAUUCGGGUUGGCCGGACCGGGCUACCGUUGUCAGUAAGUCCAUGAGCGUUCCCUGGUCGCUUUAGUUUUGAGGAAUCUGGGCUUGUUUUAAUGUGGAGAGUUUGAGUGUGAUUCAGCAUUGAUAAUGGUGGGCUUAGUUCAGCUUGUUGAGUUUGGGUUUAAUUUGGUUGAGUGGGGUUAGAAUUUGUCCUAGGCUUGGCCGAAUUGCGCUUCAAUUGUUGAGCCCAUCCCUUUCUUUAGGCUUUUAUUUAGAGCCUGACUCAAAGGCCCACGAUAGUCCACAUCCUGACCGGGCUCUAAGGCCCUACCCGGAUACGCAUCUUCGGAAUAAAAAAUUAUUAUUAUUUAAAAUAAUUUUAAAUUAAAAAAUUAAAAAAUUUUAUUUUUUUAUUUAUAUAUUUUAAGUUAGGAUAAAGCUUAAUAAUUAGUUUUUGAGUAGUUGUCUCUUAAAAUAUGUGAAAAUCCUUGAUAAAUAGAUUGUGUUUUAUUAGAUUGUUAUUUGCAUAUUUCGAUAGUGCACUUUUCAUAAUCUAUUUCCUUAGCCUAGUUAAGAAUACAUUUCUUGGACUCAUGAAUGCUACAUGAAUACUUUAUUUGGUGAUUGAAUAAGAAUAAGUACCAGAAGGGCAUUAGUUGGUUAAUUAGUGUAAUUAAGUUUCCGACUUUAGAUUAUCUAGUUCAAAGUAAGUAAUCCUCCCAGUACUUUACUUGGAAUCUAAUCGAUCCACCUUAAUUGAUUAAUGUCGUGAUUUGUAUGUUAAAAACUCAAAACAUAAGUUGCGAAUUAGUAUAAGCUUGAGAGAUUGAGCUAGAUUUGAACUUAACAAUCCAUUAGCCAAAUUCUUAGCGGUCCAUCCGAGGAUAGGUCGCAACAAUUUUGCUAUGACCAUAUCUCAGAUUUAGGUUAUUAUACAAUUUGUCGAUGGCGGAGUCCAAAUUCCAUUAUUCUUAGAAACUUCAUUAGUUCAUUCAAGGUUAUGGCUGUGGAGACCCAAUAAUGUGGAGGCCAAUGAAAUACCCUUCAAGCCCUACAAAUCGGCCAAUGAAAUACCCUUCAAGCCCUACAAAUCGGUUAAGUUCAAAUCUUCAGACCUAGACCCAAUAUUAUCUGCACACUAUUGGUGGUAUCAUAUACGUUAAAUAUGAAUAAUGGAAAAAAAAAAAUUAACCUAUUAAAGUGGUUACAAAACAAAAAUAUCAUAUAUGUCAAGUUGGAAUUCUAAUUUAGAUAGACAGAAUAAUAAUAUCUUAGGAUUUUUUAGGACUACAAUUGAAUUGUACGAUCGUGAAAACUAAAAUAUUUGUCAGCAUAGUCUAUCCCAUUCAUUAAUAGGUGCUUGUAAAUUAGCAUAUCUAAGUCUCUGUUGAUGUUGACAAGUGUUUCACCCAUUCAACAUGGAAUUAUUCGAAAUAGAUUUGAUCGAAUUUGGAUUCGGAGCGUGAGGGUUUUGUACUUUGGCUUGCUUUGGCCUAACAUGGCCUCUUUUAUCUCCGUUUCAUGUUAUAAAUCUAGACACCAAUUGCAAAAAAAUCGCGGCACAUAAAACAAAAGUUUAGACUCAGACCAAAUACUAAUGGUUCCAUGGGUGAGGUUGUGCACGAGACUUAGGCAAAACAUCAUCUUCUAUGCAUGUUUAAUCAGGUUAAUGUCGAGUCAUGGAGGGUUAUUUUAAUAUUGUCAACCAACACAAUUAUAUUGGACCCACAAGUUUAGCAGAGCUUUGAAAAUUCCGAGUUAACUUUAAAUGAUGAAUUCUAAGCAUGUAAUUUUGUCAUUUACUGUCAACCCCCGAACUUCGAGCGUUCGAACAUCCCCCAAUGGUCAAUUAAAAUGCAACUUCUCAGAACACGUUGCCAACUUGCCCAUCCGGAAACAGCCUUAGGCUGAAGUUUGAGAGCUGUGUUGGGAUAUACAAAGGAAGAAAACCCUUCCGUUACUCUUCAGCUUAUACACCCAAUCACACUAACCAUCACCACCGUGCCACCGCCAAUCGCCCCUUUGCCACCUGAAUAGUCGAGAUUCUUUUUGUUCAAUAUGGAACUUUCAGAAGUUUGUUUAAUGAAACUUGGAUGUCCCUUUGAAAUUAGUUGGUGAGAUUGAAUACAUGAGAAUUCGCUGGUUGGGUUUUGCGAUGAUGAUUGCUGCUCUUCUAGUCCAAUCAUACCCCGCACGUGUUAAGAGUAAAUAAAUAUAAAUUACACCUUCAACUAACAAUUUAAGCUUUUAAAACAGUUGAUACUUGUUUUACAAAUUUUCUCGUUGUAUCAAAGCUAGAGGUCCUCAGUUCGAAUUUUUCUAGGCCUUGUUUGCUUACCUAAUUAAAUUUCCACACUUAGAUAUUAGGCAAAAAAAUCAGACUAAGACUAAGUGUCACCUCAAGACCUUUAGGAAGAUGUACAAGAGGAGCUGCGGAACAAAAUCGAAAGGUCAAAAAGGACAUUAAUUGUCCUUAAUAAACAAAUAACUUCCUGAUGUACAAGAGGAGUUGUGGAGCAAAAUUGAAAGGGCGAAAAGGACAUUAGCUGUCCUUAAUAAACAAAUUACUUCCUGAUAGGUUAGUUGUCCUUAAUAAACAUAUAACUUCCUAAAGUACAAGAGGAGUUACGGUACAAAAUGGAAAGGUCGAAAAGGAGUUAGUUGUCCUUAAUAAACAAAUAACUUCAUGGUCUAAUAUGCGGUUAUAAAAUUGUCAUAUUAUCUAAUAGGACUAUGCUUAGAGGACGGUACCAUCACUUUCCAUGAAGUGACGGAGCCCUCCUCACCACACAUCCUUAAGUGUAAGAUUUUGGGGAUCGGAAUAUCAAAUUGACAAAUAUGUUGUCAAAAAUGUCAUUGCUGUAGAAUUGCCCUAUCGUAAAAUCGACCAUACAAAUUUUGAGCUUGUAUGAUGUCAACUAAUAUUUUAUGAAAUUUUCAAUUCAUCAAAUUGAUGAAAUCCCUCUGAUCACUCAAUUCCAAACUUAGCAUUAAAUGAUAACAAAUUAAAGACAAAUGAAAAACAGAGGCAAAGCAGAAGAGAGGAACUGGACGUAGAUAAAUAGUGGUGUUGGCAAUGGUAGCUGUAGGCGCCAUGCAUAUGGAGGACGGCGAAAUGGUGGUGGGGCUGGGUUCAAAUGGAGGGAGGGCAAGGCUAUUGGGUGGCGAUGGAUGUUGCGAUGAGGAAGGAGAGGUGGCGAUAGCGGAGACGAUGCUACAACCAACUCUCGCCGAAGCCAACGCCUUUGUGUCAGAGUUAUCCCUCACCCUCGCUAUUGAAGCUUGCAAUCGCUCCGUAUUCGUCGUCCAAUCUCCUUCUCUGGUACAGACUGCAUUAUGGAAAUUCAUUAAGUGCCUUCAGUGGAAGAGAAACUUUUCUUUGAUCAGAGCAAUAAUCUGAGAAAAUGUAUGGAGGAAUACAUAGCAUGGAGGAGACAAUAGCACGUGGGAUAUAUGUGGCUUUACAACAAGGCCAUUUUUGGCAAUUGAUUUUGUCAAUUUGAUAUUCCGAUUCCCAAAAUCUUAUAAUGUAUAGUCAGGAGAGCUCCGUUACUAUGUAGGAAUUGACAAUACUAAUCUCUAAGCAUUUCUUUGUCUAAAAAUACCUAAGUAGAUAUGUUUUUGUGUUGAUCGCUUCUUGUUGAUAAUUUUUUCAAUCAACUUCCCAAAUCUUCUUUUGCGGAUAAUUUUCAAGUUGUGUUGUCAAUGACUUCAUUGGCAAUUUAUUGAUCCCUUCAAAUUGUGGACUGUUUUGUUUUAUUUAUGAUUUCUAUUUUCAACAAACCCCACUCUUAUCUGUUAGAAUAAUAAAAAAAAAUGAUUGUUGAAGAUUUGAGUAAGUUGGUUAUUGAACUCUAGAUUUGGUGCGAGAAGAAGAAGAAGAAGAUUGCACACGGUUUUCAUGUCAGCCUAAUAAGAAAGUCAAAAGAAAAGGGACAACAUAAAUGAAGAGAAGGAGGAGUCGCAAGAAAAAUUGGCCAGUAAAAAUUGUGGGCUUCGUUUGUCCUAUUUCAUUCAUUGCAUGGAUCAAAUAAAGAGGAAAGAAGGCUCCAUGAAGGCCCAUUAAUGCGUGCACAUGUAUGCGUGCCAUGAAAAAUGGAGUGGGCCGUUGCUAUUGCAAAGAUUUGUCUUGCAGGCACCGUUGCUAUUAUUUAAUGUUUGUGUGAUUUCCUUUUAGCUUUGUUGACUUUUGUAGUUUCACUUUAAUGUUAACAGAAGGAGCGUUGAAGAUCUCGUGUGCCAUGUUUAUCUUCAUCUCUAUUGUAAUUUAGUGUUAUGCUAUUAUGUAAGAUGUGUAAGGGGUGUGUUGUAAAAGAGUAGCCACCACAAAGCAUUCUAAGAAUAACUUCUCCCUUUGGUCUUCACUUGUGCCUUAUUCCGAAAUUUUCAAAGUUGCCAUUAAUUUUUUCCUUUUUUAUUCCAACAUCAUUGACUAGUCUAUCUUGUCGAUAAUAAUAAAAAUUCGAUCAUCUUUUGAUGUCAACAAUAAUGAAAAUAUAUGUGUCGAUACAUCUUAACGGGAACUAAAUUAAUAAAACACAUAAAUUAUAUUAUGUUAGUUUGAUUUAUGUCAAUGUCAGUAGGGUAAGUAAUCUUUUGCUCAGUUGUGAUUAAUGAAGAACAGUGAUGGAAUUUUGUGAUCAAAUGCGUCGCUAUCUGCCCCCACCUCCUCAUUUAUUAUUAGAUUAGAUACACACAUUUUACUCAACUUUCUUGAGACGAAAGAGACGGAUGCUAAAACAUUACGUGAAGAGAGAGAGAGAGAGAGAGAGAGAGAGAGAGAGAGAGGAUACAGAGAUCCAAGACUAAAAAUCAGCUGCCACAGUUCCCGUAAAUAAACAUGCAGGGGUUACGAGCAAUCGCCAUACCCACGUCGGAGACUGCAGAGAACGAGACCGAGCUGAGACAAACCGUUUUCUUUGUUCUUUCUCAGUGAAAAGCCACCAGUGUACGUGUUUGCAUGAUCGAGUACCGAGUGUGUGCAGGCAAAUGUUCGUCAAACCAGCGAAAUAAAACAAAAUGAUCAACAAAUCGAUCAUAAUAAAGUAAAUAUGUGAAAAUAUGUCUUCUUCUUCUCCUCCUCUUUCUGAAGUAUGGCGCCUCAGAUGGAUUAGGUCUCUCCAGGCAUGUGCAGUUAAAUUGAUCAUGUUGGACAAGUCUAAGGAGUAAGUUCUUGCAGCCUCUUGAUUGCGCUUGGGUCGCUCCGUGGGCCGAAGGUUAAAAAUAGCUAGGUUAUCGAUACUUCUUUUACUUUUCUUAUCAUUACAUCUUCAAAUGGAAAUCAAACUUGGUAUACACAAACAACCCCGUCAAGAUCCAAGAGAUUCAAACGUACUUAAGAAGCCCUGCAUCAAAAUGACAAAAACCCUUGAAAAGGAAAGGCCAUGGAGUGGGAGAGAGGGAUAAAACCAGCGUUCAAUUGAAACACCCAACGGCCAACUCAUCUCAAUGUGUCACCAUCCGGCACCACAUAAGCAUGUCAUAUCUCAGGCCCCCUCCCAUUCCUAUAUAAUUGGUAUCCAUCCUCACAGGCCUUUCCCACUUGCACUACAGAUCCAUUAUAAUCCACACUGACCAGCACUCGCAGUUUUUUUUUUCUUUUUGGUAAAGGUAAGAAAUCUGACCAGCACUCGCAGUUGUACUUGGCUGGGAGCUAGAAAACGAGACCACCGAGAGAGAGAGAGAGAGAGAGAGAGAGAGAGAGAGAGGGAGAGAGAUGAAAAUGAUGGAGGCGAGGAAGGAUGUGAUAAAUAAUGACUUUGAAGAGAAAGAGAGCAACUGCAUCAACGGGCAAUCGUCCGCGUCCUACCUGGUGUGGAACGACUUGACGGUGUCGGUCCCCGCUGGUUCCAAGAGGAAACUGCUAAACCAGCUCAGCGGGUACGCUCAGAUGGGUCGGAUCUUGGCCGUCAUGGGUCCUUCCGGCUCCGGAAAAUCCACUUUCCUCGACUCAUUAGCAGGUUUCUCCGCUUCUCUCUGCCAACCUCCUCAUUUCGGAACAUUUUCUGGCAACAAUAUAUCCAUUUACUUGGCCUUGUUGUAUUGCAUUUUUAUUUGAGUUAUUAAAAAGUCCACCGCCGGUGAAAUCCGAAUUCCACCUUCGAAGCUCUACGUACGAAACUCCUAGUGAUACCGAUACUGUUACCGAAAGAUCAAGACAACAAGCAUUGCCCAUAUAUGGAAAAUAUAGCAACUUAAUAUAGUCACCAAAAUCAUUAAUAGCAUCGAAAUAAUUGCAAGUGGCUACGAUGAUUACCCUUUCCAUAGCCAGAUCUAGUAGUGUAGAAACGAAAGUGCAGCAAACUGUUUAUUCUCAUAUGAAUUGGGUCUCCCAUGUAUAUUGAUGCUAUUCUCUUUCGAUAUCUAUUAUGUAUAGUUGAACUCACUUUAUUUAAAGAUUAGAAAUAGAAUUACAUAAAAAAAAUAAAAAAAAGAUACGGUUUAUAGAAGUAAAAUAGUGAUGAUAUAAUUAUUUUUGUAACUAAUAAAUUCACUCGAUAUAAAUUCUAAUAGCAUAAUAAAAUUCUUAUAAAAAAAAAUUAAAAGAUGAAUAGUAUUUAAGUGUAACUAGUUCAUAGUUAUAUCAUUUCAUCUGGCUUGAUAUCAAAAUCCUUUGACAUUGAGGCGCAAACAUACUCUACAACGAUUUUGUCUCUCAUUUAUAUUGAUGUUAUUCUUUUUCUUUGUUGAAUUAUGAUAUAUAAUUGAAAUCAUGUCAUUAGAAGAAGAAAAUAAAAUUAGCUCACGAAAAAAAAUUAAGAAGAUACAACUCUUAAAUUUCCGGUAACUAAUAUCAAUAUCACUUGGGAGUUUCCAUAUAUGGUGCACUGAAAGUGGGAUUUGGAUUCCACUAGCAGAGGACAUAGAAUAACUCUGACUUGUUCACCAUGGUUUUAAAAAAGAAAAGAAACUCUUGAUUUGAUCAGCAAGACCACAUUAAUGAUAUCAUGCUAUGAUAACAUAGCGUAUUAUUGUUACACCCAUGUAAGCUUGAGGGUUUUGGCGACAAAAAAAAAGGUUUUUGAGUAUUGAUUUAAUAGUGGUCAUAAUUUACAAUUUUAUUUAGUUGUAUGCCCUUUGUAAGGGACAUGUUUUGUUAAUUUGUAAGAUGUUUGUGAUUUAUGUUAAUGUUCAAAUUAUUGAAAAACCUACAACCAAGUCAAAGAGAAAUGCAACCAUUGGCCACUCUUCCCACAUGGGAAUGGGGAGGUGGGGAGUUCAUAUCCCCACCUUCUCAGGUGGGUUGAGGUGAUGACAAUUUAGCUUCGAGUUUGGGUUUUAACUCUCACUUCCUACAAAGAUGCAGGGCAAAAGUCUAAGAGUGAGAGUUAGAGUAGAAGUAAAGUAAUAUAGACAAAAAAAAAAAAAAAAAUCAAAGACUAGGCACAUGUAUGAAGCAUCAACUACUUUAUUUACUAUUUGAGUCGUAUGUCCGUGAAAGGAGUGCCAAUUCAUCAAAUCGAGAGAUUCUUGAAGGUUAAGACAAGCAAGAUGGCUGUAAUGAUGAAUAAGAAAGUUGGGACUUUUUUUCAUGAUCUAAUCCUCUUAAAAAUCACCACUCCCUAAAAAAUCUCCAACUUUAUAUUUACAUCCUAAUUUUGCCUCGAACUUAAAAAAUUUCUAACUUUCACUUUAGUUUCAAUUCAACUUCACAUCCCAAAAUCACCACUAGUUUUUUUCUCAUGUCAUCAAUAUUUGAGGUUCUUGUCAUUCUGUAUGAAGGUGAGGGUGUGUAAGAAGACGUGAGUUCCGAUUUUAAACCUCUAACUAGCUUUAGUAUUGAAAAUUUCAAAGAAAAUAGUUACUUGUUUUGAACGUGGGAGCAAAUUUGGGACUACGGUGAAAUUUUGUGUGUGUGUGUGUGUGUUUUUUUUUUUUUUUUUUUUUUUUUUUUUUUUUUUUAAUAAAAGAAGUUUGGGCCAUGAUAAUUGGGGGUUUUCUAGAGAAUUAACCUCAUUUUUUUUCGUCAUGUUCUUAUUAUGGCCCAAUUUUUUUAUUUCAUAAGAAAACCACAAAUCAAUGGUACCCCAAUCCAGUAGUUUUUAUCCAAUGACGUUGUCCAAGAUUCGACCACCAUUCCAUGUGUACUUGGCAGAAUCUUAAUGAGGGUCAGAUGUGGGUGCCAAAUGAAAUUGGUAUUUCAUUAUGGGACUGAAAAAAUUUGGACUAAAAUUAGGCCACAAUUUGAAGUUAAUGUCUUUUUAUGAGAUAAAAUAUAUGGAUUAGGGCUUUGAUCCAAAGCCAUUAUUUCUCAAUAUUUUUCUACAAGAGAAGAAAUUGAGUCAACAUUGAGAUUCAAGGUAAAGUUGAUGCACUUCAACAUUGAGAUUCAAGGUAAAGUUGAUGCACUUUAAAAGGAGUUGCGCUUUUUACGGAUCAUGGCCCAGAGACUUUCCUGAAUCCGGGGUUGACCCGUCCACUUUAUCCCUGGGCUUGACAAGACAACUUCAAUUUAAAGGGAUUAUUUGGUUGCUUGUAGUUGAUAUGGGACAAGAAUAGUGUAGAUAGAGAGAAUUAUGGCUUACGCAUUCCAUAUUUUAGGUGCAUAAUUACAUUUACUACAUAAGUACGUAUACACCAAGAAAUACAUGUUUCAACCAGUUAAUAGCCACUUUAGUUAACUACUUACUAUGUUUUGCUUUUUAGCAGGUCGGAUUUCUUCUGACGUCAAAAAAGAGGGAAUUAUUUCCCUAAGUGGGAGGAAGAAGGGGUUCCUAAACCACAAUGAUCUGGUAAGCAUAUCAAAGUCCUUAGGCAUAAAGUUAGCUUUUGCUAUAUAUUAUUUGUCGGGGGCAGAUUUAAUAUAACAAAGUAAAAAAGAUUAAGAGACGAGUAUCUUGACUCUUGCGGAAGAUAAUUCUCUUUUUUUUUUUUCAGGAUUACUAUCAUUAAAAAUUUCGAAGUGGUAUUCCAUGACAUAUCUAUCCCAAAACAGUUUUUGUUUCCCACAAAACCCCAACUAUUCAUUUGAUUAACUAAAAGGAAACUUUAGUGCAGUAAUUCUUAGAUCAUCAUUGGAAAAACAAGAUUGCUUCCAUCAGCUCAAUCCUGGCAAUAGUUUCAGUUUGGCAUACUACUCUGACCAGUGACCUCUAAAAUGGUGCAUCACUAGGCCACUCUUCUGUCAAUUUUGUUUCAUGAAGCAUUCCUUUAGCCUUCAAAAGAUUAAAUCAUAUUUUCAACUUCCUCUAAUUCAAUCUAGUGGUUUAUGUGUAUCACUGGACGAUAUUCUUAUAAUAAAAAUUUGGCCAAAAAAAAAAGUCAAAAAAUUUGGCUGGUUGGGCCAUGUUUCUCCUUUCUAAAAUUUGAGCUUAUAAAUUGACAAAUAAAUUUAUAUCUAACGAUUGACAUUUCAAUCGGGGUCCCAUGCUUGCAUUUAGAUGUGAGAAUAAUUUUAGGAUUGAAUUGGGAAUUAGAGAACUGGAUCGAUCACUGAUUCGGUUCUAGGUUCCAAUGCACCCUAGUCCGGUUCCAUUUUUAGGAAUCGAUGGUUCCCGUGGGAACUGGGAAUUGAGAAUCAAACUGAUAACUGAGAAUCGAGAAAACCCUAAAGAGAGGCUUUUACUUUUUGCUAAUAAGAACUUAGAUGUGCUUAUAGAGGGGUUAUAUUCAUUUUUCUUGCAAUCAAUAACAAUCAAUGUGCAUGAGGUCGUCAGUAGUUGAAAUAAGGGUUACUCCUAGGAAGAGUUAUAAUUCUCUACUAUAGUCACUUAUAAAGUUCUAAUAAAGGAAUUAGACCGAGACUUAACAUAAAAGGUUUUCAAAUAUUAGCAGCUGGAUAAAGCGGCAAUAAUGUCAAAUAUUGCACUAAUUUUCCAAGACCAUUAGAUCUAUUCUAGUUUCAUUUCCUGAAAACAAACAUAUAACAAUUGUGUCUUAUUAUAAUUCAUAUCAUUCUAUGUUGUUCAUAGACUGAAUAAAUUACCCUACAUAGCAUUAUCUAGUGGGAAUAUGCAAUGGCGAGUAUCAUACUAUCACAAAAUUUCACAUGUUAUUCAACAUAUUCAAGGUACUUUUGUCGUGCCCAUUAAAACAAAAUUGGAAUCCAUGGACCUUUUGCUCUAUAAGACCAUAAAUAUGGUGAUUAGUUUGGUCAUGAUCUUCACUGGAUAUUGGCCAAAGCUUAUGUUAACACAUGUUAACAUGUACUUCGAUAAUGUAGAAUUUAAUUUCUCGCUUGGUUUAAUUAUAACACCUUCUACUUAUAUUCUAUUAUUGAUGUGUAUGUGUGAAAUUGACGUAUAUAACAUGUCAAUGGAGGUGGAAGGAUGUGAGGCAAUGAUUUUCAUUACGUGUGAGGGAUGUGGAUGAUUGAUGACUAAAAUUCAAUAACUUAGGUUUCAUGUUAUGUGUUUUGAACUUUUUAUUGUUUAUUUUAUUUUAACGUUCAUCUUUUAUAGAUAAUUUCUAUUGACAAAUGAAAAACGGUCAUUUUUGCUUUUGCAUUCACUAUCAUUUUGCUUCACUAAAACUGCCAAAAGAAAAGAAAAGAAAAGAAAAGAAAAGAAACAAAAAGGAACAUGUUAGANNNNNNNNNNNNNNNNNNNNNNNNNNNNNNNNNNNNNNNNNNNNNNNNNNNNNNNNNNNNNNNNNNNNNNNNNNNNNNNNNNNNNNNNNNNNNNNNNNNNNNNNNNNNNNNNNNNNNNNNNNNNNNNNNNNNNNNNNNNNNNNNNNNNNNNNNNNUCAUUUUGGCAUUUUUUCAGUCCUAUGUGACCCAAGAAAAUCUUUUCUUGGGUACUCUCACUGUCAAAGAGACAAUAGCUUACACAGCUCAUCUGAGGCUUUCUUCCGAAAUGACGAAAGCCGAGAUCGACGAGUUGGUAGAAGCAAACAUAAAGGAGAUGGGACUUGGAGACUGCGCAGAAAACAAGAUUGGUAACUGGCACUUGAGGGGCAUAAGCAGUGGAGAAAAGAAAAGACUCAGCAUCAGUCUUGAAAUGGUCACAGACCCGCUGAUCUUGCUCCUUGAUGAGCCUACCACAGGCUUAGACAGUGCCUCGGCUUUUUCCGUGGCAAGAGCUCUAAGAAAUAUUGCAGAUGAAGAAAGAAUAGUUAUUUGCUCAAUCCACCAGCCCAGCAGUGAAGUUUUCGAUCUUUUUGAUGAUUUACUCCUUCUGUCGAGUGGAGAAACUGUGUUUCUAGGAGAAGCCAAAAUGGCCAUUGAGGUAAUAAAGAGUCAACACUUCAUUCUUACUCAGACAUUUUGGCUGUGCAGAAGCAAGAUAAUGUAAUUUUAAGUCCUGGUGCAGUUCUUUGCAGAUGCUGGAUUUGCUUGUCCGAGGAGGAGAAAUCCCGCUGAUCACUUUCUACGGUGCAUUAGCUUGGACUUCGAUUCUGUAACUGCUACUAUUGCUUUCUAAUAGAAACUAUGUUGAGUUUUAAAUCGAGCACUUCUAUACUCUGCAUCAGUUCUUGUGAUAUGUAAAGUGACUUCCGAAUAUAAUUAUCAAGGCUUGCUAUUUUAUCUUGCAGCAACUCCAGCAUCAUCUGGUUUUUCAUGAACAUGAAACAGCAGAGAUUAAAGCCACACUCAUCCAAAGUUACAAUCCUCAAGUAUUCAUGCAAGUUAGGAAAAAAAUNNNNNNNNNNNNNNNNNNNNNNNNNNNNNNNNNNNNNNNNNNNNNNNNNNNNNNNNNNNNNNNNNNNNNNNNNNNNNNNNNNNNNNNNNNNNNNNNNNNNGAAAUUGCAGCUACUGUAAGCACUCCAACUCAGAAGAAAUAAAAAUCAAGAUAAUGCUUGUGCAGUCAUUUUUCCUGUCUUUCCUGCUUACCAUAGUUAAUGAACAAUGUCUCCAACUGUGAUUUUUGAAACUAAUGGAGUUACAUCUAUAUUGAAGUAGCAAUUUCCAUAACUGAUGUUGUCAAAAUUGAAUCUCCUGUUGAAUGCUGAAGGAUUAUCAGGUCUGCGAGUUGAAUAAGAAUACUAAUUCCAGCAAGUGGAAGCAGCUCAGGGUUUUGACUCAUCGGUCCUUCAUCAACAUGUAUAGGGACAUUGGAUACUCCUGGUUGAGGAUCAUGCUCUACAUUUUAUCAUCAAUAAGUGCUGGAACUCUAUAUUUUGACAUCGGAUACGACAAUGGGGCAAUUAUCAACAGAGGAAAGUUUGUUUCAUUCCUCUUCGGCCUCAUGGUAUGUUUGUCUUGUGGUGGUGUCCCUUUCUUCAAUGAAGAACUGAAGGUAUAGCAAAGGAUCAAGGCUGAUCGAUUUUCAGCUAUUAUAUAUCACCAGUAUCUUCUUACUUGAGGUGAUAUUAGAAUGAUUUGUUGUUAGGACUAGAACUAAGUUUCCUCUGCAGGACAGACAAGCUCCACCACGAUAGGUGUGAAGUUGCAUGUUGAAGCCUAAGACACUGUAAAUAACACAAAUCUAACUAAAGAACUUUUAGUUGAUGGCCUACUCCAACUCAUAGUCACAGAGGAAUGUGAGUAUUGCACAAUCAAUUGGAGAGAUUAAAGCUAAAUCAACUAACUUUUUUCAAGGGAUGCUUAAGAUUAUUCAUAUGGGAUCAAUCUCAUCAUCAAAGCAAGAAUAUACAUUAAUUACAUAAAAAAGGAGAAAUCUCGACAGCGUAUGACAUCCUUUUCUUGUGUAUCUCAGGUUUUUUAUGCCGAGAGACUCAAUGGACAUUAUGGCGAGACCCUGUUUGUGCCUGCGAAUUUCCUUUCUUCGCUCCCUUUCUCGGUGGCGAAUUCUCUGCUUUCAGGAACAACGAUAUUCUACAUGGUGAAGCUUCAUCCAGGACUCUCUCACUAUGGUUAUUUCUGCAUUAACUUCUUCUGCUGCACCACCAUUAUUGAGAGUUGCAUGAUGGUUGUGAACUCAUUUGUCCCCAACGCCUCGAUGGCUGUAGUAAUUGGAAUUAGUGUCAACGUAAGCAAAUUUUCUCUCUUAAACUUCCCUUAAAUUACGUUGUCAUUCAUAGCUAAUUUUUGUGGAUUCAGGUUCUAAUGAUGAUGGCAUCACAGAUCUUUAGACUUCUUGCUGAUCUUCCCAAGUUCUUUUGGCGGUACCCCAUGUCCUACAUCAGUUUUGCCAAGUGGGCAGUUGAGGUAGUUAGUAUAUAGUGAUUAGCUAUUUUUUUCCUAAAUCAAGCUUGAAAAUUUAUCAACAUAGUUAUGCAUAGAGCCAUGACAUGGAAGACAUUUAUCUUCAGUUUCAAUAAUAUCGUCUGCCUAGUAAAACAAAACCAGGAGCAUGCGCUACUACUUGCAUUGCAUAUUUAAACUCAUUGAAGUUAAAAUUCUCAUCUUCCGCCUAAGGUACAUUUAUGAGAAGGAAAUCUCAAACAACAUAAAUUAAGUAAGAUGCCUUUUAUUUUGAUGUGAAGAAAUGGGUUGAAUGGUCAGACAAUCCCGCCACUCCCUUCUUCCUUUUCGGAUCGUUGACCUGCUCUUCCAUAUGCUAGAGGUUAGGUUAACCGAUGUAAUAAUGUAAUACUAUGAAAAUUCUGUUAUCAAUCUCUUUCAUAGAUUGAUCAAAACACCACCAGGCUUCACCACAUGUUUCACUCCGUCUCUUUACUCAAGCUAGAGCUUCAGAUAAUCAAGGCUUCUCAGAAGUAGUUCUGCGACUAGCCAUGGCAGUCAACAAUACAAGCAUAUGAUUUGGAUCAGUGACUUCGAGUUCUCCCAAAUAUCUCAUGAAUUACAAGUCACUCAUACAAAUCAUUCACACGCCUUGCAGGGUCAAUACAAGAAUGUCAUGACCGGUCUUGAGUUUGAUUCAGCAGAGCCAGGAGAACCACAACUGAAAGGCGAGAUGAUCCUCAAAACAACUUUCGGCAUAUCACUGGAUCAUUCCAAGUGGUGGGAUGUAGCUGUGCUUCUGUUUCAACUGUUUGUUUACAAAGUACUGCUCUUGUUAGUGCUUAGGUACAAGAAGAGAAUAGCGCCCCAGUUAUGGUUGUCGUCACAAGAGUUACUCAGGGUGUCUUGACAGAUGAUUUCGGUGCCAAAUAGCAGCUAGCAUCCCUUAUGUUUCCAGAACAUACUUACUUUAUCGGCAACUAAUGCACCAUGGUUAUGUAAACGAUGCAUAUAUCUCUAGUUGUCGCAAGUUCUAAAUGCAAUUCAACUUUUUCACUUCAAUGUUAUGACUAAUUUGAUAUUGGUAUACGUAAUGUGACAAAAUUUAGACCUAAUGCUCGGCCUGAGGUCCACCCCUUCCUCUUUGUAAUUAAUGUAGAUUAUAAACCUCUUACAAAGCACAAAAAUUGGACAUACGGCAUUGGACAGACGGCCCGUUUAGUGCCUCUCUCUCUCUCUCUCUCUCUCUCUCUCUCUCUCUCUCCUACAAGCUACUGCGAGAUUCGAUCUAGUGGAUAAUAAAGUACAUUGAUUACAAGCAAAACAUAUGUCACGCAAUGAGUUACAACUUAUAUUGAAAAUAAAGAUUAAGCAAUUCAAGGGUUGUACAAGAGUCAGAUAUAGCUUGCACUCAUUUCCAAAAGCGAAAGGGCCAAAUAUGUAAAAGCCAAGAAAGUGUACUUGUCCUCGAAUGCCCAACUUUUGAGGCGCCCAGGAUAAACAAAAUCAUCGUGACUUUAAGAUGCUUUGCAAGAAAAACCGGUAUCCUCAUCCUUCCUACUUAUUUCUUCUGUUUUUUCCGCACAGCAUUAUUGCCAUUGCGUGCUCUGGAAGCUUUAUGAUUUCUCAUUGAGGUUUCCAUGCUCAUGCUACCUUUUAGUUCCAUCUUUCUCUUUUCCCCGCUUUUAAGUUUGUGAAAGGUCCUCUUCCUUUUCUUUACAGAUUCGUUGGAUUGAAUCUUAGAAAAUUUCCCAGAAGCCAAAUCACCAUUCUUUUUAGAACCUUCUAAUCUGCCAUCAGCAGUAAGAGAAGUUUCAUAUUCUCCUGAGUGGGGGGAGCCAUCUUUGUUCUUCAAUCUCCUUUUCUAUCCUCGUUCCCCGACAUCUUUCCGAUUUGCGGAAGCUUCCUUGUUCUCUAUCCUGCCUUCAUUUGAGGUUUUGUUUCACUGAUUCUAAAAGGUCAAACAUGCGAUCAUUUUACAAAACAAUAUUACGACCUCCAGAAAUCAUGCACUGCUAAAUAAUAUUUCUGUAGGAUACACAUCCAAGCGUUGUUGAAUUCAUUACCUCCAUAACUGUCUUAAGAAAACCCUUGUACUUUUCUGGGGUAACAAGCUGAACAGCAGCAAAACCACACUUCCUAGUCAUUAUCUCAAGAAUGACCGUGACCUGCAAAAAAGAGGCCCUUGGAAGGAUGUGUGCAUGGAAUUAUCACAAAAAAACUCAGCAAACUCCCAGUAAAUUUCACAUGCCUUUGAUCUGAAGUGAUGCCUGGAGACAGAUGACCAUGAAAUAACACCAUCAACAAUGUCUGAAAGUAAACUCUGAAGGUCUUCAUUCCGUAAGCAAGACACUACUACUUUCACAAAACCUAGAACAGCCUGCAAAAUGUGUACGAAGUAACUCUCAAGCCAUGCCAAUUGGGGCAAGAAUCUACUUUGGUAAUGGUAUACUCACUUUUAUCACUUCCACCGCUUUGCUUUGUAGCAGAGAAAGAACAGAAGGAAUAAGAUCAGGAAUUGAUAGACAGAUAUCUGUAUCCUUGUAAACUAGUACGGACAAUGCAGAAACAGCUCCACUUGUAAUUUGAGGUGAUGAACCAGAAAGAUAGCCCACUAUCUGAAAGCACGUUAUUUAGAAUAAAAAAACUAUUACUUGAAUAAAAUUACAAUCCCGAGUAUUGCAAUUGUCCAGUAAUAAAUCACUGUUAAGAACUACAAGCAGAAAGGAAAAUUGCAGAUUAGGUUAGACAAUUUCUACAUAAGUAUGCUCUCCCGAUCAUCUGACAGAAAGUCCUGUAAGCAAAUAAAAUUCCCCGAUGUUCACAAGACACUUAAAGUGUUCAUCUGUGCAGUGCAUAUAAAACUUCUUUGGGCAACCAUUUACACGAGGAACCCAAGCUUUAAUAAUAACACAUGAGAAAGGGACUCCACUACCCCUUGAUUAACCAAUUUGGCUUCUUAAAAUUUCUCAACUUUUCAUCGGAUGAAACAAAUGCAAAAUUUCGAUUGAAUAGCCUUAGGGGCCAACAAGGCAUCCACAAGAUACAGACCACAUGAUUUUAAAUUUUGCCACUUGUAUUUCGGUUCUUCGUUUUUCUACUGGUUAGAGGGCAUUAAUCAUCUUCUCCUCUGGCUGCAACUGCAAAGCCUAAUCCCUUGGCAGAAGCAGCUAGACAUGAAUAAAUGAAGGAAUAUGCCGUGACUCAACCAUACUGCAGCCAUGAAAUUAGCUUUAUUCUUUUAGAAGAGAAAUAUGUUUUAAGGCCUCUGAAUCAAUUCGUAGCCAUACCAGGCUUACAAUCUUCAAAUACAAUGCACAUACUUAUAAAGAUUUUAACCAAUACCAGGAAGCAGUAUACACAAGACCAUGAGGACUUCAGUCCACUGUUUCCCAAUUUUGCAGGAACAACAACAUGGCCAAAGAAGAGGAAUUUAAAUAAACUACAUUCUCCUUCAACUUUUCCCCCAUCUAUGGAUGUUACGUGAGGCAGAGCAGAAACCCAAUUAUUUACAACACGAAAGCCCCUCCAGAUGACAAUUUACAUAGGAUCAACCAUUGUAAAAUACGUACUUCAGACAAGAUAGAAGGAACUGCUUCAACCUCUUCCAUUGUUGUUACUUUCAACUCCCUAUGCCUCAUGUACCCAUUCUUUUAAAGUUCUAUUUUUGUUUUCCUUGCAUGUUCCUGAUGUUCUAGAAUGUAUGUAGUAUCAAACAUGUCUUAAAAUAUAAGCAGUAAUUUCCACCAAAGCUACACAAAUAUGUCCCAUAAUGAAGAAUACCGUACCAUGUUAAUCAGUUUCUGACAAGGUGCAACUGAACUAACAGGCGAAAUGCUUCUCAAGCUGGAACAUAUGUUGAUGAGAACAUCAUAAGCUUCCUUCCUAGAUUCCUCCUUAGCCUGCAAAUUUCAUGUCACAACAGUGAUUAGUGCUGAAAGUAGAUCAUCACCCCCACACUGUAAAGGAGGUUCUUACAUCCUUUAAGACAAGUAUAAUCUCAUUGAGGAUGAAAAAAGCUUUUGAAUCUUCUUUCUCCUCCUCCUCCUCCUCCUCCUCCUGCUGCUCCUCCACAGAGUUUAUCUGCAUGAAGAAUCAACUUGACAUGUCAAAUAGAACAGCAUAUGACAUCAACAAUAGACGUGCUUAUAUUACUUAAUUUUGAGCUACAAUUGCAAAUGCACCAUAACCAAAAACUUAAGAAUCCGUUUGCAAGAAGUACAUAUAUGAUUCCUUCCAUGUUGAGACACAGCCCAAAAGAAAAAAGAAGUUUUUGGCCUUAAAAGCGGAAAAGCCAUUCAUGGCAUUCAAUAUUAUUUUAACGAAUUAAAGGGAAGAUGGGUGAAUGAUGAUAGUAGGAUCAGGUUAUUAGAAAUUUAAAAAAUUGUGAGAUUGGCGAAAACUGAUCUGUUAGGUUCUUUAAGCAAAAUACCACUUAUAUAAUCAUUUUUAAUUUUUUUAAUUUCCACAAAGUUCAAUAAAAAACAAAAGGGUGAUGAAAUACUCCAUGCUUAGCUCUGUACAAGAACCUGUUAGCCAUCCAUACAUUAGGAGUUUGGAAAAGUGAAAAGUUUAAGAGUCUUCAUAUUCACAAAUACAGGCGUUACACCUGCUGUGAGGAUGAAAUUCGAAUUUCCUCUAGGAAGGGAAAGGCCUGCUCUUAGAUCAAGUCUUAAUGUCAAAUUUCCAAAGGCAAACUUCAACUGAAGGAGAUCCAUUAAACAUUUUAAGAAAUUCCUUAGAGAUGGAGGGAAUUGCCCAAGUAGGAGACCAUGCGAAUAUAUUGUGGGGCCAGAACAAAAAAUGGAAUAGUAUUUAAUUUAAGGAUUGUGAUAUAGCUGCUCACCUGCAGCAUACAAUCUAGGCAACAGAAAUAGAACAAAAGCCAAACUCAAAGAACUGCUAAAAUAACUGUUCUAGCACAUCAAGAAUAUAAAACCAUGAAACACGAGGAGAAAUUUAUUAUGAAGAACAAAUGCAAUUUCUUCUUGAAUAAAUGUUGUAUACUUUGCUUUUCGGUGGGACUAAUCUUGAGCUGUUUUCACAACACAGGAUUAAGACAUUUCUUAAAGGCUCAUUGCACUCUUAUUCCAAGACAACCAGCCCAGGACACAGCUCAUAUUCAGUUUAUGAAAAGAACAAGAAAUGGCUUCUAUUUACGUCAAAACGUGAUAUAUACACCAAAAAUGAAGGACAUAAAAUUCUGCACUUUUUUCACAAGAAUAGUAGACACCAAACAUACAAAAGAAAACAAGUACUGCAUUGCCACAAGAAACAUUCUGACCUUUAAUGCAUGAACUAUCAGAACAUGGAAACAGGCAAAGCGGCUUCUCAGAGUUGCAAUAUCAGAUGGAGUCCUUAGGCCAAUUAGUAAAUCAAUCAACUGCGAAUAUUGAGAUGAACAAAACCAGGGAUGCACCUGCAUAAUAGAAAUGACAGAAAAACAAUCACUUCCAGUAAGAAUAUGUCUUGAAUGGAGAUACCACACAAACAUACCUCCAAAAUUUUGCUCAAAGCAUUAUAGGCUUCAGCAUGGCCAUGGUCAUUGCUUUCCUUGUGGAAGAAAAUUCAUGAAUGAUUUAGGCUAUAGAAAUCACUAAACUCAUCCAUUAAGUCAAGAAAACAAAGCUACUAUUCUUAAAGUCAAUGCACACCUGAAAAGUGUCCUACUAUUUUUUUUUUUUUUUUUCUGAGGGUUGUGAGGACCUUGCAUAGAACAUGACAGGAGUGGAUUUAUUAUUGGAUGCAUCCUCAUGAUGUUACUGUACUUGCAUAGAACAUGACAGAUGACAAAAUGUCAUCAAGAAGAGGAAACAGCAGUGCCCAAUUUCCAUAACAUGGUAGCUCAAAAUUUUGCUAGCAGAAUAUAGAAUCUAUGCAUACGGACGCAACCUAGUAAUCUCUGCAAUUGCUAACAGUAGAAAAAAGUUCUGGAUGCUCACAAAUAGAAUUGGUCUGUCGAUAAUCAAACAUCUGUUACAAUAAAUUGUCAAAUGUGACCUAAAGGACCCCUCCUUUAUCAAGUGUUUCAUCAGCAGUCAAGUGUAUAUGCGUAUGUGAACAUAUAUGAAUCUGUCAUUUUAAUCAUUAAUAUAGCUUGCUAACAAUUCUAUCCACAAGCAUUCUAUCUCCAUUGCCUUUUAGCAUUUACAUCAAUGGCAUGCUCAUUUCCUAGUUCUUUGUCCGUUGAUGCAUCCAUUUCAUCUCUUCCCCUCUCGAACUCAUCUCUCUUAUUUAGAAUGCCAAAUCUUUUGAGAAAUGACAAAAAUAUCUCUGGUUGCAGAAGAAUCCGUGAUAGAAGCUAAGCAACCAAUAGGAUCCUGAGAAAUUAAAACUGAGCAUGAUAAUCUAACUCAUAUAAUGUAUGUCAAUUACUAACCAAUGGGAAAAGUAAAAGGUAAUCCGUGAGCAUUGACUGAAUAUAUAUCUCAGAGUUAAAGUUCUUUAAGACGGCUACUCAAUACAGCUUCCUUUUGCUAAUUCAAUGCAAUCCACAGGACUCAAUCCUCUCUUUCAAAAAAUUCAUUCGCAAAAUUAUUGAACUCUUUAUAGCGCCCAGAAGUUUGAUCCAAUUAACAAAGCAUCCACAAAGUUCUAUAACUCACAUGCAUGACGAUCCCUUCCACAAUGACCAACCUAAUCAAUCUGACGGAAUCUAGUACUUCAAAGUAUUUUGGUGUUCUAUGGUGAGUUCAGGGAGGGUAGACACUUGGUACACAACAUUGAUGCCACUUCACUUCUCAUAGCUUUAAUUCUUUUUAACUUUUCCUUUGAGGUUUUCUAAUAACAAGUACGCAAUCCAUUGUUUCAAUGCCAACCCAACCUCACAUAACUUUGACCUUUUUUUUUCCUUUUUUUUUUUUUUGGUCCAUUUCUAAAGAAUAAUUUGUUGUCAGUAAGAAUAUAAUAAAAAAACCAUAAAAAUUCUAGCUUAUGCAUGGCUAUCAUGCUUCUAACAUAUUUUUUUUUUGGUAAAUGGUAAUAAUAUAUUGAGCUUUAAACCAACAAUAUACACAAGAUCCGGCGCCACAAAACUUAUCUAACAUAUGUUUUUUUUUUUUUGUGAAAGUAAGUGAUAUAUUAGGAAAAAGUCAAACUGUACAACCCAUCGGCUUCAAAAACUUACACUCAAGAUGGACAUGCCCAUUAUGAGUGGAAGGAAGCUGAGGAAAAAACCAAGGGGCAGCCGAGAACGGCCAAAAAACUUAUCUAACAUAUGUUUCUACCACACAAAAGCAAUACCAUUAUUUUCCUUCACCAUUUUACAUUAAAAUAUAAAAUUACAACCAACAAAUAUAGAAAAAUAACUAAUCAAGUAAAAUAAUAUUAUCUAAUCCAAAUUUUAAUGAUAUGAACUUGUUUUUGUGCAUGUUAACACAAAUUUCAACUUGCUUAUAAUAUUUUACAAAUUUAAAAGAAAAGGACAUGAAAAAGUUCAAGUUGAAUCUUAAAUUGACAGUCAAAAUUAUAUUUUCUCAAAUCAGUUCAACUAUAGCUUCCUGAAGUGACAGGACCACAUGUCCUAUAGAAUCACCCUAAUUUAUCAUGCCAAAAAAAGUUGCAUUAGCCUCUUUAUACCAACCAAACUUACUUUCAAUAGUCAUGGAAUGUUGCAUUAUUUCAAAGCUACUCGGCCGAUUCUCCACCUAAUGCUUUUCUCCAUAUAUAUAAUUUUUCAUCUGAAGAUUCGAUAUUGUCAAUGACAUGAGAAAAGGAAAGACGAUCAUGCCAAGUAGAGGAUUCCAAGUAAGUUGUAUAAUUUUAGGAUCACUGCAUCUUGAAUUCACACUUCAUUCUAGGAGUCAAAGGUAUAUAACUAUUCCGACAGUGAAGGUUUUUUUUUUUUUUUUUUGGUGAACGGUAAUUGUAUUAAGCUUAGCCAAAAUGUACAAGCAAAUGGCAUCAGAGCUUACACUCAAAACAAACAUGGCAUAAUGAGUGGAAGGGUGCCGAAAUAAAGGAAAAGCCAACAAGGCAAAAGCUAGAAGGUGCAGUCAGCACAACGACAGCCACAUCCUAAAGAAUGACCAAAACAAAAGAAGGUUACCAGCUAGCAAAACAAUGGCAACCCAAGUCCAAAACCCAACACAAAAACAAUAGAGCCCAGCACGGCAACCAAGAACAAGGCAGGACGCAGCCAGGAGAAGAGAAGAAUCCCAUGCGGCAGACACUCCGCAGUAGGACUCCUAAGGAACCACCGAGGAUGAAUGAAAGAUGCAAGGGUCAAUCCCCCAGCUACAUUGAAGUCUUCUGUUUCAUGGAUUGUCCUCCACAUUUGUAAAAGUCAAGGCCUUAUCCUUGACCACCUUAAUGAGGUGAUUCUUCACUGCCUGGACCGUGAAGGUAAGGUUCCUGGAAAGGAUCUCAUUCCUAUAAUUCCAACAGUGAAGGUUUUUCUCUUAAUUUUCUGAUUUUUCAAAGGGUGCUGUUGUCUGGUGGGGCACACUUGGGAACUAUUCUCUCAUGCAAAGCAGGGAUGGAACAAUACUUUUCCCAUAGGGCAGGGAAUGGGAACAAAAUUCCUGGCCUGCUCCUCCCAAUGGCAGCCACUAGUGCGUGCAAUUCAAAAAGUGCCUUGAAUGAUGCAAUUGGAAGUAUUAAUUGUACUUAAGGAAAAUUUACACGUCAAAAGGGCUGGAGGGAGGCCUAAAAACACAACAGAAACUUCUAGCUAGAAUCCCAAAAUGUUUUAAGCUUCCAUAGGAUAUCAAAUAGCACAUAAUGACCUAAUAUAUGUCCAUGUAGCCAACCCCAUCUACGUGAACUGACUCCACAAUACUUUCUGCAGCACUUAUAAGAAUGAUGCGCCCACACUAGGAAGGAGAUUAGGCAGGUCUGAAUCUGACCAACCCAACAAUCAAAUUUAGCAUGUCAACUGCCUCAUACUAAACAGAAACCUUCGAAUUCCUCUCUACUUCUUCCAGCAAUUAACAUUGACAGAAAGAGCUCCUACUAGUUAUACUACUUUCAAUCUGGACAGGACUGAGGAGGAAGAUGGAGCUUGGAUUAUCAUAGAGUAUUAGUAUCCUAUUAUUAUCUUAUAGUGCACUGAGUCCUAUUAGCAUCUUUGAGAUGAGGCAUAUGCCUAAAAAAUUGGAGAAAAAGUUCAGACAACCAAAGUAAGUGGAAAAUUAUGAAUAUGAAAGGGGAGAGGAGAAAACAAUUGUGCAAUAACUAGUAAGAAAUUUAGUAUAGAGCCAAAAAAGACUUUAGUGAUUGAGGGAGAACCUUCAAGUAUGACCUUGUCGCAGGAAUGGAAUCGACAAAUAAGUCCAAUAAAAGUUGAAGCAACUCAGUAGAGCAUGAACUUAAAAGCCUUGAUAUUUCUGCUUGCAGUUUUCUUCGAGUAAAUCGGUAGAGUUUGCAAUUCUAAUCCGGAUGCUUGCACAUUACAGGUGUCUAAAUCUUUAACUACUCUAGAGCUGAGUACACUUGUAUUCUGAUUCACAAGGAUCUGCAGAAUUAGAACAGUACUAUCAGGAGAUAUGAAAAUGGUAUAACAACCUCUUCCCAGCUAAAGAACAAGUGUGAGCCAAAUGUCACCAAUGUGGCAAGAAGAUCACCUUUAAAGCAAGAGCCACACUUUCAUGCAUAAAAGAAUAUUUUUAAAGAAAAUCAGUCAAUAAUACUGCCAAACAUCUAAACUGUUUGUCUGUAUCACUUGAACCCCGGCAAAAGGCUGGUAACAGUUUCCAAAGGUCAUGAGCAUGACCCAGCAGCUCCUUACCAAGCACUGAUUUCUUAACUGGAGAAAAGAUAAACAGAAGCACAAUCACAUCCCCGAUGUCACUAAAAUGUUAAUGAUGAACUGAACAAAACUCAAAUCAAGUAAUGCUGAUUAAGGACUCCACUACAUACAUGAACAAUCGGCAUUCAACCAAAGCUCACACUAAAAAAUAUGCAUCAAGGAAGGAAAAGUUAAUGUCACAGAGGCAGAUGAAAGAAUAAAAUUGCAUAAACAACAAUAUUUUGCUCCCCAGACCUGUCCCUCCUAUCAAAUAUCUACAGAACGCAAAAAAACAUACCUUGAGAUGAACAAUUGCGAUAAGAAAAUAUUUAUAUGCAUAAUUCAAUGGGUAUCAUAAGCCAAGUAAGGAGAGGUCAACGCUUUGGGAUGGUAUCUAUCAAAUGGGAUCAACAUAUAUAAUAAUAAAAAAAAAAUCAAGAAGUUGACAGUUCUGUUAUAACGUUUCAGGCAAGCUUUCAGCACAGCUUACAAGCAGGUUGAAUUACCCAGCUUGAUAAGUCUAUGGAGACUCUUAUUGAAGACUAAAGCUCCUUCUAGCAUAGCUUGUGAACAUGCAAAAAUGAUCUCUCGUGAUGAUGAUCUCUUGCGAGGAGUUUAUGAUGGACAAAAAAGUUUUUGUAUUGAGUUUUGGUUAAACGCACGAAACUUUGUGCACUUAUUCCUUAUAAAAUGUGUCUCCUGUCAAAGAACAUUUAGUGGUGCCUUUGCAAAAAGCAGGACUUUUACCCUGCUUAAACUGAUUUGAAUCUGAAUACGGAUUUAAAGAUGGAGAUUCUAGGUUGCUUUUAAUUGAUAACUCAUAAGUUAUGCACAACCAGUGGUGAAUCUGUGCCAAACAGCCAAGGAUCUCCACACUUAUUAUGACGUCAAAUAUGAUAUCUGAAAAAUGAAAAUCACGGAAACAAAAGUCAUGUAGAAUGAUGACAUACCUCCAGAACUAGCACGCUUGAAAGAUUUUGCGAGGGGCACAAUAUAAUCCAUGUAAUACUCAAGUGAUGAACCAACCACAUAAUCUCUUAGAAUGGGCACCAACCAAACAUUACUAGAACUAAAAUUGUCAGGAUGCAGUGAAAUAGGCACAACAGAAAGCAUCUUUUCUGGGCCCAUAGCAAUUACAGCAGAACCAAUACAUCUCUGAAGCUGUGAAUCACAGUAAAUUAAACAAUGAUGAGUUACCAUUCAAACAAUCUUCAAACUACACAAGUAUUACUUUUAUAAAGCUAGACAGUCAAUUAUUUGUUUCAUCAGAUAAUGGCAAAGUACUAUGCUCAAAGCUCUGUUAACUUGUCAUCUACCCAAUUUAGUAAAAGAAACUUUUGUUAAUCCUUAUAUGUAAGUAAAAAAAAAAAAAACCUGCUGUUAACGCUCCAAUCAACAAUUCAAUCUAGCUCUAACAAAAUUCAUGACGACAAGCCGAUUUGGAGUUUGCUAUGAACCCCAUCUUCUUCUUUGCACACUUCAACAGGAUAAACAUAUGAAGCAAAGAUGACUUGAAAAAUCAAAUUUUGGAGAGCAAGAUCAAGUAAUAGCCUUUACAUCAUUCUCUUGAAAAUCAAUUUCGAGAUCAAGACAAAUCAAUUCCCUUUAAAUCAUUCUCUUUUUCCUUUAUACAUAAAAUUAAAUCAAUAACAAAGGGGGUGCAAACCCAAGUACCAAAGGAGAUCAAGAACCAAAAAAAAAGCUCAAUUCAUCGAUAAUGACAAUAAAUGCAUCUACAUCGACAUGCAUUAUUUCAAGUCGCAUUUCCACUUCCAUAAGAACAUUGACAAAAAACAAGGACAAAAAAAAGUCUUUUAAUUGAGAAAUCUGCUCAAAAUAACGACAGGAAUAGUAAUUCAAGAAAUGAUUAGAGCAUGAACCCUACUUAUUAAAAUCAGCAAAAACAAAAUCAAGAGAAGAUUAAGAUAUUUGAAUUGUCCCUUAUUCCAUUCUUUUCCAAACUCACCAUUUAAGGCAAAGAGUAGGAGCAUUUUGGGCUGAUUUGAAAUGUAGAGGAGUAUGGGAAAACAUGACAUGAUUGUAGAACCAAGAUCGCAAAAUUAGCUAAGAAACUACCAAAACAAAGCAGUCAAAGCACCUCCUGCCCCAAGAAAGUUAAGAAGCAUACCUGCUAGAGACUCCCAAACUACAGGAAGGUUCUUAAUCCACAAACUUGAUCCUCCAGUGUGGAAUUUAUUCAGAGCAACUCUUAACAAUUUUGCAGCAGUCAUGACAGUGUCCACCGAGUUCUCUUUUGAAGAAACAUAAGAAGCAAGAGAAGUGAUGACAUUUUCUAUCUCUUGAACAGUAUCUCCCACUGCUAGAGUUUCCAAUAAUGCCUCGAUGAUUUUAAGAAUCAGUGUUGUAAGCGCUGAGAACCCGAGACUGUCUAAUUCUGAAAGAAUCUGAAUGCUUACUUUGGCAGACAGAUACGGACAAACAGAUACCAGCACAUUAAGCAUAUGUAAGAAUCCUAUAUUCUCGGAUUUCAACAGUUUAUCAUCUGUAGAUCCAUCCUCAGGACUCGUAGUCCUUGACCAAUCUGCUGAAGAAAUGCAACUUUCAAAAGAAGACAGUACCAGCUUGCUUGCUUUCCUAACAACACUAGAGGACUUAAAGCAUUUAAAAACCUUUUCAAGACAUUCUUGCGCACAUCGCCGAACCUGAGAAAACAACAAAACAUAUCUUCAAUUGCUACUCAGUUCUUACGAUAUGCAAGAGAAUAGGAACGCAUUUCCACCUUUCAAAGCCCAAUUGCAAUCAACAAGGCCAUAAGGGGAAGAACACUGACCUAAAAAAGGUGAAAAUUACAUGUUGCAAAGUCUAACAAAAAAAAAAAAAAAAUUCCCAAAGAGCUUACAAGAGCAGAACUGGAUACGGCAAUGCAUGGUUUGCGACAAUAUACCUUAGGACGCUUGGCCAGGGAGAACUUUAAAAGCGUCUUUUACCCGAAUUUCACCGAAUCCCAAUCCUCCAAGUCGCAAAACCCAAGCAAAACCCCCAAACACUUCACCGCGGACCUCACGCGGGACACGGCCAGCUUCUCCUCCUCCCUCGGCAGCACCUCCGCCAACACCUCCGCCGCCUCCCUCGCCCUCGCGGGCGCGAUCCCCUGCGGCGGCACCGCGGGCAGGACGAUCACGAGGAACGACAUGAGCGCCGCGACCUCCGUGGAGUCCAGGGCCUGCAACGAGGACGUGGUCUCGACGGCGGACAUGGCGGCGCCGAAGUAAGAGGCGGGCGUGAGGGGGAGGGACUCGGCGUCGAGGAUGGCGCGCAUGGCGGCGACGGUGGCGAGGAGGUGGCGGUGCUGAGGGGCGGAGGAUUUGGCGUAGCGGUCCAUGAGCUGUUGGCAGACGUCGGCGCCGUCUCGCAGCGGUUCGUCGGCGCUAUCUGUUGAUCCUGUGGAAGCAACGAGGGUCGCUCUUCCUGUUUCCGUUGUCUGUGCUUUCUGUGGCUUCAUGGCGGCGGCGGGGGCGGCGGCUUCGAGCGCCGCCGUGCGGUGGCUUCUCCUGGCUGUGGAAUGUUUCGGGGUAAGAAAUUCGCCUUUGAUGCUUAAUCCAUGUUUUUUUAUAUUUUUACGAUAACUAAAACUCGGGGGGUCGUUAUUUUCUUCGCAUUUGAUCUAUAUUGCUUAGCAAAGAACAUUUUUUGGUUACAUUGAUUAGGUUUGCCUCGUCCGUAGUUCCUAUCAUGUAACUCAACUUUCAAGAAAAUACAAAAGGUUAAUCUCACAAAAAAUUUCAAAAUAUGCACAUUGUAACUCAAAUACUCCAAAUCUUUUUUUAUCACAAAAGAUCUUAAAUUUAAUUUUUUAUAACAUAUAUAUCCUAACCUUUUCUUAUGUCAUAAAAAACCUCGAAAUUAUAUUAAUGUAACAAAUGUAUAAUAAAUUGAACUGAAAUAGAAAACAUAUAUAUACAUGUUACACAUGUAAAAAUUUGGAUUUUUUCAUGAUACAAAAAAAAUUGAGAAAUUUGUAUUGCUAUGGACAAAUUUAGGGUUUUUGGUGACAUAAAAAAAAGUUAAAAGAUAUUUAUAUCACAAUAAAUGUAAUUUGUGGGCAAAUCAAAUUUAUGGAGCAAAAGUGGUACUUCUGAUCUUUUACUUUCAAUCAUUAUUAUUUUCUUGUUUUAUAAUUAAAAGGUGUUAAGAUUUCAACGGGAAGUUUUCCGUUUUCAAUUUCAUCUUAGGUAUGCUAAAGUAUUAUCAAAGGACUCUAGUGAUAUAAAAACAAACAAGUAAAAUGAACAUACGAAAAAAGGUUAUUAUUGUGAUAAGAAAUGAAAUCACAAGAUUCUUUUUGGAGGAAACAAAGCAUCACUUUUUAAUAGGAGUAUAUACGGGAACCGCACUGAAUCGGCUAGUUUUGAUUAUUCUCAAUUACAAAUUUUUGGAAUAGGAAUAAUCAGACAAAUUCUUAAUUUCAUAUGGGAAUCAAAUUGCUCGGACGAUAUAUAUAUUUUUUGGAAUUUCCCUCUUCUUUUAAAGAGUAAAGAAAAGGAAAUUGCCAAAAUCCUAAACUGAACCGGUCUAACCUAGGAAUUAAUCUAGUUUCCAAUUCUAAAGUGAAAUCGACCAAACUCGGGAAUCAAUCACCUUUCCUUUUUAAUGAUAUGCAAGAAAGGAUUAAAAAGGAUAGGAAACUUUAUAUUCUAUCGCAAAGUUGAUUAAAGUAGCCAAGAGAGAGGAAGAAAGGAAGGAAAAAUAGAGAGAAGAAGAGGAAGAAACAAAUCCUAAAAGCCAACAAGGGGUGCUUCAUUUCCAUGUUACCGAAACCGUAUGCCUAUUGCAAUAUAUUUACAUUGAAUAUAAAUUAUACAUUACCAUGAUGCCCUUAUAUACGUAAAAAGAAAUAAAACCUAUAAAAUAAAACCAACACCACUAAAGUAAUGUAACAGUCCCCUUUUUUUUUGGGUAAAAAGUAACGACUUCAUUGCAAUAACUAAACUAAGUUUGGAGAUAUUACAUUAAACGCAUCAGCACAUAGUAGAUCAAAUAGAGCAGGUGGGGGAUUUUCUAACCAAUUUAAUGGUAGAGAAUCGGUUCUACACGCUUUCACCAGCCAGUCCACGGGUUGGUUUGUGUCCCUGUUGCAAUGGGCCAAGGAGAUGGCCCGAUAUGCUUUCAUUUUUAUCUUGGCCCGGUCCACGACGGUCUUCGCAUCCCAACUGAAGUCUUCCGAAGUGUUGCAGCUGUUCACGAGUGGGAGGCAGUCAGACUGUACGUGGAGUUGAAGUUGAGUUCGGUCUGAGAAGAAAAUUAGGGUUUCGAGGAGGGCGAUUGCUUCCGCCUGUUCUGCCGAGGAUGCGGCCACUAAUUUCGCGAAGCCGUCGACCACCCGUCCCCUGAAGUCGUGACAGAUGCAGGCGAUUGCUCCUCUGUUUUCGCUUUCUCCCCUGUUUGCCCUAGUUUGUGAUUCGUAGUCGCUGCUUGGGAGGAAUGAAGCAUCUAUGUUGAUUUUCAACGAAUCUGGUAUUGGGGGCUGCCAUCUUUGAGGUAGGGUCUCUCUAUGUUGCUCCCCUUUCGUUUUUUUUGUUCCAAGUGGUGUAAUUCUCGUGCAAAGCCGCGGCCUUUAAGAGUGUUUGCUGUGGGUGCAGAGGGCGAUGGCCAAAUAUAAAAUGGUUUCGGUCUUUCCAGAUGCUCCAGAGGGUAACUACGAUGAGGUCAAACCUUUUUGCACUGGUUGGAUUGGUUUUUGCUAUGUACAACCAUUCGUCAAAUCUGGUUAGCUCUAUUCUUGACACUCUGAUUUGCAGGGGGCAACUUUCCAAAUCCGGGCCGUCCAGGAGCAUAGCAACACUCCCCUUAAACUAGAGCAUAUAGGUCACUCAUACCCAAUUUGGAACAACCAUUGACAAAGACAGGACAAAACAACACUUUAAUAAACAUAUCAACCAAUUAAUCUCUAGAGUCAAUAUAAAGAGUAGUGACCAACUUCUGCUUCACAAAGUGACGGUCAACUUCUAUAUACAUAGUUCGCUCAUGAAAAACAGGAUUCCCAACAAUAUAAAUAGUUGCCUAAUUAUCACACAUCAUAUCAUAAGUUGAUUAAUAAAAAGGAUUUCAACCACAAUAAUUUAGUCACAAUAUGUGCCAUAGUACAAUAUUAGGCCUCCACACUAGACUUAGGAAUAGUUGUCUAUUUGUUGCUUCGUAAUCAAAUUACCACCAAGAAAAGUGCAAUACCUAGUCAUGGAUCAGUGAUCACAUGCUAACCUAGCCCAAUCGGCAUUAGAAUAGCCAAUUAAAGUGAAAGAACCAUUAGGUGUGUAAAUCAGCCCCUUAUUAGGAGAGCCUUUAAAGUACCAGAGAUGCGAUAAACAGCAUCCCGACGAGCCUUCUUUGGUAACUUCUUUAAUUGACUCACCACACCAAUAACAAAGGAAAUAUCUAAAUGUGUAACAAUGAGAUAAAUUAACUAAUUAGCUUGAAUAUUUAGUCUGCGUGAAAUGCUAUGCAAGGAGAUGCCAAAAUGCCUAACUAAAAUGACAUGUAACAUGCAACGUAUAUUGCGAACUAUAUGUCACGACAUGAUCUAAUGACAAUGUAACUAUCCUAAUAUGUCACGCACUCAAAUGAUCCUAAGCAUGCUAUGACUAGAUGACGAAAUGACCUAAUUCUAAGUUACACACGCAUGAUAUUUUGUAUUUCUUCUUUUCCUUUUUUUAUAGAAUUCGAAAUUAAAAUUGCUUAAUAAUUGAACAUGCAAUUAAUGAAAAGAAAAUCUAACAUCUUUUUGGUGUUUUUAUUUCAAAAAUUCGGAAUAAAUAAAAUGCCUAAUCUAAAUAUGCAAAUUAUCCUAAAACAAGCAAUAUUCUAACAUAAACCUAAUCUAACUCAAAUAUAUAUAUAUAUAUAUAUAUAUAUUUUUUUUUUUCUUUUACGGAAAUAAAAUCAAUUCAAACAAUACGACGGCAAAUCAGGCAAGAUAUGAUUGAUAUCCACCAAAUAAAUUGAUAAACUCAUGAGAUCGGAUUGGCCAAUUUUAACAAAAUCUCGAGCAUAAGAUUGGAUUGGCGAUUUUUCCGUGCACUAAUAUUUCGGACGUGAAAUCAGACUAUCAAUCGUGUGCACGUUGUGAAAUUAGGAAGAUUUCUCAAUAUAUAAGGCUACUCGAGAUUACGGAUAUGAUAGCAUAUCGGGAAUUUCAAUUAUGUGCAUCGACGAAUAUUUCAAAUAAGAAAAAGGAAUUUUUGGAAAUCAAAAUAGAUAAGAUUUUCACCUAAUUUGAAUAUUGGCUUUCAAAUUCCGAUCCUCAAAUGGCUACUCGCGACGCAAUGUGGUGGUGCGCUCACAGGAUGGCUACUCGUCAAGGGGCUUUGCGUGCGGCUCCUUGAUGAUUGCUCGAUUCAAUGAUAUGUGCGUAAACCUCGAAAAGCAAUUUGCAAAACAAUAACUUUUGUUGUUGUAGCAAUAGCAAGGCUUACCCGGGAGACCUAGAGAACCACAAUGGGGAGAUGCUCCAAAUUUCAAUAAAAUAAGCGUGCGAAAUCCUCCCUCCUUUCAACGUAUACGUCCUCCUUUAUUGAAAGAACGUGUGCCCUUCUCUUGCCCAGAUUUUAGCGACUCGGAUGCUUGCUGAAUUUUGACCGAGCUCAAUCACCUCGCUGGAAUUCGUUGGCAACGCGAGUAUUGGUGCAAAUCGUCUGGGCGCGACGAAACAAACCCGAGGAUCGGGCUGAUUGGGAUGGGUGACAUGAGCAGUGGCUACUGGCGUUGGGGUAGCAACGAGGUCGUGGCCAGGAAACAACCAGCUCUGUUCACGGAUGCGGAGCAGCAGCGAUGGCGGCGUUCGGGUAAUAGUCGGAACAGCAACUACGAGGGGCGGAGUUGCAGUGACGUCAUCGAUGAAGGGGCUGCGGUGGCAUCGUCAAGCAGUCGAGUAAUAACUCAACAGGGUGGCAGCUCAUUGACAAUGUAUCGCAGACGAUGAAAGCACCGCGGCAGAAGUGUUGGCAUGGGUCUUGGCCAAGAAGAUUCGCGCUCUUUCCUCUCUCACGUCUCUCGCUCUCUCUUGUAUCAUUUAUAGUGAAACGGUGUAAACCAUCGAGGAAAGAAAGCAUAUUUUGUUUCCUUCUGUGCAUGCUUUGAAAUAUAUUCUAUUUCCUUUCCUCUUCCUCAUUGACCAAAUGCCUUCUUUUUUGCAGGGAUAUCUUUUUUUGCAAAUCCAUGUGCCCGUAGUGUAGAACGUGCCCAACAUUCCCUUCUCAUGCUGAUCUUCUGAAUUUCCAUAUGCUCGUAUCUUUCUACAUAGGGCCAUUCAUGAUGAAUAUUCUCUGCCGAUUUUAUUUCUUUAAGUUUUAACCCAAAUAUCAGUUCACAAAUUGAUCAAGUAUUGCCAAAAAUUCAAUAUUGCAAUAGACUUUUCCUAGAUUCCGAACCUUGCAAAGAUGAGCUCGCAAUAUCUCCUUCCUAUGCUUGUCCUUACCGAAUAUACGAAAGAUUCACCGAAUAUUGGAAGAAUAAUAUAAAUCUUUUCCAAAAAAUAUCGAAUUGCCAACUCGUAAAAUUGUAGCUCAUCCGCAGCCGAUCAAAUGCAAAAGUGAUAAACAAAUAGAUAAAUGUAACUAAAAUUAUAUGCCAUGCAAUUUUAAUUCUAUUUUUUAGCGGUUAAAAAUUAAUCCAUAAUUUUCUAUGCAAUAAAUGGAUGACCGGGUCGCCAAAAUUUAGGUGUCAAUAGUAGACUACGCCAUGACGUUGCUUCCUUAAAGAUGACCUUUUAAUUACUGUAUUUUUGGUCGAAAACCUUUUAAUUGCACCUUUUUUUUACUGUUGGCAUGGUGAUUUUUGAACUCGACAAGGACUGCCCAAUCAACCAUGCAACAAGGGGACAAUUUCUACGACGAGAAACGCGCAUGCAUGCAUUGACUAUGGGAGUCUCCGGAGACAAUCAUACAUUCUUGCCAACACUCAGAAUCCGAUCUCCACGAUUGGCAAUUUGCUUUUGCAUGGGAAAAUUGUACAAAAAAUUCUAAAUUUAUUACACUUUUAUCAAUUUAGUCCUAGAUCUUUUAAUUUGUAAAUUGAGUUCUAAACAUUUUUACUUUUUACCAAUUCAGCUAUAAACCUUUUCACUUUUUGCCAAUUAAACCAUCCGGCCAAUUUUGACGGGAAAUUACUAACAUGAAUAGCUGAUGCUGACGUGGUACUUUUUUAAUAAUAUUUUGAAUAUUUUAUGGUUUUUUUUUUUGCGACCUCACCCGUGGCUAGCAAGAGUUGGCCAGCAACUCUUGUCUGCCCUGGAUCCACAAACCCAAAAAUAAAGCAAAAGAAUUACAAAAAAAAAGAAGAGAAAAAAUCAUCUAGAAUGGAGUAGUGUCCAACUUUUCAUGUGAGAGCAAGAGUGAGAGCAAGUCAGAGACAAAGAGUGAUGUCUGAAAGUGAGAGAGAGAGAGAGAGAACCUCAUGUCUUCCUCCAAUGUAGGGAUAUUCCAUUUAGAAUGAAGUAGUAAAGCUUUUGUCCAACUCUUCUUACCUAAUCUUUUUCUUCUAGUGACAAUAGUCUUUUCUGUUGCUCUAAGUUUGCUAUGACCAUGUCUCAGAUUUAGAUUAUUAUACAGUUUAUUAAAGGCGGAGUCCAAAUUCCACGAUUCUUAGAAACUUCAGCAGCUCAUGAAGUUGUCCAAAAAAUAAUUAGAUUCACUUUUUUUGGGACAAAUCUUUUUUCCCCUCUUUCUUUUGACUUCAAUUGUAACAAAUUACUAUUCUUCUAAAAAAUAGUCAAGGGCUACGGCCACCAAGACCCGGUUAUGUGGAGGCCAAUGAAAUACCUUGCAAGUCCUACAAAUUGGUUAAGUCCAAUUCUCCGAGCAAGUCAGAGACAAGUUUGCGCGCCAUUGGUGGUAUCAUAUAUGUUGAACAUAAAUAAUGGAAAGAGUUAUCCUAUUAAAGUUGUUAAAAUAUAUAUAUAUAUAUAUAUAUAUAUAUAUAUAUAUAUAUAUAUGUACAUAUCAUAUAUGUCGAGUUUGGGAUCUAAUGUCAAUGGACUGAAUAUUAUCUUAAGACUUUUCAGGACAAUAACUGAAUUGUAUAGCUGUGGAAACUGAAAUAUUUGGCACCAUGGUCUAUCCCGUUCAUUAAUGGGUGCUUGUACAUUAGCAUAUCUAAGUCUCUAUCGAUGUUGACAGGUGUUUCACCAAGUCAACUAUACAACGCUCUUUUUUAGAUAAAAUUACCAAAGCAAGUUCUAAAUCGAUUGUAUAUGUAUCAAUUAAGUCGUAAUUUUUUCAAUUAUACCAAUUCAAUCCUAAAUUUUUUUACAAUUGCUGACAUAAUCCAUCCGGCCCUCACCUCUAGUCGGCCACGGUUACUAGCGGAGGAAGAAGGAAAAAGAAAAUGAAAGAAAAGAAAAUUAAAAAUUAAAAAAUGUGGAUUUUUUUAAAUUGCAAAAAUUAUCUACAUGAGCGCCAACUAUGCCACGUAAGAUGGCCAGUGGGCACGACCAAUAUUCAUAUCAACAAUUUCCUAUCAAAAUUAGCCAGUGAAUUUAAUUGAAAAUAUUUAGGACUCAAUUAAUAUAGUUGAAAAUUUUAUGAUUAAAUUGACACUAGUGCUAUAGAUUUAUGAUUUUUUAAAAAAAUAAAUUUUCCAUCUUUCUUGAGCUGCUCGUAGACUUGUCCACACACACACACACACACACACACACACAUAGACACAUACACACGAUUGUCUUUGUUUUUGGCUUCUAGAGAAGUCCAAUAAUUUUUAAACUCAAAUAUUUAAAAAAAAUAUAAAAAGAUUAUAUGAGAACUAUUGUGGCAAAUGAAAGGUUUCAAGUGCUUGUAAUUUUUUUAAAAAGUCUAAUUAUGUGCGUAAAUAUUGAAAGAAACUUUUAACUAUUUAAAUAGUCAUCGUCGAAAGAGGCUGAAAUUUUCCAAUUACAGGACGAGUCAUGGAAUCGUAGCAAGGAGGGGUUCUGUACUUUGACUUUGCUUUGGCCUAACAUGGCCUUUUUUCUCUCCGUUCCAUGUUAUAAACGUGGACACCAACCACAGAAAAAUCAAGGCACGUAAAACAAAACUUGACUUAGACCAAAUAAUAAUAGUUCCACGGACCACCUCAUGCACAAUACCUAAGCAAAACAUAAUCUUCUAUGCAUGUCUAAUCAAAUUAAUGUCGAGUUGUUAAGGGUUGUUUUAAUACUGUCAAUCAAUGCCGUUAUAUUCAACACGCAAGUUUCAGAGCUUUGAAAAUUCCAGGUUAACUUUAAGUAAUGGAUUCUAAGCAUGGAAUCUCGUCACUUACCUUGAAAUCUUCCUUGACUACAAGAAACCAUGUAAAUUGGAACAAUUUUCUGUUGUAUAUUUCAAUAGUCUUGAAAUUUCAAAAGCUAUUAUUUUUUUAACGAUUUUCAACUGUCAUCAAUUUGUAACCAUUUUUAUCUGCCAUUACUUUAUUACAGUUUUAUACUUCUAAUGGGGUUGGAGUAAAUCUCUUAAUUAGACAAAUAAGAAAAUAGUCAAAUCUCAAUCACCUCUCCUUUCGAGCUUCUAAUUAAAGAUAAAAGAUUUCUCAAGUCCUAAUUAGUCAACUGGACUAUUAGAGAUAUAUUUAAAAUAUUCUAUGAUUCUAUAUAUUAUUAUACGAUUCUAUAUAUUUCCUUUUAUUGGUCCUGAUUUGUUACCCUAUAAGUUAUUAUAUAAAGCCUAUAAAUAAGCUUGUGUAUUAUUUAUUUGAUGUUCUACAGAAUAUUACAUCUUUCAGUCAUUAUGAUUCUUAACUUGGAUGAAAAAAAAUCAACUCCUCAAAAGUAGAACCUCGUCAGUUUACUUGCCUAGCCGCCUGAAACGUUAUUAGUAGACUACACUAUGACGUCGCUUCCCUAAAGGUGAUUCAAUUAUUGACCUUUUAACUAAUGUUUUUUUUUUUUUUGGUUGAAAAUCUUUUAAUUGCACCUUUUUAUUAUUGUUGGCACGGUGAUUUUUUAACUCAACAAGGACUACAGUCAACCAUGCAACGAGGGGACAAUUUCUACGAUGAGAAACAUGCAUGCAUGCAUUGACUAUGGGAGUCUCUGGAGACAAUUAUUCAUUCCUACUGACACUAAGGACCCGACCUCCAUGAUUUGGCAAUUUGCUUUUGCAUUCAUAAUCUACAACACGGAAUUUAUGCUAAAGAGCUUAUUUGAAUUAUCAAUGUCCCUCUUUUCUUUGUGAUAGAAAACUUUCCAUGCGGAUGUUUUAUCGUGUUCAAAAGAAAUGUCAAUCUUUCAUAUCUACAUCAUGUUGCCAUGAAAGUCUUUACACAUUGCACUGCAAACGUAUCAGUACAUGCGUCAAUGCAGUUGAGAGUCGAUUCGGACACCAAUGAGAGUAAGUGCAGGCUAGGUUGAAGAUCUCCAUCAACCGGUGAAUGCAUCAAAUGCGGGAAAUGAUAACUCUAUAAAAAUAGAGUUAUUUUAUCUAUUUUAGGCAACAAUUAAUGCAAUAUCUAUGAGAAGAUAUUUGGAUUUCCUUCUGAUUAUUAGAAUUUUCCUUAUUUAUGCAGAAUAAUGAGAUAUGGAGAAAAUAAGAAAAAUAAUGCAAAUAUCAAGAAUUCAAAUAAAUAAAUAAAUAAAUAAAGCAAUUGAAGAUAAAUAUCAAAUCAGGAAAUUCUUGAUUUUAUUCCCUAAUGUUAUCUGCAAGCGUUGAGAGAUAGAUAGCUGGGAUUAUAUCUUUUGAAGAGGAGAACAUUAAGAGCCAAAGAGAAAGUAGCGAGUUAUAUAUCUUUUGUUUUUGAUCUUUCUGAGAAUUUUUCAAGUAUUUUGAAGAGAAAACAAAAGUGAUGACAUAAUUCUUGUUCUUUAAUUCAAGAUGCUGGGUUUGAUUUAUAUUUUUAUUUAUUCUUCUACUAUGUUCUAAUUUUCUUUUGUUAGGACUACGAUGUAGCCUAACCAUGAUGAUGUGAAAUUCAUGAUUUUUAUGUUUUACAAUUGAUUUCAUUUAUAUGAGUUAUAUAUUAUUGUGUUUAAUGUUUUUGAGUGACUAGCCAUCACUUGAAUGAUUUGAUGUGCAUGUUUGAGACUGAGAAGUGAAAAUAUACAAUUGCUCGUUAUAAUAUAUAACCAUAAAUUAAACAUGGAUAGAGAUAUACCGCGUUAUUUGUGUAGCUUUCGAUGAUAAGGUGAUCCAAAAGACACAUUGUAAGCCGAGAAUAUUCAUAGUUUUUAAUGCACUUAUGUUUAUUUUAAUUCACAUAGAGAUAUAGUAGAUUAAUAAUCUGAGUAGGUUUACUAUUGUUCUUGUAUCCAAAACAAUCUUAAAUUUAUAUCUAGUGGUUAUGGUGAAAUCGGAUGCUCUAACAUAUUUAUCUGAUCGAUUUAUUGCAUUUAGUCUACAAAUUUUGUUUUAAAUUUAUUAUUAAUUAUAUUUUGAUCUGUUAGAUAAAGUUUAGAAUUAGUCUAUUUUAGUAUUUAAUUGGUUUGUUAAUCAUCGAUCUCCAUGGGACGAUACUUUUUCUCAUCAUUAUAUUACUUGUUCGACACGUGCACUUACAUUUAGAAUUUUACGAACAAGUUUUUGGCACCGUUGCCGGGGAUCGUUUGUUUAAUACUAAUUAAUAUUGAUACCGGAUAAUUCUAAGUUUAAUCUAGUUUUUGUUUUGUUUUAUUAUUCAGGGUGUACAUCAGUUUAUGACACAUAGCCAACAGAGGAAACUUGUUGAGCUUGAUCCAAAAAUCGGGCGUACAUUCAAAAGGCGACUGAGAGAACAGAGAAAUCACGCUAAGAAGAUGGCAGACAGUGAGAAUGAAAAUCCACGUAAACUGUUAAGAGAUUAUGCCGCGCCAAUAGUUCAAGGUACCACAUCAAGUAUCAAAAGACCUGUAAUUCAAGCAAACAACUUUGAGAUCAAGCCGUUACGCAUUCAGAUGUUUCAACAAUCAGUGCAAUUUAGCGGGCUACCAAGCGAUGAUCCAAACACUCACAUCGAUGCUUUUCUUGAAAUCCGUGACACCAUUAAAUAUAAUGGAGUUACAAAUGAUGCUAUUAGAUUGAGAUUAUUUCCAUUCUCUCUUAGAGACAAAGCUAAGAGUUGGCUUUCUUCUCUUCCUGGAGGAUCAAUCACUACAUGGAAUGAUAUGGCUCAGAAAUUUCUUGGUAAGUUCUUUCCACCUGCAAAGUCUGUGAAGAUGCGUAACGAUAUUACUACUUUUAUGUAGAUGGAUAAUGAAUCAUUAUAUGAAGCAUGGGAAAGAUUCAAAGAAUUUCUUAGGGGAUGCCCACAUCACGGACUACCCAUAUUAAAGCAGGUAUAAACUUUUUAUAAUGGCUCUAGUACAAAUCUUCGUUCUAUGAUUGAUGCAGCUGCAGGAGGAACUCUAAAUAAUAAAACACCAGAAGAAGCCUACAAUUUAUUAGGGGAGAUGACAUCCAAUAGUUACCAGUGACCUACUGAGAGACUACCAAUACGAAAAGUUAGCAGAGUUCACGAAGUUGAUGCUUUUGCUACAAUUGUUGCACAAUUUGAAACACUCAACAAAAAGCUUGAUAAUAUGAGUGUUUCAGUCAUGAAAAUUCAGAAUUUGACAUGUGAUUUUUCUGGUGGAGGACAUGUUAGCAUAGAAUGUCAGGUAAAAUACUUUUAAAUAAUCUAAUGAAAAUUCUAACUUUGUUGGGAAUUUUAACAGGUCAUAGAAUAAUCCCUACUCCAAGUUCCAACACGUACAAUCCGGGAUGACACAAUCAUCCAAAUUUUUCAUGGAAUAAUCAGAAUGUGACGAGACCAUCGGGAUUCAAACAAUCAAAAAGAGACAAAGUCAAAUUUGGAAGAUAUAGUCACCAAACUUGCUUAUACGACUCAUGACUUCAUCAAAAGCACGGAUGUGAUAUUUCAAAAUCAAGAGGCGUCAAUCAGAAAUCUGGAAAUGCAAGCGGUCAGUUAGCAAGCAUAAUGUCAAGGAGACAACAAAGUUCUUUGCCGAGCAACACAGAGAAAAAUCCAAUUGAAAACAUAAAGGUUAUUACCCUGAGAAGUGGUAAACAAGUGGGAGAAGAAGAGAUUUGCAGAGACAAUGAAGAGGUGAUCAAUCAACAAUCAAAGGAGACAAGCAAGAGUAAACUUUUUCCAGAUAAUCCCAAGCCAUAUGUGCCGCCAAUUCCAUUCCCUCAGCGACUCCAACAGCACAAAAUAGAUAAGCAAUUUUCUAAACUUCUUAAUGUAUUUAAAAAAUUGCACAUUAACAUUCCUUUUGUAAAUGCCCUAGCGCAAAUGCCUAUGCAAAAUUUUUGAAGGAGAUUUUGGCAGACAAAAAAAAACUGGAGGGUUAUGAAACUGUGAAGUUAAAUGAGGAGUGUUCCUACAAAACAAAUUGCCUCCGAAAUUAAAAGAUCCAGGGAGUUUUACUAUUCCUUGCACUAUUGGGGAUUUGUACUUUGAAAAAGCAUUAUAUGAUUUAGGUGCAAGUAUUAAUUUGAUGUCUUAUUCAGUUUUUAAGAAAUUAGGGUUGGGUGAGGUAAAAGUAACCACAGUGUCACUUCAACUAGCUAAUCGAUCAAUAAAAUAUUCGAAAGGUAUUGUGGAAGAUGUUUUGGUAAAAGUUAACAAAUUUAUUUUUCCUAUAGAUUUCAUAGUUCUUGACAUGGAGGAAGAUUUUGAGGUACCACUCAUCUUAGGUCGACAUUUUCUAGCAACAGGAAGAGCUCUUAUUAAUGUACAACAAGGGAAGUUGAUUCUUAGAGUUCAAGAUGAUCUUGUUUCAUUUAAUGUUUUUAAAGCAAUGAAAUAUCCAUCUGAUGAUAAUUCUUGUUUUAGAGUUGAGAUAAUUGACAAGUUGGUGAAUAAAUUUUUUCAGGAAAAUAUUUUUAAAGAUUCACUUAAAGCAUGUCUGAUUCGACCAAGGGACAAAGAUAUUCAGAAUGAGGAGAUAAAGGAGUACGCAAAUUUCAUGGAGGCAAUUCCACCAUAUUCAAGGCAAAAGGCAAUUAAACUUUAGAAGUUGGGACAACACAUAACAAAGUCUAAACCAUCAACUGAAGAGCCUACAAUUCUUGAACUCAAACCCUUACAAUCUCAUUUGAAAUAUGCUUAUUUAGAUAGAGUUUCUUCUUUACUGGUAAUUAUAUAUUCUUCUUUAACAGAUUUGAUGGAGAAGAAAUUGCUCAGAGUAUUAAGAGAGCAUAAAGGUGCAAUUAGAUGGAAAAUAGUUGAUAUCAAGAGAGUUAAUCAUUCUAUUUGCAUGCACAAAAUUUUGAUGGAUGAGCAAUAUAAACCCACUAUCCAACCUCAAAGGCGUUUGAACCCGAAGAUGCAAGAAGUAGUGAAAGCUGAGGUAAUUAAGCUACUUAAUGCAGGUAUCAUCUAUCCUAUCUCUAAUAGUUCUUGGGUAAGUCCUGUACAAGUUGUGCCAAAAAAAGGUGGUAUGACUGUUCAGAAAAACGACAAGAAUGAACUGAUUCCAACUAGAACAGUUACUGGGUGAGUGUGUGUAUGGAUUAUAGAAAAUUGAAUGAUGCCACUGGAAAAGAUCACUUUCCUUUACCAUUUAUUGAUCACAUGUUAGAAAGACUUGCAGGGCAUAAGUUUUAUUGCUUUCUUGAUGAAUAUUCGGGGUAUAAUCAGAUUCCUAUUGCACUAGAAAAUCAAGAGAAAACUACUUUCACUUGUCCCUAUAGUACUUUUGCUUUUAGAAGAAUGCCGUUUGGUCUUUGUAAUGCACCAGCUACUUUUCAGAGAUGCAUGAUGGCUAUUUUUUCUAAUAUGGUUGAAAAAUAUAUUGAUAUUUUCAUGGAUGAUUUUUCCGUUUUUGACUUAUCAUUUGAUUCUUAUUUAAAUAAUUUGGCUUUGGUCUUACAAAGAUGUGAAGAGACUAACCUUGUUUUGAAUUGGGAGAAGUAUUACUUUAUGGUGCAGAAAGGAAUAGUGCUUGGGCAUAAAAUUUCUCAAAACGGAAUAGAAGUUGAUCGAGCCAAAGUGGAAGUCAUUGCGAAAUUGCUUCUGCCAACAUCUGUGAAACUUGUCAAAGGAUUUUUGGGGCAUGCAAGAUUUUAUAGACGGUUUAUAAAAGAUUUUUCAAAAAUUGCUAAACAUUUUUUCUAAUCUUUUGGAAAAAGAUACUCCUUUUAAUUUUUCUGUUGAAUGUAUGCAAGCUUUUAACACUUUAAAGAAGUUAAUUUCAGCACCAAUUAUGGCAGCACCAAAUUGGGAUUUACCCUUUGAACUGAUGUGUGAUGCUAGCGAUUCUGCAGUAGGAGCUGUUUUGGGACAAAGGAAGAAUAAAAUUUUUCAAACCAUAUACUAUGUCAAUCGAACUUUGUCAGGUACAUAGUUGAAUUAUUCAACAACAGAAAAGGAACUUCUGGUGGUAGUUUUUGCUUUUGAUAAAUUUCGUUCUUAUUUAAUUGGCUCAGUUAUAGUUUAUUAUGACUACUCUACUCUUAAGUAUUUGCUUGAAAAGAAAAAAUCAAAACCUAGAUUGAUCAGGUGGAUUCUAUUGCUGCAAGAAUUUGAUUUGAAAAUCAAAGAUAAGAAGGGGACUGAAAAUUUAAUUGCAGACCACUUAUCAAGAAUUCCAAAUUCAAAGGAAGAGAUAAGACCAAUUUUGGAAGAAUUCUCCGAUGAUAAAAAAUUUUCCAUCAAGUCCACAAAAAUUCUUUGGUAUGCUGACUUUGUAAAUUAUUUAGUACGUAAUGUUCUUCCUCCUAAAUUAUCAUAUCAAUAUAAGAAAAAUUCUUUUCUGAUGUUAAAAAUUAUUUUUGGGAAGAACUUUUCUUGUUUAAAGUAUGUGCAGACCAAAUCAUAAGGAGAUGUGUUCCAAAUGAAAAGAAGGCAAACAUUCUACAUCAUUGUCAUAAUGGAGAGGUAGGUGGCCAUUUUGGUGCAACCAAAAUUGCAGCUAAGAUUUUACAAUCUAAAUUUUAUUGGCCUGCACUUUUUAAAUAUGCAUACUCCUAUGUAGUUUCAUGUGAUAGGUGUCAGAGAACUGAAAAUAUUUCAAGAAAAAAUGAGAUGUCUUUAAACAACAUUAUUGUGUGUGAAUUAUUUGAUGUUUGGAGUAUUGAUUUCAUGGGACCCUUUACACCUUCUUAUGGAAAUUUAUACAUUUUAGUGGCUGUGGAGUAUGUGUCUAAGUGGGUAGAAACUGUAACAUUGCCAACUAAUAAUGCUAAGGUUGUGUUUAAAUUUUUGAAGAAAAAUAUUUUUACCCGAUUCGGCAUUCUAAGACAAUCAUAAGUGAUAGGGGGACACAUUUUUACAACAAACAGUUUGAAGCACUUUUAAGUAAGUAUGGAGUCACACAUAAGGUUGCAACCCCUUAUCAUCCUCAGAGUAGUGGUCAAGUAGAGAUUUCAAAUAGGGAAAUCAAGAGAAUUUUAGAAAAAACGAUGAAUGCUUCUAAGAAAGAUUGGUUAAUAAAACUUGAUGAUGCACUUUUGGCCAAUAGGAUAGCGUUCAAAACUCCAAUUGGAAUGUCUUCUUUUAGACUAGUGUUUGGGAAGGCUUGUCACUUACUAGUGGAAUUAGAGCAUAAAGAAUAUUGGGCAUUGAAAUUUUUGAAUUUUGAUAUGUAGUCUGCAGGUGAAGAAAGAUUAUUGCAACCUAAUGAAUUGGAGGAAUAAUCGAGAGUUUAAUUAUCAAGACAAAAGAUUAACUUUUCUUUAUUUUAUCCAGGUUAAUUUUUUAGGGGGCACAUUUCAAGAGUUUAAUCAUCAAGGUCAUCUAUGAACUUCUCCUACAAUCAGGAGAGUUUUCUUCAUCCUAUUUUUAUAUUUUGCAUUGAGGACACUGCUUCAUUCAACUUUAGGGGGGGAGACAAAUUUUUUUGAUAAUUUUUUUUAUCAUGAUUGCAUUCCUAGUUGUGAAUUUUUGCGAUUCUUAGGGAAAUUUAAAUUUUAUUUAAACUUGCAAUUGGUGUGUGAGUUAAUCUUAAUUCUAAUUAUGUUGAUCCACUUAAUGAGCACUAAAAGUCCUUAAUUUUUUAAUUGUGUGUAAAUUUAGAGAACAUUCAUGUGAAGUAUGUGAUUUUCUUGGAUUUUACCAAAAUCUUAGAAUUUGUUUGACUUUCUCUUGAGGCGAAAUCCUAAGCUAAAUCUAAUUGAGAAAAUGAUUUAGGCAAUUUUUGGAUCGAUUGAGCCUUUUAAGCUAACCUUAUUUAUUUAUCCCUAGUCACCCCGUUGAGCCUUAAUUAUUACCCAAUUUUUCAUUGGCACCCAUAUAUGUUUAGCUUAGCCGUUACCAAAUUAUAUCAUUGUCCCAUGCCCUAUGAACAUGUUGAUUUUCUUUUGGGAUUAAAAAAAAAACAAACUGUUUGAGCUUAAUAGAAAUUUAGGAGGAAUGAUGGAGUAUGAAAAAAAAAACAAAAAAAAAAUGAUUGCUAUGGUUGUUUGGGAUGUAUUAUUAAAAAAAAAAAUUGCUAUUAUGGUUCCCUAUCCAACUUUCAGUUGAGUGAGCCUUUUGGAUGUUCAAUGAGUUGGAAAUUUUCAUGUUAUAUUAGGAGGGAUUUUGGGAGAAACUCCACCAUAAAAAAAAAAAGAAUGAUGAUAUAUGGUGGCAGAAAAAUUAUUUUGAAUGAGUGAAAUUGGACAGUGACAUUGGCUCUAAUUAGAUCCUAGAAAUCAACAUAUUGAUGGGUGAUUUGAGCUUAAAAUUACCGUUAUCUCACCUUUAGCCCAGCCUUACAUUACAAAUCAAGAAAAGUCCUGUUGAUUUUUUGUUGAAGAAUUAGCCUACAUUAGUGGAGAGAGGAAUGAAAAAGCAAACUUAUGAGAUUUGGUCAUAAUUAUUGAGAAUUUUUUAGAGGUUGCAUGUCAAUGUUAAUUUGAAAAAAAUGAGGACUCUCACACACACACUUGGAUCACAUAGUUAGAAUUUGUCUUAACUUAUAAAUCAAUUUCCAUGUUUGGAUGAAAUUUAUGUUUUUCUUUGAAUUGUGAAUUUGAGCAAUUAUGGAAAGAUGUCAUGGAGGAGGUUGUUAGCUUGAGUAUGUGUUAUGUCUUAAUUUUGCUUGAGGGCGAGUAAAAUGUUAAGUUUGGGGGUUUGAUAAACCUAGUUAUUUUAUCUAUUUUAGGCAAUAAUUAAUGCAAUAUCUAUGAGAAAAUAUUUGGAUUUCCUUAUGAUUAUUCGAAUUUUCCUUAUUUAUGCAGAAUAAUGAGAUAUGGAGAAGAUAAGGAAAAGAAUGGCAAAUAUUAGGAAUUCCAAUUAAAAAAAACAGUGGAAGAUGAAUAUCAAAUCAGAAAAUUCUUGAUUUUGUUCCCUAAUAUUAUCUGCAAGUAUUGGAAGAUAGAUAUCUAGGAUUAUAUCUUUUGAAGAGGAGAAUAUUAAGAGCCAAAGAGAAAGCAACGGGGUUUUUGUUAAAUUGUUUUUGAUCAUUCUGAGAGUUUUUCAAGUAUUUUGAAGAGAAGACAAAAGUGAUGAUAGAAUUCUUGUUCUUUAAUUCAAAAUGCUCGGUUUGAUUUAUAUUCUUAUUUAUUCUUCUACUAUGUUCUAAUUUUCUUUUGUUAGGGCUAUGAUGUAGCCUAACCAUGAUGAUGUGAAUUUCAUGAUUUUUAUGUUUUACAAUUGAUUUCAUUCAUGUGAGUUAUAUAUUAUUGUGAUUAAUGCUUUUGAGUGACUUGAAUGAUCUGAUGUACACGUUUGAGACUGAGAAGUGAUAAUAUGCAAUUGUUCAUUGUAAUAUAUAACCAUGGAUUAAACGUGAAUAGAAAUAUACCGCGUUAUUUGUGUAGCUUUCGGUGAUAAGGUGAUCCAAAAGACUCAUUGUAAGCCGGGAAUAUUCAUAAUUUUUUAUGCACUUAUAUUUAUUUUAAUUCACAUAGAGAUAUAUUAGAUUAAUAAUCUAAGUAUGUUUGCUAAUAAUAAAUUGAUUAGGAAAUUCUGCUAUCACAUGUUUGAUAUCGUUCUUGUAUCCAAAACAAUUUGAAAUUCAUAUCUAGUGGUUGUGGUGAAAUUGGAUGCUCUAACAUAUUUAUCUGAUCAAUUUACUGCAUUUAGUCUACAAAUUUCGUUUUUAAUUUAUUCUUAAUUAUAUUUUGAUCUGUUAGAUAAAAUUUAGAAUUAGUCUAUUUUAGUAUUUAGUUGGUUUAUUAAUGAUCGAUCUCUAUGGGACGAUAUUUUUUCUGAUCAUUAUAUUACUUGUUCGACAUGUGCACUUACGUUUAGAAUUUUACAAACAAAAAAAUUAUCAUAUUAGGUAGAUAGAAUAUGAUUUUUGGCAUAUAAAUAAUAUGAGUCGAAACAUACACUAUGACCCAUCUUAAAUUUUGAGACCCAUGUUCUCCCUUUAGUCUAAUCACUGAAACCCAUGACCCACACGUAUUUAAAUUCUCUAUCCCUUUGUUUUCCAAUUCAAUUUACAUGUUUCUGAUCUUGAUAUUUUCUAACUUUAUUUUGAUCUUAAAUGCACAUGCCAUUUUCUAAUGAGAGGAACACAGAUUAAAAGACGAUGUGAAUAGAUGAGAUCCGCCACUUAUUUUGAAAAAAAAAAAACUAUUUUUAUGUUUUGUCAAUUUCCUGACAUUACACAUUUCCAAUCUCUAAACCUUCCAAUGUCCUAUAAAAAAAGUCUAAACCAUUCAAUGCUUUUCCAUAGCGAUAUUGGUUGUUAGUAUUCAUUUGAAAGCCUACCCCUUUCUUGAGUCAAGGAAAAAUUACCUCUAUUGCUUGCCACCUAUUUUAUCUUAAACUAAAGUUUAAGUUCAUUUUUUUCAUAGUGACACAAUUAUUAAACUGACGAUAGUUAUAAAAUUGACAAAAUUUUUUUUCCAAAUAUCACUAUUUAAAUAAAUUUUCACUAACAAUUACAUCUAUAGUCAUAAAUCAAACCUAAACCUAAGUCAUUUAAGAAAUAUAGAUAGAUGGAAAAAUAAAUCAUCUUACCUUAUAGUAAUGGCCCACUCAUUGAACGCGAUCUGACUUGCAUUCUCUGACCCACCGAAGUUGCAAAAGCUAACCAACAGUCAAUGUCAACUCAGUAUCGACUUCACUUACUUCCCAAAAUUCAGUCCUUGCGUUGCAUAAAAACAAACCAUUUUUAUGGCAGAGUAGAGAGAGAGAGAGAGAGAGAGAGAGAGAGAGAGAGAGAGAGAGAAGGAAUGGCGUGACAUUGAACUAUCAGAUUCUAUUUAUUAAUUUGAUGAGAAAGUAAAAAAGUAACUAACAGAAGUAAUGGUCCACCGAGAUACAGGUAUUUGUCGGAUUCUACUUAAAGCACCCCUUAUUUUUUGUUCUUUUUCGGUUUGUUAUUUAGGAUACAAGAUUUGGUUUCCAGUUUCGGUGGAGGUCUGCCGGUUUAGAAAUCAGGAUUUACGAAGUUGCAACAGAUCUGUUGUUUUGCUUUGCUGGGUUGUAGUUGCAAUAGCAGCAGCAAAUCACCCACCUUUGAUGUGGACACUUCAAUUUUCGUUGUGGGAUGUUAAGUGUCAACUUCGUCCAUAUUCACUCAGCCCCCACCUCUCAUAUCUCAGGCGGAGAAGACUAACCCAUUAAGCUUUCGGUUUCAGUUUCAAAUUGUUUGAUUCUUUUGACAUUAACCUGGUCGUUACCAUUGACUCAUAAUAUAGAACCAUUGAUGGAAUGGAAGUAGUCUGCUGAUGAGGUAGUAAUCCAACAUUUGUAAGAAACAGUGACUGGACAUGCAAGUUUCUCCAGAUAAAUUUUGCGGGUAGACAUACAAGUUUCUCUUUCAUCAUUUCUCAAAGAUGGGAAAGAUCAAAUUGGCCGACCAUCAUCCACACUAAAGACAAAAAAAUGGCAUCUGCUAAGUGAAAUUCUUGAGUAGCAACAUAUAACAAGUCAAGCUCGUGAACAAACACAUCCAGAGCAAGAAGGUGCCACUCCACACAUCUCGCCAUUCAAACAAAUGAAAAGCUUCCGUAAUAGAUUCCCUCCCUUGCAGUGGCCACCAUCCACAUCAUUAUUGUGUGAAAAGGAAAAAGUUGCAACAUUUACAAAGGGGAAAGAGACAGCACGAAUACAAACACCAAACCACAAGCCAUUGUCUUUAGGCUUUCCCCACUAAUUAAUUCACAAUACCCAAUUACCGCACUGCAUAACACUCGUUGUUUUGUUUAUAUUACCUAUACCUUCAGUUCCACAUGUGAGCGAAAGAGAAACUUCGAAGCAACAUUUAAGAAUUCUGCUGCAAGGAUUACCCAAUGAAGCCCUAGUUCUUUCAAGAACUAAUUUACUUAGAACACAACAAACCAUUUCUUACUCUCUCUUGUGCCAGUAAUCAGUAUCCAGAAGUACUGGCUAGAGAUCAUUACCAGAUGCAGACGAAGCGGUUCCAGUCAAUGGCCCUUCAAUAGACAUACUCUUGGUGAUAUUCUCACCAACUGUCUGAUGUUCGUCACCUCUAAAAUGCUUCCUCAUGGCCUCAAUUUUCUCCUUAGUCAUGAUAGCGCCCGCAGAGUCCAGCACUGGAACAGCAACCUUGCCUUCAAGCAUGCUAACCACAGAUGACAUUGGCGGCCUUAGUGCUGGAGUCACAUAAGUACACAUCAGAGCUAUCUUUAUCAAUGCCAACACUUCCUCUUUGUCAAAGUGAGAACCAAGCCUCGGAUCAACUAGUUCUAUCAAAUUUCCUCUUUCCUUCAGAAAGUGUGCCUAGAUACAGAAAUGUAAAGUGAAGAUAUUUCCCUUUCAAGCUUCAGGUAUUGAUCAGUUGCAAAAUAUGCUCUAAAUACUGAAACAGGAAGAAGUAUAUUAUCUCCCUUGAUAAUUACGUGGCAAAUGCAGUUGAUAAGCACCUGCUAGAUUUAGGGUAUAAAUGGAUAAAAAGAAUCGAAUGAGUCAAUACAGAUCAAACAUGAUUUUUUUUACCGAUUUUAAAGAAAAGGUAGUAGACUCCAAAAUCACUUACUAAUGGUUAACCGGUUGCCAAGAAAUCACCUACACCGCUUUAAAAUCACUAGCUAUUGUCGAGUUUUAUCAGCACGAAUUAUUUGUCAGUGUCAUUACAUGAAACGGUAGACUCGUCUUUCAGAGUUCUUGAUUAUGCAACUCAGGCGACAAUCAGAUUUAACAAGGACUAAUAAUAUGAUUGUUUGCUCUAAUGAUUGCUCACUCAAAGCAAAACAAAAUCUAACUUAGGGAGUCAAUUAUAUGAAUGUGAAAAAAGUUAUACCUCAAUCGAAAGUAUAUGGAUAUUCUGGUUAAGACAUGGUCUUGAAAACUUUUUAAUUUAACAGUAAUUGCCAAAAUAAAAUAGUAGUCGAAGGACUUGUUUGGUGCCAAUGAAACUACAGGGAGUAUGAAUGUCAAGCAUAAAAACAUAAAGACUAAAACUGAACUUUCGAGAUCCACCCUAAAUUAUGGGGUCAACUUCCCCAAAUAUCAAGGAAUAGAAUUUCUUCGUUCAAAAAAAAAAAAUACAUGAAAAUUCAGAGUAGACCAACAUGAUAAGAAGAGUCGGAUUAAUUUGAAAUAAAAAAUUGCACUUAACAGCAUGACAAUUCGAUAAGCAAAUUUCAAUAGCUGUUAACUGUGAAACUCCUUUGCAACCAUUGAAAGUGCAUGUGAGGAUUUAAAUACAAAUAUGAUCAUAAUUGAAAUGAUAGAGUUGAUUACCCAAUCGAGUAGAAUAAAGCAUUCCUCAGUUUUUUGGGAGCUAGUGUUGCUCCGGCCACUAACAACUUCUAAGGCAACAAUGCCAAAACUAUAGAUGCCGGCUUUGUCAGUGAGGUAACCAUGCAUUGCGUACUCCGGUGCCAUAUAUCCACUGCACAACAAGAAAAGAGCUUGUGUUUGCAACAAGGUAACUGCCUUAAAUAGCACAUACUUAAUAUUCCUAAAAUUCAAAAGAAAGAGUCAUUCCUAAAUGUGACGCUAUGGUCUAAAGAGUAGAGGAAAAAAACAAAUGCAUCCUAAUAUAUUCUAAUAUCAUUUACCGAGAAUAUUUCAGGAAAAAAAAAGGACCAUUGUUGUUCUUUGUAAUUUUUCUUUUGGUUUGAAAUAUAAGUAUCAUUUAUAAGAUGACCUACAUGAGCUUAAGGGCAUUUCCCAGCAUUACACAGAUAUCUAAGAACGUGCAAAAAUGGAGUGAGGGAAUCUCCAUAUAGUACCCAAUAUUAAAUUUAUUUGGGAAGGGCUAAAGUUUUUGUAAAGUGAAGCUCGCCUUGUAACAAGUUUACGAAUUUUAGCCACGAUAAUGGGGACAUCAUUUGACUUGUUUUGGAAAUGUCUAUAGUUACGUUUAUAGUUCUUUUUGUUGAAUUAACGUUAGAGUUAGUAGAAUGAACUUACAAUUUUAUCUUUCCCCUAAUUAAUCACGUUCCUUUCACAAACAAGUUGACUUUUCACACGCAUUAAUGCAAACUUCUAAAACAUGUGAACAUGCUUAUCUAUGUUUCUCCAUGUGCAUACAAUAGAAACAUGGGCGAAUUUGCUAUAAUACUAAGUUAUAUUCAAAUUAACAAUUACAUAAGUCAAUACCAGAGUAUCAUUACUUAAUGGUAGAGUAUGACACAAUUUACAUUUUUUUCCUAAUUAAUGUGAAGAGUGCUGGGACAGUCAUAAAGCUUUGUGGUUAAGCCGAAUUUGUUGAGCAACAUGCUUUGGGAUGAUGUGAAUCCACCACAAAGCUUCAUUCAACUCACUUUUCUUAAAUCAGAAUAUAUGUUUCUAUUCCAUGCUUUUAUGUUGUCACUGGCUCCUACUUAGGUUAACAGGAACAAAAAGCAAGAAACUUACUAAGUUCUAGCAAUCUUGGUGCUAAUAUGUGUUUUGUCCUCCUCAUCAAGCUUUGCUAAACCAAAAUCUGAUAUUUUAGGGUUGAGAUCCUUAUCCAGUAAAACAUUAGUAGCCUUAAUGUCUCUAUGCACAAUCUUCAGCCUUGACUCUUCAUGAAGAUAUGACAAUCCCCUGGCAAUACCCACGCAUAUCUUGUGUCUUGUCCACCAAUCCAACUUUAACUGAAAUUCUUCAGGACCUUCAAUUGUAUCAAAAGACAUCAAAGCUGCUUUACUGCCAUGUCAUUAACUGAAGUCAAUGAAGCACAAUGUGAUAUCAAAUUACCAAAUAAAGCGCGAGCAAGACUGUUAUUUUCCAAGUACUCAUAAACCAGCAAAAGUUGAUUUCCUUCAAUGCAGCAUCCAUAGAGUUUCACAAGAUGUGGAUGCUGAAGAGCAGAAAUCAUCCCAAUCUCAGUCAGGAACUCAUUAUUUCCUUGUUGUGAUUUGGAUGAAAGCUGCUUCACUGCUAUAGUGGUGCCAUCUGACAGAAAACCCUGCAAUUCAACUUUAGCAUCAGAUCUAUGUUGUGAAAAUUGAGUUACAUUGAAUGCUGCUUUCUACAUAUCUUCUCUCUUGGGAAUAAGGGGAAUUUGGUUAGCCAAUUUUCCAGCAUACCUUGUAGACAGAACCAAAACCACCUUCUCCUAUCUUAUUGGCAGGGUCAAAAUUGUUUGUGGCAGCUUUAAUCUGUCGCAAGGUAAAUAAACCAAUUUGCAACGCUAGAUACUUCAAAUCUGCAACACGUUUUGGAACUUCUAUGAAUUUGGAAAAGUCAACAGUUAAAGUAUGUAAUCCACUAUCUAAAAAGACGUAUCAAUUCCUUCUCAAUAUUCCAGAAAACCUUUUUGUGACGUUUUGGUCUGAGCAAGUUCAGUACAGAAUAGCUUAGCAUCUUGAAAAUUAUUUUCUAGGAAAGUCUGGCAUCAGUUGGCAGUAUGUAUUUAUGAAAAGUAAAAUGAGAUUGUCCCGAGGGUAUUUAAUAGUGAAGGAAAAUAAAAAUCAUACAGAGAACCCCCUUGGAAACGUAGGGUAUGGUUUGUAUGUUUUAAUUUCUCAUGCACGUGAAGUUCUGGCAGAUAUUUUUGGUGUCUUGAAACAUAGACUUUGUGUGUAUACACACACACACAUCUGAGAAACAAUCUACCGUCUCUCCCUAUAACUAUCUAUUCCUUUAUUUUUCGGAUUUCUAAAUAAAAAUAUUAGUUCAUUAAGCAAACCAAAUGGUUCUACGACACUUUAGCUGUAUAUCGCCUAAUAAUAAUCUUUGGCUUUUUGCGUCGAAUCAAAUUCCCUAUGGAAUGCACAAUGUCAAGAAGGAGGAGGAGGAGGAGGAGGAAGUAUCAUGUGAAGAAGAAGAAGAAGAAGAAGAAGAAGAAGAAGAAGAAGAAGAAGAAGAAGAAGUAUCAUGUGAAGAAGGAGAAGAAGAAAAAGGAGGAGGAGAAGAAGGAGGAGAAGGAGGAAGAGGAGAAGGAGAAGGAGAAGGAGAAGCAGAAGAAGAAGAAGAAGAAGAAGAAGAAGAAGAAGAAGUAUCAUGUGCCAACAGUUUGAAGAAGAAGAGGAGGAGGAGGAGGAUGAGGAGAAGAAGAAGUAUCAUGUGAAGAAGAAGGAGGAGGAGGAGGAGGAGGAGGAGGAGGAGAAGAAGAAGAAGAAGAAGAAGUAUCAUGUGCCAACAGUUUGAAGAAGAAGAGGAGGAGGAGGAGGAGGAGGAGGAAGAGGAGGAGGAGGAUGUGCCAACAGUUUGACAGGACAACUGUGCGAUUUAGAGGAAAUAUAAAUGAAGAAUAGUCCAGGUAAGCAACUACCUUGUGCCAUUUUAUCUUUACAUCCGAGGCAUCCUCUCCACCAAAGGAUAACCAGGAUAAGGAAAACUACAAAAACUAUAGCAGCCAGAAUCCCAGCCACUGUGCCAGCAGAUAUGCUGGCCGGGGGAUCAAAGUCUGCAAUGAAGAAAGAACAAACAAAUAUUUAACCAAAACUGUUCAGUUAAAUGGGGUAGACGUAAAUGCAGAAAAAUAUCUGUAGCUUCUCAUUGAACACAGAGAAAUUGAUGGACAACACAAUAAUCGAGAAUCAAGAGGGCAUAAAACCGCCCAGAGUACUCCACAGAAACUAUCAGAUAAAUGAGCACCAGAAGAUAUCAACUAUGGAACAUGUAAUACAAAAUACAAAGGGAAAAAAAAAUCUACUCUUCAUUCUCAAGGCUGUACUGUAUGAUACAGGCACCAUGGUCGUAAUCCAUAGCGGAAAAGUGAACAAGGCUAUCAUUUCAUAGUCGAAUGGAAGGAUUGAAGAUACAUAGAGAAAACACGCUCAGAUGGAAAGAACACAAAGCAACCUAUAACCAAUUUUCGACUCUAAGAGAAUAAUAAUAGACCCCAGUCAGCUAUUAUGCGUAAUUGACUUGAUCUAUAGUGACAUAUGCCAAUGGCCUGAAUCCAACAGUAGGCAUUUGCAACCAAGCCAAGUAACUGAAUAGCCUAUUGAUGACUUCUGGUGCAAGAACAAAUAUGGGUAUUCUUUUCAACAUGAAUAUGAGUAACUUUCUCAACAGAGAAGCACCAAGUGAAACAUGGAAGCAUCCAUCCGCGUACCAGAGUAGACAGAGAUAGCAGAUAUAAGAGGACCAUAGACUCCAUCCUCAGGUAUACCAGUGCUUCCUUUCCCAGCCCAAUAGAAGCGUAUCUCCAGAGUGCCCUUGGUCACAUCGGCAGUAAAAUUUCUCAUGACCUCCUUUCCAACUCCACCUGCUUCAAUCUCAAUGUUGAAAUCUUUCCACACCAAUUUCCCCUGAAAUAAUAUUUCAUCUAAUUCAAGUUGAGUGUCUCCACACUGAACAAGGUAAAAAUUUUAGUCUCCAUAAAAUGUACAAAUUGUGAGAAAAUCACGAUUUGCAAGUACAAGAUACUUGGAUAAACUUCCCAACCAUAACAUAUUGAACGCUUUAUGUGCUUUAUAUAUUAGAAUCAGCACUCCAUAAUGCUCCGAGUUUACCUGUAUAUAAAUAUUAAAAUCUCUCUUUCCAAGGCUUUGAUAACUUUUGUCGCCUGUGAACAUUAUCUCCGCAAAAUGAAGAAUUACAUUGUAGGGCCCAUCCAUCAGACAAAAACCGUAAUAAGUUAGAGAGAUAGCAGAACGUCGUGCUUUUUUGUAAAGUUGGGCAUCAUUCAUGGACAGUGUGGAUGUGUUUUUAACUACAUAGCUAAAUGCAGUGCUACAGUAAUCGGUGAAGUAACCAGUGCUACUGUAGGCCCAGUAAUCACUCCUGAAGAAACUUGAAGGUGUAGCCUCCUCUGAGUCAGCUUCGUAUGUGGUGCCCUUUACUUUUGCUUUGCUCCCACCGCAAUUUAUGAAGAGGUUAUACUGAGCUGGAUGGAGAAAAGAAGCAGCCACAGAGAAAAUUCAGUUUCUUCUAUUUGUUAAUAUGGAGUGGACUUUCCAGACACUAAAUAAGCUAGCAUUCACUCAUUGGAAAAUUACAUAGAAACUCCCAAGUUAUGAGCAACCCAUUAUUUCAUGCAGGUAGCUUUUGAAAUUAUUAGGGUAAUUAUGCAUCAGCCAUCAAAGAUCGACACAAUAGCCAAGAGGAGAGUUGACAAGGAGACAAAUUUGAUGAGAAAUUACACAGAGAGUAACAUGCAAUAUUAGAAUCUGAUGAUAAUGAUAGGAUAUGUCAGAAUAAUUUAAAUAUAAAAUCAUGUAGUCAUCUAACAGUUUAAGCUUUUAAAACAGUUGGCUGUUAUCUUAUAAAAUUUCAUAUGGUAUCAGAGAUGGAUUUCAUGAGUUCAAAUCUUUCGAAGCCUCGUUUGCCUCCCUAAUUAAAUAUGUCCACACUUCAUCUAAUAGUCUAAACAUUUAGAACAGUUAGCUGUGGUCCCACAAAAUUUCAUAAGAUAUAUAGCACGUCAAUUUACUUUUUAUACAACAAUGACUCUGCAGCAUAUUAACUUACUUUUUGCACAACGUUGACUCUGCAAACAUGAGACAAGUCCACUUGUGGCAGAACAUGAGGUUCUGAGCAAGUCAGCAAAGAUUUUACUGUUAUAAUCAUCAUCAUUCUUAAUGAAGUUCGAUGCUAAGCACAUAAACAAUAAAAAUGCGGGUCCUUGGAAAUCCAAGUCUCUCGUUGAAAAGUUAAUCGCAAACAUACGCAUUCUCAACCUCGGAGCUUGCGAACAAGUUGCUGUAGAGAAAAGACAAAAUCAACAUUCAGCAGAGAAAUGGAAAUAUUAUACACAAUCAGUAUAUAAGUUACACAAUAAGUGCACAUUUGGGGGGAGCCCUGGACUGACUGAAGGAAGUAGGACAUACACAUAUCCUUCUUGACAUUCUGAGCCUCGAGCAGUGAAGUUGUUGUAUGACAAAUCACUACACAGAGAAACAGUCAACCAUUUCCAAAAUCUCAUCAAUUUGAAGAAUACACUGAAAGUCAUUCCAUCAAAUGAUUUUUUUUUUUAAUAAUUCCAUUAAAUGAUUAGUAUGUACAUAAAUGCAGAUAAGUUGCAAAAUGUGUACAGGUAAGGCAAGAUAAAAGGCGAAAACAUCACAAGAUGAUGAAAUUGAUAUUUUAUUCCUACUGAAAAUAUUUUAUCUUAGAAUAUGAAAAGGAGAAAGACUAAGUGAAGUAAACGGAGACUUUAAAACUAUUUAUAGUGUAUAAAAACAUUUUUACUCAGUAACAGUACCACAGUCAUGAUGUCUAAGGCAAAGAGGCUUUAAUAGAACUGUGAUUCCACCUACUAGUACGUCGCAUCUUGUAAUAAGAAAUUAUCCAGACCACAUUUAUCUGUUUAAACUACCUCACAAGAGCUUCAGCCCAAGCAACUAAUCAUAUACUUCAGGUGAUACGUUAGACAAACUUUCAAAGAGGAUUAAUAGGAGGUAAAAAUUUUCUAAACAUAACUUUAAUCAUUCCAAUAAGUCUGAAAAUGAUCUACAGCUGGGAAUGGCUUUUUGUAUAAGUCUGAAAAUUCACUUUAUAUUCAUGCAUAUCAUACAGUUCAGCCUCUUUUGUUACAUACAUCCAUCCAAUUAACAGAUCCCAACGAGGAGAAAGGUACUUAUAAUGUUUCCAUUUAUCUCCAAAGGCUACUAACCAUAAACAUGCAAUAUGUGAAUGCAUAAUUGCUUGGUACAGAGCAAGAUUAGCCAGAUAAAGCUAGAAGCAAAUUCAUGAUUAAACAAGAUAUUUUCUUCAGGCAGUGAAGCUUACACAUUUUUUCCUUUCUCCAGGAUCCAAUCAGGGACUGCUCCAGUCAACUGGUUUCCAGUUAGAUACCUAAACAAGAUUAUUUGAAUGAGUCAGCUCCUCAUGUACUUUAUACACUCUAACUGAAAAUUAUUUAAGACUUAUACCUCAAAAACGCAUUAUUUAGCAGAUUAUUAGCAUUUGUUUAUUAGCAGUGUAGAAAAAAAUCAGUUUAAGUCAUGAUAACAAUAUAGAGCUUUCAGCUGGAGAUGAAAGAUUAAGGAAAUCAAUGACAGAGGAAAACCCUGAUCCCUGCGAAACUUGGAGCGCCUGGAGAAAGAUUACCAUAACAGUAGUUCACAAAGCUGGACUAGUGAAGGGUACCUCCAAAUUAGCUUAUCAACUAUUUCCUCGUGAUAAUGUUUUUGUCCUUCUAAGACAUAAAAUAAAUAAUUAAGGAAGAUGUGCCAUUGUCAAGCUUCAAUCGUUGGGCAGAAAGAUGAAAACCAAUGUUAAACAGUCCAAGAAGCUUAGGACUAUAGUUUCUAAUAAUUCUCAAAACUAGGGUUAAGAUACCAAGGUCCUCCACAGACCUUCCAAAUAGCACUUAAGAGCUGCACUCACCAAACUUCUAGAGCCAUUGUUGUGGAAAGAACCAAGUAGAGAGCCUAAGGACUUUUGCUAUAUUUAAUCUCCUAUACAUCAUAAAAUAGGCACACAAGAUGUGCAUUGAGUACAGAAACAUACAACUGUCAAAUGCUAAAGUACCACUGAUCCAUUUAACUCUUCCAGCGUAAACAAGUAACUUUUUGAAACUUGUGAAUCAGGCAAAGAAAUGAUCAAAAGGGCUGCUCCUUAAGCGACAGAAUAUCAACAAUCUACGCCUGCUCCAUGACUAAAGUCCCACCAAAAUAAUUACUUGACAAUAAUCAUAAAUUCUUAACUCAAUUCAUUACAAAAUUUGGAUGGUGAAGUAAUAAGCAUUCACGACCUGAGGACUUUGAGAGUUAAAAAAUGAAUAUGUUAUCAUGGUCUAAGUUCUAUUGAUAGCUCAACUACUUUAUGGUAAAAGUUGCCUGUAGCUUGACCACUAGAAAACUUGAGACUUUAGAUUCUUCUACAAAAUACGAAAAGAAGCCUAAGUUCAGCAUCGAAGUACUUACAUAUAUUCUACGUUUUCCAGGCUGCUGUAGGAUAUAGGGAUUUUGCCACUCAGUUUGUUGAAGCUGAGGUCUCUGCAAAGCAAGUUUAUGUGAAUAUAUAUUGAGAAGGUACUUUUAACUGACCCCCUCAGGACACUCUUUGAGCAUACUUCAGACGAUUGUACAAACACAGACUACAUCAAUGAACAUACAAAGUCCAGUUCAGAUUUUUAGACAUACAGGUCAACUGUCUAGUGCCUAAGCUUUCUACUAGACAUUCAUCUCCAGAGGCAUUCAUUGCCUAAAUCCAAGUUUCAAGUUGGUCACGUGCUAUAAGUAUACAAAACUGCUGUAAAUCAAAUUUACAAAAUGGAAAUUUCAAUUUAUAUAACUAGAAAAGCUAUUUGGGCACUAAAUUGAGUGCAUCCCAAGGAAUGCACCAUAUUAUAGUUCAGAUUGGGAGAUUUCACUCAUCUAAUAGGACCGAAACUAAAGCUAAUCAUAAUUUGUUGAAAACAUCUCCUUCACAAUAUAUUAUUUAUGAAUAAUGGGAUGCCGACUCAAUACUAGGGUGCUUAGAAAAGGAAAUAUCAGCUUCAGUGAAUAAAAAAAUAAAGAACAAAAUGAGGAUUUCAAAAAAUAGGUUAGGGAAUAGAGUAUGCGAUAAGCUGCAGCAGAACCACAGAAAUUUGGUCAUUCAAGAAUGUCAGAAAAACAAAAAAUUAAAGCUCCAUAUGUUUCGUGAAAAAUGUAACGUUUUUAGAAAAAGAAUUCCAUGAAGUUAUUUUUUUAGGAAAAUGAAAAUAUUCCAGUGCUUGACUGAAAUCCUGAAAAUACCCGGAAAAUAUUUUCCAUUGUUUAGUAUGGAAAAUUUAAUUUGAUUUUCUAGGAAAAAAUUGCCAAAAAAUUCGAAUUUUUUAAGUUAGUUUUUUAAUCCUUUUCUUUUAACUUCUUCCUCGGCUGGUUGUCAGCUAUGGCGACCGGCCAUGGGAUAAAAAAAUAUUUUUAUAAGAACAAACAUUUCAUUAACUAAGGAUCCGAACUUGAGCACCAAGGACCUGCACACGGCCUUCGCGGACUCAACCUAACUGCUGGGGACUAGAGCUUGAGUGUCAAGGACCCAAGCACCGCUUUUAUGUACUCGGGGUCACGUAUUAGGGCAUUGGGCCUGAGCACCAGGGCUUCGGGCCCAACCUCGAUGGACUAGGCCCGGGCACUAAAGACCUAGUCCUGAACACUGAGGACCAAGAACCAGGUGUUGGGGUUCCCGUGUCCAAGCAAAGAGUUGCGGGUCCAACCACCGAUACCAACUCAUAGUUUGGAAAAUGUUUUCUGACUUUUCAAAAGAGGAAAUCAUUUCCUAAAUUUAAACAUAGAUCUUUCAUUGACUCAGAAAAUAUUUUCUAUUAACUCAUUUUCCUAAACAAACCAAGCGCUAGAAAAUCAGGAAAAUGUUUUUCGCAAAACAAACAAAGCCAUGAUAGAAUGGCUAAAUGUUGCUGUUAAAAGUAGCGUUUAUUAAAUCUUACAGAGAUGACCACAUGAACAAGAAGAAUUGACUUGUAUAAAGAUGAAUUUGAAGCCAUGCUCUCGUUUGAACUAUGAAUGUUAUGUCUGACAAGUGUACAACAGUCAAGCAAAAAACUCCAGCUAGAUAUUGUAGGGCUGAGAUUCGAGAAUGUAAACCACCGGAAGGAAAGUUUCUAGACAAUCAACCACUAGAAGCCUCCAUUUUGCAUUAAUGCUCUUAAGAAGUUAAGAUAACAUAUCAAAGCAAAAGUAAAUUAGACGAAAUGGGAAACCACAACCAAGGUAAGAAUUCUUGCUGGAAAAGUGAAAACAAGCAGAGUGUUAGAAUAUUUAAAUAACAAACCACGCUUUCAUCUAAUAGCUUGAGUUUUUAGAACAGUUGACAAUAGUUUCACAAAUUCUCACAGAGAGAAAAAGUCCAUAUACUUUUGUGCGAAACUGUAUAUUCUACAGCAGAGACCACAAUCACCAAGAUUUUAAAUGCCACAUCAUUCACAAUUCAGCAUUAUCAAUAGAAAAUAUCAAAACACCAUUGAAGUCAGUAAGGGACCUUCAAGCCAUCUUAAAUGGGUUCUUUAACUGCAACCAAUAGUCAACCAAAAACUAGUAGAAAUUUCACUCCUUAAGGGUAAAAUUAUUUAUUCUGCUUGGAAUAGCCAAAGGGAAAAGGCGCUUUCUACUCACAAUAUUUUUAGAUUUGUCAUAUUUGCUAGAUAACCAGGUAGCUCUCCCAUGAGAUUGCAGCUCCUCAGAAUCCUAUAUGAAAAUAACACCGAUAUUGUCAAAUUGCUAAGACGAUUUGGCUCUUUUGCAUAAAGUAAACUAUCUGUGAAGGAGCAUCGAUCUCACAGUGUUUCAAUUUUUUUACUGUUGAGUUGUGGAACACGAGACUCGGGUCCAUCGAGGUCACUUAUUCUCCUGCAUAUCAAAAUCAAAUAGGAGCUUUAUUUGAUUGAUAACAUCUUAAAGAAAGAGAGAUCAGAUCGAAAUGCCAAAAUUCCAUACUGACAAGUCAUUCAAUCGCUCCAAACGUGCGAUCCCAGAGGGAAUCGGCCCUUGCAAUCCACUUCCUUGAAUAGACCUGAUGAUACGAUUCAUAGAUGGAAUUGUCUUGGGGGUAUAUCUAUAGAGACCGACUUAAAAGGGGAAGAAGCAUCAAGCCUUACAGUUUUUGGAGAUUUGUCAAGUUCUGAAUAAAAUCGGGUAUCUUUCCCAUGAACUGAUUAUCACCAAGUUGCCUACAGUCCAUUAAACAACAUGAUUCAUAUGAAGGAGAAAGAAUAGAAUGGCUAAAUAUUAGCUGAGUUUGUGGAUACUGGAAACUAACAGGUAACGCAAUUCCCUUAAGUUAACAAAUGUUUGAGGCAGCUCCCCCGUGAAAUUAUUUGACGUAAGCCACCUGAAACAAGAAAAACCCAUGACAACACAUUGGUUAAUAGAACCUGAAUGCUGUAUCUCUCAACCCAUGAAAAAUUAUGGAUUAAUUUUUAGCCUUUAAAUUAAAAAGAAAAAAAUUCCAUUAAAUUACACAAUAGAGCACAAGUCAACGCCAGAGCAUGGAGGAGGAGAAGGGACCACUAGGGUAGCCUAAGGACUCGCCAGUGUGCGAGAGACUAGAGGGUGAAGGGUCUCCCCUGAUUGUAGGGGUGUCAAGAACCGAACCGAACCGAAAACCGAACUAAACCGAACCGAAAAAAUCGGUUUUUUCGGUUCAGUUCGGUUUUCAGUUCGGUUCCCGUUAAAAACCGAAAUAUCUUUUAUCGGUUCAGUUUUUAUCGGUUAACCGAACCGAACCGAACCGAAAACCGAACUAAACCGAACCGAAAAAAUCGGUUUUUUCGGUUCGGUUCGGUUUUCAUUCGGUUCCCGUUAAAAACCGAAAUAUCUUUUAUCGGUUCGGUUUUUAUCGGUUAACCGAACCAAACCGAACCAUAAACCGAUAAAAUCUCUUUUAUCGGUUCGGUUUAUUCUCUCCCGUCCCGUCGGUCCCGACUCUAGGUUUUAUUCUGUCUCAACUUUGGCCCUCUCCUCUCGUCUCGUGUCUCCUCUUGGUCGGCUUGGAGGUGCAACGGCGAUGGCGGCAGGGACGACGACUGCAACGGCGACGGCGGUAGGGACGGCGAUAGCCAUAUAAAAGCCCCUCGCCACCUCCCUGUCCGAGUCGUCCACCUCCAAUUCCUACUCCAGUCGCCGCCGCUUCCUCGCCCUCUUCCUCUCCUUCUCUCUCUCGAGCCAUCGAAGGUACCUCCUCUCUUUUGAGUUCACCUCUUCUCAUCCAUCGCUUCCUGCGAUCGUGGGUCGUCGUCCUCGAGGUUCCAGUUUUUGCUCUCGCAUCUCUAGCUCGAUGUGCCCGGCUUUGUUUGGUAGUUUUCGGUUUGCCUGUUUCGGUUUUGCUGAUGCUUGGACUUCGAAAGAUGUGAUUUUUUUUUUUUUGUGCGGAUUGACGUCCUUGUGGUUUGCAAAUGGUGUCGGAUCUCCGGUCAGUGGUGUUGGUGUCUCUGAUCUUGUAGUUGAAGGGACAAAAUUACACCGGGUCGGAUCUUAUUUUCGUAGGGAAGCAUGGCGUUGGCUGGAAUUGAGCUUGUUGAUGGACUAAAGGGUCCUUUCUUUUUCACGCUUUGAAGGAGAUCAGAUGGUCGGAGAGGAAAGAUGUGAAGUGUCUGCCCGUUUGUCUCCGAAGUUGGGAGGAAGCGAUUUGUGGGCUCAGGGGAAUUAUUUAGUUGUUUUGUAGUAGCAUCAGUUUGCUUCCUCUUUUUUGCCCAAAUGGAAGGAAGUAUUUCUCAUAGAUCAGUUCUGUUCACUUUAAUCCAAGUCUUUCGAAGCGAUGAUUGGUUGGGUGGAGUCUGGCGAACGGAAGGUAAGCCGUCCCGAAAAAAAUAAAAUAAUAAAUAAAUAAAUAAAAAUAAAAAAUCGAAAAAAAUCAAAAACCGAAACCCAAAAUUUGAAAACCGAAAAACCGAACCGAACCGAAUAGUUCGGUUCGGUUCGGUUCGGUUCGGUUCAGAAAUUUUCUCUAACGGUUCUGUUCGGUUCGGUUGUGCAUUUUUUAUAAUCUAUUUCCUUAGCUAGUUAAGAAUACAUUUCUUGGACUCAUGAAUGCUGCAUGAAUACUUUAUUUGGUGAUUGAACAAGAAAAAGUAUCGAAAAUGCAUUAGUUGGUUAAUUAGUGUAAUUAAGUUUUCAACUUUAGAUUAUCUGGUUCAAAGUAAGUAAUCCUCCCAGUACUUUACUUAGGAUCUAAUUGAUCCACCUUAAAUUGAUUAAUGUCGUAAUUUGCAUGUUAAAAACUCAAAAUAUAAAUUGCGAAUUAGUAUGAGCUUGAGAGAGUUUGAACUAGAUUUGAACUUAACAAUCCAUUAGCCAAAUUUUUAGUGGUCCACCUGAGGAUAGGUCGCAACAAUUUUGCUAUGACGAUAUCUCAGAUUUAGGUUAUUAUACAAUUUAUCGAUGGUGGAGUCCAAAUUCCAUUAUUCUUAGAAACUUCAUUAGCUCAUUCAGGGUUAUGGCUGUGGAGACCCAAUAAUGUGGAGGCCGAUGAAAUACCCUUCAAGCCUUACAAAUCGGUUAAGUUCAAAUCUUUGGACCUAGACCCAAUAUUAUUUGCACGCUGUUGGUGGUAUCAUAUAUGUUAAAUAUAAAUAAUGGAAAAAAAUUGUCCUAUUAAAGUGGUUACAAAACAAAAAUAUCAUAUACGUCGAGUUGGAAUUCUAAUUUAGAUAACCGGAAUAAUAAUAUCUUAGGAUUUUUUAGGACAAUAAUUGAAUUGUACGAUCGUGAAAAAUAAAAUAUUUGGCAGCAUAGUCUAUCCCAUUCAUUAAUAGGUGCUUGUAAAUUAGCAUAUCUAAGUCUCUAUUGAUGUUGACAAGUGUUUUACCCAUUUAACAUGGAAUUAUUCGAAAUAGAUUUGAUCGAAUUUGGAUUCGGAGCGUGAGGAUUUUGUACUUUGACUUGCUUUGGCCUAACAUGGCCUCUUUUUAUCUCUGUUCCAUGUUAUAAAUCUAGACACCAAUUGCAGAAAAAUCGCGGCACAUAAAACAAAAGUUUAGACUCAAACCAAAUACUAAUGGUUCCAUGGGUGAGGUCGUGCACGAGACUUAGGCAAAACGUCAUCUUCUAUGUAUGUUUAAUCAGGUUAAUGUCGAGUCAUGGAGGGUUAUUUUAAUAUUGUCAACCAAUGCAAUAAUAUUGGACCCGUGAGUUUAUGAGAGCUUUGAAAAUUCCAAGUUAACUUUAAAUGAUGAAUUCUAAGCAUGUAGUGUCGUCAUUUAGUGUCAACCCCUAAACUUCGAGCGUGCGAACAUCCCACAAUGGUCAAUUAAAAUGCAACUUCUCAAGACGUGUCGCCGACUUGCCCAUUCGGCAACAGCCUUAGGCUGAAGUUUGAGAGCUGUGCUGGGAUAUACAGAGGAAGAAAACCCUUCCAUUACUCUUCAGCUCAUACACCCAAUCACACUGACCAUCACCACCGUGCCAUCACCAAUCGCCCCUUUGCCACCACCCACGAAGACUCAUAUGAGUGAAUAGUCGAGAUUCCUUUUGUUCAAUAUGGAACUUUCAGAAGUUUGUUUAAUGAAACUUGACUGUCCCUUUGAAAUUAGUUGGUGAGAUUGAAUACACGAGAAUUCGCUGGUUGGGUUUUGUGAUGAUGAUUGCUGCUCUUCUAGUCCAAUCAUAGCCCGCACGUGUUAAGAGUAAUAAAUUACACCUUUAACAGUUUAAGCUUUUAAAACAGUUGAUAGUGGUUUUACAAAUUUUCUCGUUGUAUUAGAGCUAGAGGUCCUUCGUUCAAAUUUUCUAGGCCUUGUUUGCUUACCUAUUUAAAUUUCCAUGCUUAGAUAUUACGCAAAAAGAUCAGACUAAGACUAAGUGUCACCUCAAGACCUUUAGGAAGAUGUACAAGAGGAGUUGCGGAACAAAUAACUUCAUGGUCUAAUAUGCGGUUAUAAGAAAUGUCAUAUUGUCUAAUAGGACUAUGAUUAGAGGAUGGUACCAUCACUUUCCAUGAAGUGACGGAGCCCUCCUCACCACACAUCCUAAUGUGUAACAUUUUGGGGAUCAGAAUAUCAAAUUGACAAAUAUGUUGUCAAAAAUGUCAUUGCUGUAGAAUUGCCCUACUGUAAAAUUGACCAUACAAAUUUUGAGCUUGUAUGAUGUCAACUAAUAUUUUGUGAAAUUUUCAAUUCAUCGAAUUGAUGUAAUCCCCUUUGAUCACUCAAUUCCAAACUGAGUAUUAAAUGAUAACAAAUUAAAGACAAAUGAAAAACAGAGGCAAAGCAGAAGAUAGGAACUGGACAUAGAUAAAUAGUGGUGCUGGCAAUGGCAGCUGUAGGCGCCGUGCAUAUGGAGGACAACGAAAUGGUGGUGGGGCUGGGUUUAAAUGGAGGGAGGGCGAGGCUGUUGGGUGGCGAUGGAUGUUGCGAUGAGGAAGGAGAGGUGGUGACAACGGAGACGAUCCUACAACCGACUCUCGCCGAAGCCAACGCCUUUGUGUCUAAGUUAUCCUUCACCCUUGCUAUCGAAGCUUGCGGUCGCUCCCUAUCCAUCGUCCAAUCUCCUUCUUUGGUACAGACUUCAUUCUGGAAAUUCAUUAAGUGCCUUCAUUCUCGCUAGGGUUCAGUGGAAGAGAAACUUUUCUUUGAUCGGAGCAAUAACUUGAGAAAAUGUAUGGAGGAAUACAUAGCAUGGAGGAGACAAUAGCAUGUGGGAUAUAUGUGGCUUUACAACAAGGCCAUUUUUGGCAAUUGAUUUUGUCAAUUUGAUAUUCCUAUUCCCAAAAUCUCACACUUGAAAUGUAUGGUUGGGAGAGUUCCCUUACUUUGUAGGAAUUGACAAUACAAUUCUCUAAGCAUUUCUUUGUCUAAAAAUACCUAAGUAGAUACGUUUUAGUGUUGAUCGGUUCUUGUUGAUAAUUUUGUCGAUCAACUUCUCAAAUCUUUUUUUGCUAAUAAUUUUCAAGUUGUGUUGUCAAUGACUUUAUUGGCAAUUUAUCGAUCCCUUCAAAUCAUGGACUGUUUUGUUUUAUCAGUGAUUUCUAUUUUCAACAAACCCCACUCUUAUCUAUUAGAAUAAUAUAAAAAUGAUUGUUGAAGAUUUGAGUAAGUUGGUUAUUGACUCUAGAUUUGGUGUGAAGAGGAGAAGAAGAAGAUUGCGCACGGCUUCCAUGUAAGAUUGUCAGCCGAAUAAGAAAGUGAAAAGAAAAGGGACAACAUAAAUGAAGAGAGGGAGGAGUCGAAAGAAAAAUUGGCCAGUAAAAAUUGUGGGCUUCGUUUGUCCUCUUUCAUUCAUUGCAUGGAUCAAAUAAAGAGGAAAGAAGGGUCCAUGAAGGCCCAUUAAUGCAUGCGCAUGUAUGCAUGUCAUGAAAAAUGGAGGGGGCCGUUGCUAUUGCAGAGAUUUGUCUUGCAGGCACCGUUGCUAUUAUUUAAUGUCUGUGUGUUUUCCUUUUAGCUUUGUUGACUUUUGUAGUUUCACUUUAAUGUUAACAGAAGGAGUGUUGAAGAUUUCGUGUGCUAUGUUUAUCUCCAUCUCUAUUGUAAUUUAGUGUUAUGCUAUUAUGUAAGAUGUGUAAGGGGGUGUUGUAAAAGAGUAGCCACCACAAAGCAUUCUAAGAACAACUUCUCCCUUUGGUCUUCACUUGUGCCUUGCUCCGAAAUUUUCAAAGUUGCCAUUAAUUUUUUCUUUUUGGCUCCAACAUCAUUGACUAGUCUUGGUCAUCUUUUGGUGUCAACAAUAAUGAAAAUGUGUCAAUACAUCUUAACGGGAACUAAAUUAGUAAAACACAGAAAUUAUAUUAUGUUAGUUUGAUUUAUGUCAAUGUCAGUAGGGUAAGUAAUCUUUUGCUCUGUUGUGAUUAAUGAAGAAUGGUGACGGAAUUUUGUGAUCAAAUGCAUCGCUAUCUGCUCCCACCUCCCCAUUUAUUAUUAGAUUAGAUAAACACAUUUUACUCAACUUUCUUGAGGCGAAAGUGACUGAUGCUAAAACAUCACGUGGAGAGAGAGAGAGAGAGAGAGAUCCAAGACUAAAAGUCAGCUGCUACAGUGCUCGUAAAUAAACAUGCAGGGGUUACGAGCAAUCGCCAUACCCAUGUAGGAGACUGCAGAAAACGAAGCCAAGCUGACACAAACUGCUUUCUUUGUUCUUUCUCAUUGUAAAGCCACCAGUGUAUGUGUUUGCGUGAUCGAGUACCGAGUGUGUGCAGGCAAAUGUUCAUCAAACCAGCGAUAUAAAAUAAAAUGAUCAACAAAUCAAUCAUAAUAAAGUAAAUAUGUGAAAAUAUGUCUUCUUCUUCUUCUCCUCCUCUUUCUGAAGUAUGGCGCCUCAGAUGGAUUAGGUCUAUCCAGGCAUGUGCAGUUGAAUUGAUCAUGUUGGACGAGUCUAAGGAGUAAGUUCUUGCAGCCUCUUGAUCGCGCUUGGGUCACUCUGUGGGCUGAAGGUUAAAAAUAGCUAGGUUAUCGAUGCUUCUUUUACUUUUCCUAUCAUUACAUCUUCAAAUGGAAAUCAAACUUGGUAUACGCAAACAACCCAGUCAAGAUCCAAGAGAUUCAAAUGUACUUAUGAAGCCCUGCAUCAAAAUGACAAAAACCCUUGAAAAGGAAAGGCCAUGGAGUGGGAGAGAGGGAUCAAACCAGCGUUCAAUUGAAACACCCCACGGCCAACUCAUCUCAAUCUGUCACCAUCCGGGACCACAUAAGCAUGUCAUACCUCAGGCCCCCUCCCAUUCCUAUAUAAUUGGUAUCCAUCCUCAUAGGCCUUUCCCACUUGCACUACAUAUCCAUUAUAAUCCACACUGACCAGCACUCGCAGCUGUACUUGGCUGGGAGCUAGAAAACGAGACCACCGAGACAGAGAGAGAGAGAGAGAGACAUGAAAAUGAUGGAGGCGAGGAAGAAUGUGAUAAACAAUGACUUUGCAGAGAAAGAGAGCAACUGCAUCAACGGGCAAUCGUCCGCGUCCUACCUGGUGUGGGACGACUUGACGGUGUCGGUGCCCGCUGGUUCCAAGAGGAAACUGCUAAACCAGCUCAGCGGGUACGCUCAGAUGGGUCGGAUCUUGGCCGUCAUGGGUCCUUCCGGCUCCGGAAAAUCCACUUUCCUCGACUCAUUGGCAGGUUUCUCCGCUUCUCUCUGCCAACCUCCUCAUUUCGGAACAUUUUCUGGAAAUAAUAUAUCCAUUUACUUGGCCUUGUUGUAUUGCAUUUUUAUUUGAGUUAUUAAAAAGUCCACCGCCGGUGAAAUCCGAAUUCCACCUUCGAAGCUCUACGUACGAAACUCCUAGUGAUACCGAUACGGUUACCGAAAGAUCGAGACAACAAGCAUUGCCCAUAUAUGGAAAAUAUAGCAACUUAAUAUAGUCACCAAAAUCAUUAAAAGCAUCGAAAAAAUUGCAAGAGGCUACGAUGAUUACCCCUUUCCAUAGCCAGAUCUAGUAGUGUAGAAACGAAAGUGCAGCAAACUGUUUAUUCUCAUAUGAAUUGGGUCUCCCAUGUAUAUUGAUGCUAUUCUCUUUCGAUAUCUAUUAUGUAUAGUUAAACUCACUUUAUUUAAAGAUUAGAAAUAGAAUUACAUAAAAAAAAUAAAAAAAGAUACGGCUUAUAGAAGUAAAAUAGUGAUGAUAUAAUUAUUUUUGUAACUAAUAAAUUCACUUGAUAAAAAUUCUAAUGGCAUAAUCAAAUUCUUACAAAAAAAAGCUGAAUAGUAUUUAAGUGUAACUCUUCAUAGUUAUAUCAUUUCAUUUGGCUUGAUAUCAAAAUCCUUUGAGGCACAAACAUGCUCUACAACGAUUUUGUCUCUCAUUUAUAUUGAUGUUAUUUUUUUUUCUUUCUUGAAUUAUAAUAUGUAGUUGAAAUCAUGUCAUUAGAAGAAGAGAAUAAAAUUAGCUAACGAAAAAAAUUAAGAAGAUACAACUCUUAAAUUUCCAGUAACUAUAUCAAUAUCACUUGGGAGUUUCCAUAUAUGGUGCACUGAAAGUGGGAUUCGGAUUCCACUAGCGGAGGACCAUAGAAUAACUCUAUCUUGUUCACCAUGGUUUUAAAAGAAAAAGGAAACUCUUGAUUUGAUCAAUAAAACCGCAUUAAUUAUAUCAUGUGAUGAUAACAUAGCGUAUUUUUGUUACACCCAUGCAAGCUUGAGGGUUUUGGUGACAAAAAAGGGUUUUUGAGUAUUGAUAUAAAUUAGGGAUGAGCGGUUCCAGAUUUCUUACAAGUUUCACUUGGAACCUGGAACCUACCCUCGAGUACAAGUUCCUCAUUUUUUGGAAUCUAGAACCUACCUGUUACAACCUACCUGUUACAGGUUCGGGUCGGUUCCAAGGUCCAACAAGUUCUUUUAUUCUUUUCUAUUUAAUUUUUAGUUUUAAAAAAACGAAAAUGAAUGCAAUAAUAAUAAACAAGCUUGUCUUUCAUCAAAGAGAAUACAAAACGAACAAAACUAUCAACAGAGGAAAGGAAUUCUUGGCAAGGAAUUCGACUAAAUAAAAUAGAGGAAAUUAGUUCACGGAACAUCCUAAAUAAUAAAGCUGUCAGUCAAUAACCGACACAAAAUAGAUGAAGAAAUACACUUUCAGAUACACAUUCAGCAUUGCAGAAUGAGUCAAGGGGUAUGGUUACUUCACACUAGAGUGUCACUAACAAUGUAAACAAAUGCCAAACAGAGAGAUAAAGUAAUUCCAAUUCCAACGGAGUUCUUACAUGAUGAAUGUUGAUAGCAUUCAAGAACUUUUCAAAUGCCUAAAUCCAUUCAUGAUGGUUCCAAACAAGUGGAAUAUCAACAAAAAUCACCCAAUAACCCCGAAAGUUUUUAAAAUAGGCCAAUUAUGGAAAACCCAUGCUCUAUAUCCUUGGAACAACAUUAACAACACCAAAGAAGUUUGUUGUGCAGUGACCAGUAAGUGGUCAAAGUGUAAGAUGAUAAAAUUGGAUAGCAAAUAACUAGAAAUUCCUAAUCAUUACUCAUAUUGCUGUUGCUGAAAAAUCUUUAUGAUACUGAAUUAACUACCUUCAUCACCAAACACAUGACCUACUUGUAAUAGACAUCAACCAUUCCUGCUGUGCCAGGAAGACAAACAAGCAGUGGCACCACUUUUUGACCAAAAUCGUAAUAUCUCCAUUGCUUUAUGCUAAUCUGGCAAAAAGAAAAAGACGUCAGUUCGGUAGCUAUGAAACAACGUAAUGCAUGGAAUUUUGCUAGAGCAAGCUGAGAAGUUGGGGCUCAAGGGUGGUCUAAGCAUGGGAACUUUAGCUUAGAGUACGAGGACAGCUAAGGUUCUUAUGAGGACUACAAUAGACAACAGAUAAGCUACAUGAAAAUUGACCAAAAGAGCAAAGUAGUACUCUUGACGAUUUGAAUUCGUGAAUGUCACAUGAAGCUACUUGAAGCAUCAAGUUUCAACAAACUGUCAAAACAAAAAGUUGUCAAACUAUCGAAUGUCCAUUAAUUUGUAAAAUUGGAAAUGUGUAAGAUGUCAAAUACUCUAUGGAACUUUAGGAAGGACAUGACAUGCUAUUGCAUAUCAUGGAAGCAAGCAUAUGUCGAAACCAUUGUAAGCUAUCGAACAUCCAGCAUUAGUCACUUGAUAUCUUUGCUGAACUUGAACCCAGAUAUGAUGUUAUAUGGUAUGUAUAUCAUUACCCUCAUUUUUCCAUUUGACAACUAUGAUUUAGUACAAAGUCACAUGGUAAGAAUAACUAAACUCUACAUCAUAUCAUUAUUGCAGAGAGGUCACUGCCAACACAAGAACGAUUCACAACCAGAGCUUUAUAGUCCAGUUGCAACAGCAUUAGAUCAGAACCUGACAUAAUCAAACAGAACACAAAAAAGGGGUUGAUUUGAGCAACCAAGUGGUCAGCAUCAAAUGGUUGAUUUGUGAACUUUCGAGAACAAAAAGAACAUAAUGUAGAGACAGAACAAUUCUUGCCAGAUUUAACCAUCUCACUGAAUUCAUUACUAUGUGAACACGCUCGGUUCUUGGGCGUAAUUUUUACUGCAAAGAAGAAACUUUGGAACUCAACCAGACUGAUCGAGCAAGAAGCAAAAAUGAACAGAAGAAUUUCCAUGUCACAAUUAGUAAACUAAACACAGCAAAACAAGAAUUGACCAAACUGAAAGGAAAAAAUGGAACCCAAAUGCCAACAUCCAGGCGCACGCACAAACAACACGAAACUAAUCCCACAAACAAACGCAGCAAUUCCAAGCUCAUGGGUUCACGGAACAUCCUAAACAUGACAUUGUCCUGUUUUAUAAUCAAGAGAUUGCCAAUCCUUUUGGCUAAGUGUAAAUGAAAAAAUGGCUAGCUUGUACACUCACAUAUAAAGAAAAUCAAGGAAUCUUGAAGUGGCAACCCAAGACAGUCCACAGAAACAAGAUAUGACCUACCAAAUCGAUGCUCAGAGAACGGAAACAACAUUCCAGAAAGCACACGCAUAAAAAAUGUUUAGGCUAGAGGAUCUACCCAAUAUUUUCGAUCCUUCCAACUAAAGAGCUACUCAACGGCAACUGAAGCGCCUCCUUCACGCCAUACUUCCUUUUAGCUUCCGUCUGUCGUCGAUGGUAAACAUUACAAGGCUCGCCUACCACUCUAUCACCAUAUCCUAGUAAAAUAACAAAAAGGUCGUCGAAGAACUAGCAAUUACAAGAAGUAAUGUUCAUUAAGGCAGGAAUUUGGAAUCUACUCACAUUCGGCUAGCAAUAAAUUGGACUAGAUCUCGCAGCUGAGCUGAGUCGCAACCACUUGCGGUGAGUCGGUGACAGCAAACAGAACCGACGUUCGGUGAGCUUGGGGUUUAGUUCUGGGUUGAAGCAACGUUCGGCGACCUCAAGCAACGUUGGGCACGACGCGGGCAAUGCUGGAUUCGGCAAGGAUCGGCAACAAGGACGUCGAGGCGGUAGUUGCUUCUGUCCUAGUUGCGGCGCGAAUAGCAGCAACUCGUCAUCGGGAGGCCGAGAUGCGGCGGCUCAUCGUUGAAGUCUGAACAGACGUGGCGUCGUCGAUGGCCAAACAGCGACGGUGGAGCAACAGCAGCGUCGGGUGGCGGCCCGGCAACAGCUUGUCGUUGGGAAGCCGGCAGCGCAACGGCGAGAGCCGGCGGCGUCGUCAAACGGAGCAGCAAUGGUGUCGACGGCAACAUCGUGGAUCAUGAUGGCGGCAUCGAGGGCGGCGAGCAGCGUCGGAUCAUCGUCGGGAACGUGGAGUGUUGCAAAGAGGAAAUGGAAAGAAAUGGAAAAGUGAAGAAUGAACAUUGAAGAAAAGGUUAGGGUUUUGGAGAGGGGGAAUCUCGGUUCCGGUUCCAACUCGACUGAGAACUGGAACCUAUUUCCUCAUGACCUCGGGUUCGGUUCCCCGGUUUCCGGUUCUACGCGGGAACCGUGCUCACCCUAGAUAUAAUAGUGGUCAUAAUUUAGGAUUUUAAGGUUGGAUUUUUUUUUUUUUUUCAUGAUCUAAUCCUCUUAAAAAUCACAGCUCCCCUAAAAAAAUCUUCUCUCCUAAAAAAAUCUUCAACUUUAGAUUUACAUCCUAAUUUUUCUUCGAACUUAAAAAAUUUCUAACUUUCACUUUAGCCUCAAAUCAGUUUCACAUCCCAAAAUCGCCACUAAUUUUUUCUUUAUGUCAUCAGUAUUGGGAGGUUCUUGUCAUUCCAUAUGAAGGUGAGGGUGUUUAAGAAGAUGUGAGUUUUGAUUGUAAACCUCUAACUAGCUCUGGUAUUGAAAAUUUCAAAGAAAAUAAUUACUUUUUUUGAACGCAGGGGCAAAUUUGGAACUAUAGUGAAAUUUUGUGAUUUUUUUUCAUAUAAAAGAAGUUUGGGCCAUAAUAAUUCAGGUUUUUCUAGAGAACUAACCUCGAAGUUUUGUCAUGUUCUUAUUAUGGCCCAAUUUUUUUUUUUUUUAUUUCAUAAGAAAACCACAUAUCAAUGUUACACAAAUCCAGUAGUUUUCAUCCAAUGAUGUUGUCCAAGAUUCGACCUGCCAAUUCAUGUGUACUUGGCAAAAUCUUAAUGAGGGUCAGAUGUGGGUGCCAAAUGAAAUUGGUAUUUUAUUAUGGGAUGGAAAAAAUUUGGACUAAAAUUAGGCCACAAUUUGAAGUUAAUGUCUUUUUAUGAGACAAAAUUUAUGGAUCAGGGCUUUAAUCCAAAGCCAACAUUUUUCUAUGAGAGAAAUAAUUGAGUCAACAUUGAGAUUCAAGGUAAAGUUGAUGCAUCUUGAAAUGAAUCACGCUUUAUGAAAGAACCUUUACGGAUUAUGGCCCAGAGACUUUCCCGAAUUCGGGGUCGACCCGUCCACUUCGUCCCGAGGCUUGACAAGACAACUUCAAUUUAAAGGGAUUAUUUGGUUGCUUCUAGUUGAUAUGGGACAAGAAUAGUGUAGGUAGAGAGAGUUAAUUAUGACUUAUGCAUUCCAUAUUUUAGGUGCAUAAUUACAUUUACUACAUAAGUACGUAUACACCAAGAAAUACAUGUUUAAACCACUUAGGAGCCACUUUAGUUGACUACUUACUAUGUUUUGCUUUUCAGCAGGUCGGAUUUCUUCUGACGUCAGCAAAGAGGGAAAUAUUUCCCUAAGCGGGAGGAAGAAGGGGUUCCUAAACCACAAUGAUCUGAUAAGUAUAUCAAGUCCUUAGGCAUAAAGUUAUCUUUUGCUGUAAAUUAUUUGUUGGGGGCAGAUUUAAUAUGACAAAGUAAAAUAGAUUAUGAGACGAGUAUCUUGACUCUUGCAGAAGAUAACUCUCUUUAUUUUCAAGAUUACUAUCAUUAAAAAUUUCGAAGUGGCAUUUCAUGACAUAUCUAUCCCAAAAGAGUUUUUGUUUCCCACAAAAUCUCAACUAUUCAUUCGAUUAACUAAAAGAAAACUUUAGUCUAGUAAUUCUUAGAUCAUCAUUGGAAAAACAAGAUUGCUUCCAUCAGCUCAAUCCUGGCAAUAGUUUCGGUUUAGCAUACUAAUACUGUGACCAGUGACCUCUAAAAUGGCGCAUCACUAGGCCACUCUUCUGUCAAUUUUGUUUCAUGAAGCAUUCUUUUAGCCUUCAAAAGAUUAAAUCAUAUUUUCAACUUCCUCUAAUUCAAUCCGGCGGUUUAUGUGUAUGACUAGACGAUAUUCUUAUAAUCAAAAUUUGGCCGAAAAAAAGAGAGAGUCACAAUUUGGCUGGUUUGGCCAUGUUUCUCCUUUCUGAAAUUUGAGCUUGUAACUGACAAAUAAAUUUCUAUCUAAUGAUUGAUGUUUCAACCGGGGUCCCAUGCUUGCAUUUAGAUGUGAGCAUAAUUUUAGGAUUGAGUUGGGAGUUAGAGAACUGGACCAAUCACCAAUUCAGUUCUAGGUUCCAAUGCGCCCUAGUCCGGUUCCAUUUUUUUAGGAACCGAUGGUUCUCGAGGGAACUGGGAACUGAGAAUCAAACCGAUAAUUGGGGAAUCGAGAAAAUCCUGAAGAGAGGCUUUUUACUUUUUCUAAUAAGAACUUAGAUGUGCUUAUAGAGGGGUUUAUACUAAUUUUAUUUGCAAUCAAUAACGAUCAAUGUGCGUGAGGUCGUUAGCAGUUGAAAUAAGGGUUACUCCUAGGAAGAGUUAUAAUUCUCUACUAAUAGUCACUUAUAAAGUUCUAAUAAAGGAAUUAGACCGAGACUUAACAUAAAAGGUUUUCAAAUAUUAGUAGCUAGAUAAAGCGGCAAUAAUGUCAAAUAUCGCACUAAUUUUUCAAGACCAUUAGAUCUAUUCUAGUUUCAUUUCCUGAAAACAGAAUAUAACAUUUGUGUCUUGUUGUAAUUCAUAUCAUUCUAUGUUGUUCAUAGACUGAAUAAAUUACCCUACGUAGCAUUAUCUAGUGGGAAUAUGCAAUGGCGAGUAUCAUACUAUCACAAAAUUUCACAUGGCAUUCAAUAUAUUCAAGGUACUUUUGUUGUACCCAUUAAAACAAAAUUGGAAUCCAUGGACCUUUUGCUCUAUAAGACCGUAAAUAUGGUGAUUAGUUUGGUCAUGAUCUUCAUUGGAUAUUGGCCAAAUCUUAUGUUAUCACAUGUUAACAUGUAUGUCGAUAAUCUAGAUUUUAAUUUCUUGAUUGGUUUAAUUAUAACACCUUCUACUUAUAUUCUAUUAUUGAUGUGUCUGUGCGAAAUUGACGUAUAUAGCAUGUCAAUGGAGGUGGAAGAAUGAGAGGCAAUGACUUUCAUUAUGUGUGAGGGAUGUCGAUGAUUGAUGACUAAAAUUCAAUAACUUAAGUUUCAUGUAAUGUGUUAUGAACUUUUUAUUAUUUAUUUUAUUUUAUACAUUCAUCUUUUAUAGAUUAUUUCUAUUGACAAAUGAAAAACUUUCAUUUUUGUUUUUGCAUUCACUAUCAUUUUGCUUCACUAAAACUGCCCAAAAAAAAAAAAAAAAAGAACAUGUUAGACCACAAAACCGACCUUAGAAUCUAUGACAAGAUAGGUAUAGGUUCCAGGGUAUACAGGAUAAGUUUUAUGUUUUAGAAAAUGGGGAACAUAUUUUAAUGGAUAGGUUCCAGAUUUAAAGUGGAAUCGGAACUGCUCAUCCCUACUUAAAUCUUCUCAUUUUGGGCAUUUUUUCAGUCCUAUGUGACCCAAGAAAAUCUUUUCUUGGGUACUCUCACUGUCAAAGAGACCAUAGCCUACACAGCUCAUCUGAGGCUUUCUUCUGAAAUGACGAAAGCCGAGAUCGACGAGGUGGUAGAAGCAAACAUAAAGGAGAUGGGACUUGGAGACUGCGCAGAGAACAAGAUUGGUAACUGGCACUUGAGGGGCAUAAGCAGUGGAGAAAAGAAAAGACUCAGCAUCAGUCUUGAAAUGGUGACAGACCCACUGAUCUUGCUCCUUGAUGAGCCUACCACAGGCUUAGACAGUGCCUCGGCUUUUUUCGUGGCAAGAGCUUUAAGAAAUAUUGCAGAUGAAGAAAGAAUAGUUAUUUGCUCAAUCCACCAGCCCAGCAGUGAAGUUUUCGAUCUUUUUUAUGAUUUACUCCUUCUGUCGAGUGGAGAAACUGUGUUUCUAGGAGAAGCCAAAAUGGCCAUUGAGGUAAUAAAGAGUCAACACUUCAUUCUUAUUCAGACAUUUAGGCUGUGCAGAAGCAAGAUAAUGUAAUUUUAAGUCCUGGUGCAGUUCUUUGCAGAUGCUGGAUUUGCUUGUCCGAGGAGUAGAAAUCCCGCUAAUCACUUUCUGCGGUGCAUUAGCUUGGACUUCGAUUCUGUAACUGCUACUAUUGCUUUCUCGUAGAAACUAUGUUGAGUUUUAAAUCGAGCACUUCUAUACUCUGCAUCAGUUCUUGUGAUAUGUAAAGUGACUUCCGAAUAUAAUUAUCAGGGCUUGCUAUUUUAUCUUGCAGCAAACUCCAGCAUCAUCUGGUUUUUCAAUGAACAUGAAAACAGCAGAGAUUAAAGCCACACUCAUCCAAAGUUACAAAUCCUCAAAGUAUUCAUGCAAAGUUAGGAAAAAAAUGCAAGGAAUUUCAGCUACUGUAAGCACUCCAACUCAGAAGAAAUAAAAAUCAAGAUAAUGCUUAUGCAGUCAUUUUUCUUGUCUUUACCGCUUACCAUAGUUAAUGAACAAUGUCUCCAACUGUGAUUUUUGAAACUAAUGGAGUUAUAUCCAUAUUGAAGUAGCAUUUUCCAGGACUGAUGUUUUCAAAACUGAGUCUCUUCUGUUGAAUGCUGAAGGAUUAUCAGGUCUGCCGGUUGAAUAAGAAUACUAAUUCCAGCAAGUGGAAGCAGCUCAGCGUUUUGACUCGUCGGUCCUUCAUCAACAUGUAUAGGGACAUUGGAUACUCCUGGUUGAGGAUCAUGCUCUACAUUUUAUCAUCAAUAAGUGCUGGAUCUCUAUAUUUUGACAUCGGAUACGACAAUGGGGCAAUUAUCAACAGAGGAAAGUUUGUUUCAUUCCUCUUCGGCCUCAUGGUAUGUUUGUCUUGUGGUGGUGUCCCUUUCUUCAAUGAAGAACUGAAGGUAUAGCAAAGCGUCGAGGCUGAUCGAUUUUCAUCUAUUAUAUAUCAGCAGUAUCUUCAUACUUGAGGUGAUAUUAGAAUGAUUUGUCACUAGGACUAGAAUUAAGUUUCCUCUUCAGGACAGACAAGCUCCACCAUGAUAGGUGUGAAGUUACAAGUUGAAGCCUAAGACGCUGUAAAUAACACAAAUCUAACUAGAGGACUUUUAGUUGAUGGCCUACUCCGACUCAUAGUCACAGAGGAAUGUGAGUAUUGCACAAUCAGUUGGAGAGAUUAAAGCUAAAUCAACUAAGUUUUUUCAAGGGAUGCUUAAGAUUAUUCAUAUGGGAUCGAUCUCAUCAUCAAAGCAAGAAUAUACAUUAAUUACCUAAAAAAGGAGAAAUCUCGGCAGCAUAUGACAUCCUUUUCUUAUCUAUCUCAGGUAUUUUAUGCCGAGAGAUUCAAUGGGCAUUAUGGCGAGAUCCUAUUUGUGCUUGCAAAUUUCCUUUCUUCACUCCCUUUCUCGGUGGCGAAUUCUCUGCUUUCAGGAACGACGAUAUUCUACAUGGUGAAGCUUCAUCCAGGAUUCUCUCAUUAUGGUUAUUUCUGCAUUAACUUCUUCUGCUGCACCACCAUUAUUGACAGUUGCAUGAUGGUUGUGAACUCAUGUGUCCCCAACGCCUCGAUGGCUGUAGUAACGUAAGCAAAUUUUCUCUCUUAAACAUCCCUUCUUGUAAUCCUUAUAGAUUACGUUGUCGUUCAUAGCUAAUUUUUGUGGAUUCAGGUUCUAAUGAUGAUGGCAUCACAGAUCUUUAGACUUCUCGCUGAUCUUCCCAAGUUCUUUUGGCGGUACCCUAUGUCCUACAUCAGUUUUGCCAAGUGGGCAGUUGAGGUAGUUAGUAUACAGCUUUUUUGAAAUCAAGCUUGAAAAUUUAUCAACAUAUUUAUGCAUAGAGCCAUGACAUGGAAGAUAUUCAUCUUCAGUUUCAAUAAUAUCGUCUGAUUAGUAAAACUCCACCAGGAGCAUGCGCUACUACUUGCAUUGCAUAUUUAAACUCAUUGAAGUAAAAAUUCUCAUCUUCCGCCUGAGGUACAUUUAUGAGAAGGAAAUGUCAAAACAACAGAAAUUAAGUAAGAUGCCUUCUAUUUUGAUGUGAAGAAAUGGGUUGAAUGGUCGACAGUUCCGCCACUCCCUUCUUCCUUUUCGGAUUGUUGACCCGCUCUUCCAUAUGCUAGAGGUUAUGUUAACCAAUGUAAUAAUGUAAUACUAUGAAGAUUCUGUUAUCAGUCUCUUUCAUAGAUUGAUCAGAACACUACAAGGCUUCACCACAUGUUUCACUCCGUCUCUUUACUCAAACUAACGCUUCAAAUGAACAGGCUUCUCAAGAACAGUUCUGCGACUAGCUAUGGCAGUCAACAAUACAAGCAUAUGAUUUGGAUCAGUGACUUUGAGUUCUCCCAAAUAUCUCAUGAAUUACAAGUCACUCAUACAAAUCAUUCACACACCUUGCAGGGUCAAUACAAGAAUGUCAUGACCGGUCUUGAGUUUGAUUCAGCAGAGCCAGGAGAACCAAAACUGGAAGGCGAGAUGAUCCUCAAAACAACUUUCAGCAUAUCACUGGAUCAUCCCAAGUGGUGGGAUGUAGCUGUGCUUCUGUUUCAACUGUUUGUUUACAAAGUACUACUCUUGUUAGUGCUUAGGUACAAGAAGAGAAUAGCACCUCAAUUACAGUCGUCGUCACAAGUGUUACUCAAGAAGGUGUCUUGACAGAUGAUUUCGGUGCCAAAUAGCAGCAAGCAUCCAUUAUAUUUCCAGAACAUACUUACUUUAUCGGCAACUAAUGCACCAUGGUUAUGUAAAUGAUGCAUAUGUCUCUAGUUGUCGCAAGUUCUAAAUGCAAUUCACCUUUUCACUUCAAUGUUAUGACUAAUUUGAUAUUGGUAUACGCAACGUGACAAAAUUUACACCUAAUUCUCGGCCUGAGGUCCACCCCUUCAUCUUUGUAAUUAAUGUAGAUUAUAAACCUCUUACAAAGCACAAAAUUUGGAGAUACGGCAUUGGACAGACGGCCCGUUUAGUGCCUCUCUCUCUCUCUCUCUCUCUCUCUCUCUGUGCUACAAGCUACUGCAAGAUUCGAUGUAGUGGUUAAUAAAGUACAUUGAUUACAAGCAAAACAUAUGUCACGCAAUGAGUUACAACUUAUAUUGAAAAUAAAGAUUAAGCAAUUCAAGGGUUGUACAAGAGUCAGAUAUAGCUUGCACUCAUUUACAAAAAGAUUAAAAAAAAAGAAAAAAAGAAAAGAGAAAGUGGGAGGUAAAGUGUACACUGUCUUUGAACAGCCUCUGUGUCCCCUUAUGGCGCACCAAACAAAAUCAUACCCAUGACCUCCAAAUCUAAUCCAUGGCUGUGAAGCAGACCCAGGUGGAAUAUUCAGAUCUCUCUUUUCCCCCAAAACCGAAGGGCCAAAUAUGUAAAAGCCAAGAAAGUGUACUUGUCCUCGAAUGCCCAACUUUUGAGGCGCCCAGGAUAAACAAAAUCAUCAUAACUUUAAGAUGCUUUGCAAGAAAAACCGGUAUCCUCAUCCUUCCUACUUAUUUCUUCUGUUUUUUCCGCACAGCAUUAUGGCCAUUGCGCGCUCUGGAUGCUUUAUGAUUUCUCAUUGAGGCUUCCAUGCUCAUGCUACCUUUUAGUUCCAUCUUUCUCUUUUCCCCACUUUUAAGUUUGUGAAAGGUCCUCUUCCUUUUCUUUCCAGAUUCGUUGGAUUGAAUCUUAGAAAAUUUCCCUGCAGCCAAAUCACCAUCCUUUUCAGAACCUUCUAAUCUGCCAUCAGCAGUAAGAGUAAGUUUCAUAUUCUCCUGAGUGGGGGGAGCCAUCUUUGUUCUUCAAUCUCCUUUUGUAUCCUCAUCCCUGGACAUCUUUCUGAUUUGCGGAAGCUUCCUUGUUCUCUAUCCCGCCUUCAUUUGAGGUUUUGUUUCACAGAUUCUAAAAGGUCAAACAUGCGAUCAUUUUACAAAACAAUAUUACGACCUCCAGAAAUCAUGCACUGCUAAAUAAUAUUUCUGUAGGAUACACAUCCAAGCGUUGUUGAAUUCAUUACCUCCAUAAUUGUCUUAAGAAAACCCUUGUACUUUUCUGGGGUAACAAGCUGAACAGCAGCAAAACCACACUUCCUAGUCAUUAUCUCAAGAAUGACUGUGACCUGCAUAUACAGUGAUAAUGGACAUUCAUUACCAGAUAGCAAAAAAGAGGCCCUUGGAAGGAUGUGUGCAUGGAAUUAUCACAAAAAAACUCAGCAAACUCCCAGUAAAUUUCACAUGCCUUUGAUCUGAAGUGAUGCCUGGAGACAGAUGACCAUGAAAUAACACCAUCAACAAUGUCUGAAAGUAAACUCUGAAGGUCUUCAUUUCGUAAGCAAGACACUACUACUUUCACAAAACCUAGAACAGCCUGCAAAAUGUGCAUGAAGUAACUCUCAAGCCAUGCCAAUUGGGGCAAGAAUCUACUUUGGUAAUGGUAUACUCAUUUUUAUCACUUCCACCGCUUUGCUUUGUAGCAGAGAAAGAACAGAAGGAAUAAGAUCAGGAAUUGAUAGACAGAUAUCUGUAUCCUUGUAAACUAGUACGGACAAUGCAGAAACAGCUCCACUUGUAAUUUGAGGUGAUGAACCAGAAAGAUAGUCCACUAUCUGAAAGCACGUUAUUUAGAAUCAAAACACUAUUACUUGAAUAAAAUUACAAUCCCGAGAAUUGCAAUUGUCCAGUAAUACAUCCAGUAAUACAUCACUGUUAAGAACUACAAGCAGAAAGGAAAAUUGCAGAUUAGGUUAGACAAUUUCUACAUAAGUAUGCUCUCCCGAUCAUCCGACAGAAAGUCCUGUAAGCAAAUAAAAUUCCCCGAUGGUCACAAGACACUUAAAGUGUUCAUCUGUGCAGUGCAUAUAAAACUUCUUUGGGCAACCAUUUACACGAGGAACCCAAGCUUUAAUAAUAACACAUAAGAAAGGGACUCCACUACCCCUUGAUUAACCAAUUUGGCUUCUUAAAAUUUCUCAAUUUUUCAUCGGAUGAAACAAAUGCAAAAUUUCGACUGAAUAGGCUUAGGGGCCACAAGGCAUCCACAAGAUACAGACCACAUGAUUUUAAAUUUUGCCACUUGUAUUUUGGUUCUUCGUUUUUCUACUGGUUAGAGGGCAUUAAUCAUCUUCUCCUCUGGCUGCAACUGCAAAGCCUAAUCCCUUGGCAGAAGCAGCUAGACAUGAAUAAAUGAAGGAAUAUGCCGUGACUCAACCAUACUGCAGCCACGAAAUUAGCUUUAUUCUUUUAGAAGAGAAAUAUGUUUUAAGGCCUCUGAAUCAAUUCGUAGCCAUACCAGGCUUACAAUCUUCAAAUACAAUGCACAUACUUAUAAAGAUUUUAACCAAUACCAGGAAGCAGUAUACACAAGACCAUGAGGACUUCAGUCCACUGUUUCCCAAUUUUGCAGGAACAACAACAUGGCAAAAGAAGAGGAAUUUAAAUAAACUACAUUCUCCUUCAACUUUUCCCCCAUCUAUGGAUGUUACGUGAGGCAGAGCAGAAACCAAUUAUUUACAACUCAAAAGCCCCUCCAGAUGACAACUUACAUAGGAUCUACCAUUGUAAAAUACGUACAUCAGACAAGAUAGAAGGAUCUACUUCAACCUCUUCCAUUGUUGUUACUUUCAACUGCCUAUGCCUCAUGUACCCAUUCUUUUAAAGUUCUAUUUUUGUUUUCCUUGCAUGUUCCUGAUGUUCUAGGAUGUAUGUAGUAUCAAACAUGUCUUAAAAUAUAAGCAGUAAUUUCCACCAAAGCUACCCAAAUAUGUCCCAUAAUGAGGAAUACCGUACCAUGUUAAUCAGUUUCUGACAAGGUUCAACUGAACUAACAGGUGAAAUGCUUCUCAAGCUGGAACUUAUGUUGAUGAGAACAUCAUAAGCUUCCUUCCUAGAUUCCUCCAUAGCCUGCAAAUUUCAUAUCACAACAGUGAUUAGUGCUGAAAGUAGAUCAUCACCCCCACACUGUAAAGGAGGUUCUUACAUCCUUUAAGACAAGUAUAAUCUCAUUGAGGAUGAAAAAAGCUUUUGAAUCUUCUUUCUCCUCCUCCUCCUCCUGCUGCUGCUGCUCCUCCACAGAACAGCAUAUGACAUCAACAAUAGAGGUGCUUAUAUUACUUAAUUUUGAGCUACAAUUGCAAAUACACCAUAACCAAAAGCUUAAGAAUCCGUUCACAAGUACAUAUAUGAUUCCUUCCAUGUUGAGACACGACCCAAAAGAAAAAAGAAGUUUUUGGCCUUAAAAGCGGAAAAGCCAUUCAUGACAUUCAAUAUUAUUUUAACGAAUUAAGGGAAGAUGGGUGAAUGAUGAUAGUAGGAUCAGGUUAUUAGAAAUUUAAAAAAUUGUGAGAUUGGCGAAAACUGAUCUGUUAGGUUCUUUAAGCAAAAUACCACUUACAUAAUCAGUUUCAAUUUUUUUAAUUUCCACAAAGUUCAAUAAAAACAAAAGGGUGAUGAAAUACUCCAUGCUUAGCUCUGUACAAGAACCUGUUAGCCAUCCAUACAUUUAGGAGUUUGGAAAAGUAAAAAAAGUUUAAGAGUCUUCAUAUUCACAAAUACAGGCACAUUAUACAGACGUUACACCUGCUGUGAGGGUGCAAUUCGAAUCUCCUCUAGGAAGGGAAAGGCCUGCUCUUAGAUCAAGUCUUAAUGUCAAAUUUCCAAAGGCAAACUUUAACUGAAGGAGAUCCAUGAAACAUUUUAAGAAAUUCCUUCAAGAUGGAGGGAAUUGCCCAAGUAGGAGGCCAUGCGAAUAUAUUGUGGGGCCAGAACAAAAAAUGAAAUAGUAUUUAAUUUAAGGAUUGUGAUAUAGCUGCUCACCUGCAGCAUACAAUCUAGGCAACAGAAAUAGAACAAACGCCAAACUCAAAGAACUGCUAAAAUAACUGUUCUAGCACAUCAAGAAUAUAAAACCAUGAAACACGAGGAGAAAUUUAUUAUGAAGAACAAAUACAAUUUCUUCUUGAAUAAAUGUUGUAUACUUUGCUUUUCAGUGGGACUAAUGUUGAGCUGUUUUCACAACACAGGAUUAAGACAUUUCUUAAAGGCUCAUUGCACUCUUAUUCCAAGACAACCAGCCCAGGACAUAGCUCAUAUUCAGUUUACGAGAAGAACAAGAAAUGGCUUCUAUUUACGUCAAAACGUGAUAUAUACACUAAAAAUGAAGGACAUAAAAUUCUGCAUUUUUUUCACAAGAAUAGUAGACACCAAACAUACAAAAGAAAACAAGUACUGCAUUGCCACAAGAAACAUUCUGACCUUUAAUGCAUGAACUAUCAGAACAUGGAAAAAGGCAAAGCGGCUUCUCAGAGUUGCAAUAUCAGAUGGAGUCCUUAGGUCAAUUAGUAAAUCAAUCAACUGCAAAUAUUUAGAUGAACAAAACCAGGGAUGCACCUGCAUAAUAGAAAUGACAGAAAAACAAUCACUUCCAGUAAGAAUAUAUCUUGAAUGGAGAUAGCACACAAACAUACAUCCAAAAUUUUGCUCAAAGCAUUAUAGGCUUCAGCAUGGCCAUUGUCAUUGCUUUCCUUGUGGAAGAAAAUUCAUGAAUGAUUUAGGCUAUAGAAAUCACUAAACUCAUCCAUUAAAUCAAGAAAACAAAGCUACUAUUCUUAAAGUCAAUGCACACCUGAAAAGUGUCUUUAACAAAGCUAAACACCAAAUCAAUGAGAUCCUUCUGUGCUCCUUCAAUAAGAAAUAAGGAUAUCUCCAGUAACAAGCACCUGGGUGAAACUGCAUUCUCUUAGUACUAUAACAGGAGUGCAUUCAUCACUCUGUAUGAAGGGGUGUGAGGGUGUUCUUUCUUUUCUUCAUAUGAAGGGGUGUGAGGGUGUUCUUUCUUUUCUUCAUACUUUUUUUUUUUUCCGGGGGGGACCUUGCAUAGAACAUGACAGGAGUGGAUUUAUUAUUGGAUGCAUCCUCAUGAUGUUACUGUACUUGCAUAGAACAUGACAGAUGACAAAAUGUCAUCAAGAAGAGGAAACAGCAGUGCCCAAUUUCCAUAACAUGGUAGCUCAAAACUCUGGUAGCAGAAUAUAGAAUCUAUGCAUACAGACGCAACCUAGAAAUCUCUGCAAUUGCUAACAGUAGAAAAAAGUUCUGGAUGCUCACAAAUAGAGUUGGUCUGUCGAUAAUCAGACAUCUGUUACAAUGAAUUGUCAAAUGUGACCUAAAGGACUCCCCCUUUAUCAAGUGUAUCAUCAGCAGUCAAGUGUAUAUGCGUAUGUGAACAUAUAUGAAUCUUUCAUUUUAAUCAUUAAUAUAGCUUGCUAACAAUUCUAUUCACAAGCAUUCUCUCUCCAUUACCUUUUAGCAUUUACAUCAAUGGCAUGCUCAUUUCCUAGUUCUUUGUCCAUUGAUGCAUCCAUUUCUUUUUUUCCCUGUCGAACUCAUCUCUCUUAUUUAGAAUGCCAAAUCUUUUGAGAAAUGACACAAAAAUUUCUCUGGUUGCAGAAGAAUCUGUGAUAGAAGCUAAGCAACCAAUAGGAUCCUGAGAAAUCAAAACUGAGCGUGAUAAUAUAACUCAUAUUAUGUAUGUCAAUUACUAAGCAAUGGGAAAAGUAAAAGGUAAUCCGUGAGCAUUGACUGAAUAUAUAUAUCUCAGAGUUAAAGUUCUUUAAGACGGCUACUCAAUACAGCUUCCUUUUGCUAAUUCAGUGCUAUCCACAGGACUCAAUCCUCUCUUUCGAAAAAUUCAUUUGCAAAAUUAUUGAACGCUUUAUAGCGCCCAGAAGUUUGAUCCAAUUAACAAAGCAUCCACAAAGUUCUAUAACUCACAUGCAUGACGAUCCCUUCCACAAUGACCAACCUAAUCUAUCUGACCGACUCUAGUACUUUAAAGUAUUUUGGUGUUCCAUGGUGAGUUCAGGGAGGGUAGACACUUGGUACACAACAUUGAUGCCACUUCACUUCUCAUAACUUUAAUUCUUUUUAACUUUUCCUUUGAGGUUUUCUAAUAACAAGUACGUGAUCCAUUGUUUCAAUGCCAACCCAACCUCAACAUAACUUUGACUUUUUUUAUUCCUUUUAUUUUUUUUUGGUCCAUUUCUAAAGAAUAAUUUGUUGUCAAUAAGAAUAUAAUAAAAAACCAUAAAAAUUCUAGCUUAUGCAUGGCUAUCAUGCUUCUAACAUAUGUUUUUUGGUAGGAAUGCUUCUAACAUAUGUUUCUACCACACAAAAGCAAUACCAUUAUUUUCCUUCACCAUUUUACAUUAAAAUAUAAAAUUACGACCAACAAAUAUAGAAAAAUAACUAAUCAAGUAAAAUUAUAUUAUCUAAUCCAAAUUUUAAUGAUAUGAACUUGUUUUUGCACAUGUUAACACAAAUUUCAACUUGCUUAUAAUAUUUUACAAAUUUAAAAGGAAAGGACAUGAAAAAGUUCAAGUUGAAUUUUAAAUUGAUAGUCAAAAUUAUAUUUUCUCAAAUCAGUUCAACUAUAGCUUCCUGAAGUGACAGGACCACAUGUCCUAUAGAAUCACCCUAAUUUAUCAUGCCAAAAAAAGUUGCAUUAUUUCAAACCUACUGGGCCAAUUCUCCACCUAAUGCUUUUCUCCAUAUACAUAAUUUUUCAUCUGAAGAUUCGAUAUUGUCAAUGGCAUGAGAAAAGGAUAGACAAUCAUGCCGAGUAGAGGAUCCCAAGUAAGUUGUAUAAUUUUAGGAUCACUGCAUCUUGAAUUCACACUUCAUUCUAGGGAGUCAAAAGUAUAUAACUAUUCCGACAGUGAAGGUUUUUCUCUUAAUUUUUUAAAAGCUGCUGUUGUCUGGUGGGGCACACUUGGGAACUAUUCUCUCAUGCAAAGCAGGGAUGGAACAAUAUUUUUCCCAUAGGGCAGGGAAUGGGAACAAAAUUCCUGGCCUGCUCCUCCCAAUGGCAACCACUAGUGCGUGCAAUUCAAACAGUGCCUUAAAUGAUGCAAUCAGAAGUAUUAAUUGUACUUAAGGAAAAAUUACAAGUCAAAAGGGCAGGAGGGGGGGGGGGGGGGGAAAAACACAACAGAAACUUCCAGCUAGAAUCCCAAAAUGUUUUAAGCUUCCAUAGGAUAUCAAAUAGCACAUAAUGACCUAAUAUAUGUCAAUGUAGCCAACCCCAUCUACGUGAACUGUCUCCACAAUACUUUCUAAAGCACUUAUAAGAAUGAUGCGGCCUCACUAGGAAGGAGAUUAGGCAGGUCUGAAUCUGACCAACCCAACAAUCAAAUUUAGCAUGUCAACUGCCUCGUACUAAACAGAAACCUUUGAAUUCCUCUAUACUUCUUCCAGCAAUUAACAUUGACAGAAAGAGCUCCUACUAGUUAUACUAUUUUCAAUCUGGACAGGACUGAGGAGGGAGAUGGAGCUUGGAUUAUCAUAGAGUAUUAGUAUCCUAUUAUUAUCUUAUAGUGCACAUGAGUCCUAUUAGCAUCUUUGAGAUGAGGCAUAUGCCUAAAAAAUUGGAGAAAAAGUUCAGACAACCAAAGUAAGUGGAAAAUUAUGAAUAUGAAAGGGGAGAGGAGAAAACAAUUGUGCAAUAACUAUUACGAAAUUUAGUAUAGAGCCAAAAAAGACUUUAGUGAUUGAGGGAGAACCUUCAAGUAUGACCUUGUCACAGGAAUGGAAUCGACAAAUAAGUCCAAUAAAAGUUGAAGCAACUCAGUAGAGCAUGAACUUAAAGCCUUGAUAUUUCUGCUUGUAGUUUUCUUUGAGUAAAUCAGUAGAGUUUGCAAUUCUAAUCCGGAUGCUUGCACAUUGCAGGUGUCUAAAUAUUUAACUACUCUAAAGCUGAGUACACUUGUAUUCUGAUUCACAAGGAUCAGCAGAAUUAGAACAGUACUAUCAGGAGAUAUGAAAAUGGUAUAACAACCUCUUCCCAGCUAAAGAACAAGUGUGAGCCAAAUGUCACCAAUGUGGCAAGAAGAUCACCUUUAAAGCAAGAGCCACACUUUCAUGCAUAAAAGAAUAUUUUUUAAGAAAAUCAGUCAAUAAUACUGCCAAACGUCUAAACUGUUUUGUCUGUGUCACUUGAACCCCAGCAAAAGGCCGGUAACAGUUUCCAAAGGUCAUGAGCAUGACCCAGCAGCUCCUUACCAAGUACUGAUUUCUUAACUGGAGAAAAGAUAAACAGAAGCACAAUCAAAUCCCCGAUGUCACUAAAAUGUUAAUGAUGAACUGAACAAUUGAUAUCUACGUGAGCGCCAACUGUACCACGUAGGAUGGCCAGUGUGCACAAUUGAUAUUCAUAUCAACAAUUUUCUAUCAAAAUUAGCCAGUGAAUUUAAUUGGCAAAAUUUGAAAAUAUUUAGGACUCAAUUGAUAUAGUUGAAAAGUUUAUGAUUAAAUUGACACCGGUGCUAUAUAUAUAGACACACGCACAACUGUCUUUGUGUUUGGCUCCUAGAGAAGUCCAAUAAUUUUUAAACUCAAAUAUUUAAAAAAUUAUAAAAAUAUUAUAUGAGAACUAUUGUGGCAAAUGAAAUUUCAAGUGCUUGUAAUUUUUUUUGAAAGUCCAAUUAUGUGCGUAAAUAUUGAAAGAAACUUUUAACUAUUUAAAUAGUCAUCGUCGAAAGAGGCUGAAAUUUUCCAAUUACAGGAUGAGUCAUGGAAUCGUAGCGAGGAGGGGUUUUGUACUUUGACUUUGCUUUGGCCUAACAUGGCCUCUUUUAUCUCAGUUACAUGUUAUAAACGUGGACACCAACCGCAGAAAAAUCAAGGCACAUAAAACAAAAGUUGACUUAGACCAAACAAUAAUGGUUCCACGGACCACGUCAUGCACAAGACCUAAGCAAAACAUAAUCUUCUAUGCAUGUCUAAUCAGAUUAAUGUCGAGUCGUUGAGGGUUGUUUUAAUACCGUCAAUCAACGCAGUUAUAUUCAACACGCAAGUUUCAGAGCUUUGAAAAUUCCAGGUUAACUUUAAGUAAUGGAUUCUAAGCAUGGAAUCUCGUCACUUACCUUGAAAUCUUCCUUGACUACAAGAAACCAUGUAGAUUGGAACAAUUUUCCAUUGUAUGUUUCAAUACUCUUGAAAUUUCGAAAGCUAUUAUAUUUUUAACAAUUUUCGACCGUCAUCAAUUUGUAACCAUUUUUAUCUGCCAUUACUUUAUUACAAUUUUAUACUUCUAACGGGGUUGGAGUAAAUCUCUUAAUUAGACAAAUAAGAAAAUAGUCAAAUCUCAAUCACCUCUCCUUUCGAGCUUCUAAUUAAAGAUAAGAGAUUUCUCAAGCCCUAAUUAGUCAACUGGACUAUUAGAGAUAUAUUUAAAAUAUUAUAUGAUUCUAUAUAUUAUUAUAUGGUUCUAUAUAUUUCCUUUGAUUGGUCUUGAUUUGUUACUUUAGAUAGUUAUUAUAUAAAGCCUAUAAAUUAGCUCGUGUAUAUCUUUAUUUGAUGUUCUACAUAAUAUUACAUCUUUCAGUCAUUAUGAUUCUCAACUUGGAUGAAAAAAAAUCAACUCCUCAAAAGUAGAACCUCGUCAGUUUACUUGCCUAGCCGCCCAAAACGUUAUUAGUAGACUACACUAUGACAUCACUUCCCUAAAGGUGAUUCGAUUUUUGACCUUUUAAUUACUGUUUUUUUGGUCGAAAACCUAUUAAUUGCACCUUUUUAUUACUGUUGGCGCGGUGAUUUUUGAACUCGACAAGGAUUGCCCAGUCAACCAUGCAACGAGGGGACAAUUUCUACAAUGAGAAACACGCACGCAUGCACUGACUAUGGGAGUCUUCGGAGACAAUUAUUUGUUCCUGCCGACACUAAGGACCCGACCUCCAUGAUUUGGCAAUUUGCUUUUGCAUUCAUAAUCUGGAACGCGGAAUUUAUGCUAAAGAGCUUCUUUGAAUUUUCGAUGUCCCUCUUUUCUUUUUGUGAUAGAAAACUUUCCACGUGGAUGUUUUAUCGUGUUCAAAAGAAAUGUCAACCUUUCAGAUCUACAUCAUGUUUCCAUGAAAGUCUUUACACAUUGCAUUGCGAAGGUGUGUUGAAGAUCCCCAUUCAACCAGCGAAUGCGUCAAAUGCGGGAAAAUUAUCAUAUUAGGUAGAUAGAAUAUGAUUUUCGGCAUAUAAAUAAUAUGAGUCGAAACGUAUACUAUGACCCAUCUUAAAUUUUGAGACCCAUGUUCUCCCUUAAGUCUAAUCAUGGAAACCCAUGACCCACAUGUAUUUAAAUUCUCUAUUCCUUUGUUUUCCAAUUUGAUUUACAUGUUUCUGAUCUUGAUAUUUUCUAACUUUAUUUUGAUCUUAAGUGCACAUGCCAUCACCUUAUGAGAGGAGCACGGAUUAAAAGCAAUGUGAAUAGAUGAGAUCCGCCACUUAUUUAAAAAAGAAAAAUCAUUUUUUUGCUUUGUCAAUUUCUUGACAUUAACUCCUUUCCAAUCUCUAAACCUUCCAAUGUCCUAUUAAAAAGUCUAAAUCAUUCAAUGCUUUUCCACAGUGAUAUUGAAAGCCUAUCCCUUUCUCGAGUCAUGGAAAAAUUACCUCUAUAGCUUGCCACCUAUUUUAUCUUAAAUUAAAAUUUAAGUUCAUUUUUUCAUAGUGACACACAAUUAUUAAACCGAUGAUAGUUAUAAAAUUGACAAUAAAAACCUUUCCAAAUAUCACUAUUUAAAUAAAUUUUCACUAACGAUUACAUCUAUAGUCAUAAAUCAAACCUAAACCUAAGUGAUUUAAGAAAUAUAGCUAGAUGGAAAAAUAAAUAAUCUUACCUUAUAGUGAUGGCCCGCUCAUUGAACGCGGUCCAAUUUGCAUUCUCAGACCCAAUCAAGUUGCAAAAGCUAACCAACGAUCAACGUCAACUCGGUAUGGACUUCACUUAGUUCCCAAAAUUCAGUCCCUUGCAUUGCAUAAAACGAACCAUUUUUACUAAAUUUUUAUUGCAGAGUUGAGAGAGAGAGAGAAAAGGAAUGGCAUGACAUUGAACUGUUAGAUUCUAUUAAUUAAUUCGAUAAUAAAGUUAAAAAAGUAACUACUGGAAGUAAUGGUCCACCGAGAUACAGGUACUUGUCGGAUUCCACUUAAAGCAGCCCUUCUUUUUCGUUCUUUUUCGAUUAGUUACUUAGAGUGCGUUUGGUAACGCUUUUGUUUCCAGGAAUAAUUUUUUAUCAAAAAUAAAUUAUUUUUUUUGUUCUUCAGAACAAUUUCUAAAUAUAAGAACGCACUUGAUAACUGCACAAAAUUUAUAUUUCUGGGAAAGAAAUGUGUUUGGUAAAAUUGUAUAAUUUUGUUGUUUCUUUUAAUUUUUUAAUAUUUUUAUUAUAAUUUUUCUUCUUUUCUUCUCUCUUUUUUCUUUUUUUGUCUCUCUCCUUCUUCCUCUUUUGUGGCCGGUUGCCAGUGACUAGGUUGGCGAGGUCCGACGAGCUCACCGAAGCCUUCUCGGGCCAAGGCGGGAGUUGGCGAGCUCGCCGGAGGCUUGCCUAACCCCCGCAAGGCUCAGCCUCGCUAAAUUUAGGCGAGGCCGAGCCUCAUCGGUGGCCUCCGAGCAUCACAAGGCUCGACCUUGCCCAGGCAGUGCGAGGUUGGCCUUACCUAGCCUAGGCGAGGCCGAGCCUUGCCAUCCCUCGCCUAGCCAUGGCAAGGCUCGAGUUGACGAGCCUCGCUGUGGCUCGGCAUUUCCAGGGGCCAACAACAUUCCGGCAAGGUCGCCGGCCCUCAUCUAAUCGGUUGCCGAUGCCAGCCAUGGCCAAGGCCAACGACCAGCCAAAAGGAAGAAGAAGAAGAAGAAGGAAAAAAAAAAGCAAAGAGAGAAAUAUAUUCUAGAAAUUGUUCUUGGAAAUAAGAAAUUACUUUUAUCUACUUCUCAUUUCUGUUCCAAAUCUAUUCUCGAAAACAAAAAUUUUACCAAACAAGUUUCUAUUCUUUUUUCGUUCCCCCAAACAAAAGAACAAAAAUAGUUGUUCUAGGAAAUAGAAACAGAUUUUAACAAACAGCUCUUAGGAUGCAAGAUUUGGUUUUCAAUUUUAGUGGAAGUCUGUUGGUUUAGAAAUCAGGAUUUACGAAGUUGCAGCAGAUCCGCUGUUUUGCUUUGCUGGGUUGUAAUUGUAAUAGGUGCAACGAAUCACCCACCUUUGAAGUGGACACUUCAAUUUUCGUUGUGGGAUGUUAAGUGUCAACUUCAUCCAUAUUCACUCGGCCCCCACCUCUCAAAUCUCAGGCGGAGCAGACGAACCCAUUAAGCUUUCGGUUUCGGUUUCAACUUGUUUGAUUCUUUUGACAUUAACCAAAGGUUGUUUUGGGCUUUGACUCAUAAUAUAGAACCAUUGAUGGAAUGGAAGUAGUCCGCUGAUGAGGUACGAUGAGGUAGUAAUCCAACAUUUGCAAGAAACAGUGACUAGACAUGCAAGUUUCUCCAGAGAAAUGUUGCGGGUAGACAUACAAGUUUCUCUUUCAUCAUUUCUCAAAGAUGGGAAAGAUGAAAUUGGCCGACCAUCAUCCACACUAAAGACAAAAAAUUGGCAUCUGCUAAGAGAAAUUCUUGAGUAGCAACAUAUAACAGGCCGAGCUCAUGAACAAAACACAUCCAGAGCAAGAAGGUGCCACUUCGCACAUCUCGCCAUUGAAACAAAUGAAAUGCUUCCAUAAUAGAUUCCCUCCUUGCAGUGGCCAACACAUCGUUAUUGUGUGAAGAGGAAGAAGUUGCAACAUUGUUGCUCUUUGAAUAACAAAUGGAAAGAGAUAGCACGAAUACAAACACCAAACUACAAGCCCUUGUCUUUAGGCUUUCCCCACUAAUUAGUUCACAAUACCCAAUUACUGCACUGCAUAACACUCGUUUUGUUUAUAUUACCUAUACCUUCAGUUCCAAAUGUAAGCAAAAGAGAAACUUCGAAGCAACAUUUAAGAGUUCUGCUGCAAGGAUUACCCAAUGAAGCCCUAGUUCUUUCAAUAACUAAUUUACUUAGAACACAACAAACCAUUUCUUACUCUCUCUCUUGUGCCAGUAAUCAGUAUCCAGAAGUACCGGCAGAUGCAGACAAAGUGGUUCCAGUCCAUGGCCCUUCAAUAGACAUACUCUUGCUGAUAUUCUCACCAACUGCCUGAUGUUCGUCACCUCUAAAAUGCUUCUUCAUGGCCUCAAUUUUCUCCUGAGUCAUGAUAGUGCCCGCAGAGUCCAGCACUGGAACAGCAACCUUGCCUUCAAGCAUGCUAACCACAGAUGACAUUGGCGGCCUGAGUGCUGGAGUUACAUUAGUACACAUCAAAGCUACCUUUAUCAAUGCCAAUGCCUCCUCUUUGUUAAAGUGAGAACCAAGCCUCGGAUCAACUAGUUCUAUCAAAUUCUCUCCCUCCUUCAGAAAGUGUGCCUAGAUACAGAAAUGUAAAGUGAAGGCAUUUCCCUUUCAAGCUUCAGGUAUUGAUCAGUUGCAAAAUAUGCUCUAAAUACUGAAACAGGAAGAAGUAUAUUAUCUCCCUUGAUAAUUACACGGCAAAUGCAGUUGAUAAGCACCUGCUAGUUCUAGGGUAUAAAUGGAUAAAAAGAAUCGAAUGAGUCAAUACAGAUCCAACAUGAUUUUUUUUACCGAUUUUAAAUAAAAGAUACUAGACUACAACAUCACUUACUAAUAGUUGACCGGUUGCCAAGAAAUCACCUACACCGUUUAAAAAUCGCCAGCUAUUGUCGAGUUUUAUCAGCACAAAUUAUUUGCCAGUGUCAUUACAUGAAACGGCAGACUUGUCUUUCAAUGUUCUUGAUUAUGCAACUCAGGCGACAAUCAGAUUUAACAAGGACUAAUAAUGAUGGUUUGCUCUAAUGAUUGCUCACUCAAAGCAAAACAAAAUCUAACUUAAGGAGUCAAUCAUAUGAAUGUGAAAAAAGUUAUACCUCAAUCGAAAGUAUAUGGAUAUUCUGGUCAAGACAUGGUCUUGAAAACUUUUUAAUUUAACAGUAAUUGCCAAAAUUCAAUAGUAGUCGAAGGACUUGUUUGGCGCUAAUGAAACUACAGGGAGUAUGAAUGUCAAGCAUAAAAACAUAAAGACUAAAACUGAACUUUCAAGAUCCAUCCUAAAUUAUGGGGUCAACUUCCCCAAAUUUCAAGGGAUAGAAUUUUCUUCAUUCCAAAAAAAAGAAAAAAAAAAGAAUCUACAUGAAAAUUCAGAGUAGACCAACAUGAUAAGAAGAAUUGGAUUAAUUUGCAAUAACAAAUUGCACUUAACAGCAUGACAAUUUGUUAAGCAAGUUUCAAUAGCUGUUAACUGUGAAACUCCUUUGCAACCAUUGAAAGUGCAUGUGAGGAUUUAAAUACGGAUAUGAUCAUAAUUGAAAUGAUAGAGUUGAUUACCCAAUCGAGUAGAUUAAAGCAUUCCUCAGUUCUUUGGGAGCUAGUGUUGCUUCGGCCAUUAACAACUUCUAAGGCAACAACGCCAAAACUAUAGAUGUCGGCUUUGUCAGUGAGAUAACCAUGCAUUGCAUACUCCGGUGCCAUAUAUCCACUGCACAACAAGAAAAGAGCUUGUGUUUGCAACAAGGUAACUGCCUUAAAUAGCACAUACUUAAUAUUCCUAAAAUUCAAAAGAAAGAGUCGUUCCUAAAUGUGACGCUAUGGUCUAAAGAGUAGAGGAAAUAAACAAAUGCAUCCUAAUAUAUUCAAAUAUAUCAUUUACCGAGAAUAUUUCAGGAAAUAAAAAAGAUCAUUGUUGUUCUUUAUAAACUUUUUUUUUGGUUUGAAAUAUAAGUAUCAUUUAUAAGAUGACGUACAUGAGUUUAAGGGCAUUUCCCAGCAUUACAAAGAUAUCUAAGAACAUGCAAAAAUGGAGUGAGGGAAUCUCCAUAUAGUACCCAAUAUUACAUUUAUUUGGGAAGGCCUAAAGUUUUUGUAAUGUGAAGCUCGCCCUAUAACAAGUUUACGAAUUUUAGCCACGAUGAUGGGGACAUCAUUUGACUUGUUUUGGAAAUGUCGAUAGUUACAUUUAUAGUUCUUUUUGUAGAAUGAACGUUAGAGUUAGUAGAAUGAACUUACAAUUUUAUCUUUUCCCUAAUUAAUCACAUUCCUUUCAAAAACAAGUUGACUUUUCACACGCAUUAAUGCAAACAUCUAAAACAUGUGAACAUGCUUAUCUAUGUUUUUCCAUGUGCAUACAAUAGAAACAUGGGCGAAUUUGCUAUAAUACUAAGUUAUAUUCAAAUUAACAAUUACAUAAGUCAAUAUCAGAGUAUCAUUACUUAAUGGUAGAGUAUGACACAAUUUACAUUUUUUUCCUAAUUAAUGUAAAGAGUGGUGGGACAGUCAUAAAGCUUUGUGGUUAAGCUGAAUUUGUUGAGCACCAUGCUUUGGGAUGAUGUGAAUCCACCACAAAGCUCCAUUCAACUCACUUUUCUUAAAUCAGAAUAUAUGUUUCUAUUCCAUGCUUUUAUGUUGUCACUGGCUCCUACUUAGGUUAACAGGAACAAAAAGCAAGAAACUUACUAAGUUCCAGCAAUCUUGGUGCUAAUAUGUGUUUUUUCCUCCUCAUCAAGCUUUGCUAAACCAAAAUCCGAUAUUUUAGGGUUGAGAUCCUUAUCCAGUAAAACAUUAGUAGCCUUAAUGUCUCUAUGCACAAUCUUCAGCCUUGACUCUUCAUGAAGAUAUGCCAAUCCCCUGGCAAUACCCACGCAUAUCUUGUGUCUUGUCCACCAAUCCAACUUUAACUGAAAUUCUUCAGGACCUUCAAUUGUAUCAGAAGACAUCAAAGCUGCUUUACUGCCAUGUCAUUAACUGAAGUCAAUGAAGCACAAUGUGAUAUCAAAUUACCAAAUAAAGCGCGAGCAAGACUGUUAUUUUCCAUGUACUCGUAAACCAGCAAAAGUUGAUUUCCUUCAAUGCAGCAUCCAUAGAGUUUCACAAGAUGUGGAUGCUGAAGAGCAGAAAUCGUCCCAAUCUCAGUCAGGAACUCAUUAUUUCCUUGUUGUGAUUUGGAUGAAAGCUGCUUCACUGCUAUAGUGGUGCCAUCUGACAGAAAACCCUGCAAUUCAACUUUGGCAUCAGAUCUAUGUUGUGAAAAUUGAGUUACAUUGAAUGCUGCUUUCUACAUAUCUUCUCUCUUGGGAAUUGGGGGAAUUUGGUUAGUCAAUUUUCCAGCAUACCUUGUAUACAGAACCAAAACCACCUUCUCCUAUCUUAUUGGCAGCGUCAAAAUUGUUUGUGGCAGCUUUAAUCUGUCGCAAGGUAAAUAAACCAAUUUGCGACGCUAGACCCUUCAAAUCUGCAACACGUUUCAGAACUUCUAUGAAUUUGGAAAAGUCAACAGUUAAAGUAUGUAAUCCACUAUCUAACAAAGAUGUAUCAAUUCCUUCUCAAUAUUCCAGAAAACCUUUUUGUGACGUUUUGGUCUGAGCAAGUUCAGUACAGAAUAGCUUAGCAUCUUGAAAAUUAUUUUCUAGGAAAGUCUGGCAUCAGUUGGCAGUAUGUAUUUUUGAAAAGUAAAAUGAGAUUGUCCCUAGGGUAUUUAAUAGUGAAGGAAAAUAAAAAUCAUACAGAGAACCCCCUUGGAAACAUAGGGUAUGGUUUGCAUGUUUUUAACUUCUCAUGCACGUGAAGUUCUGGCAGCUAUUUUUGGUGUCUUAAAACGUAGACUUUGUGUAUACACACACACACACACAUCUGAGAAACAAUCUACUGUCUCUCCCUAUAACUAUCUAUUCCUUCAUUUUUCGGAUUUCUAAAUAAAAAUUUAGUUUGUUAAGCAAACCAACUGGUUCUAUGACACUUUAGCUGUAUAUCGCCUAAUAAUAAUCUUUGGCUUUUUGCAUCGAGCCAAAUUCCCUAUGGAAUGCACAAAUGUCAUGCAUCAACAGUUUUAUGGGAACUGUAAAUCUAGAUGGAGCAUUAAUGAUCCAUUGUCAUUACACUUUCCCCAACCAGGAAAGUAAGAAGAAGAAGAAAAAGAAGUAUCAUGUGCCAACAGUGUGACAGGACAACUGUGCGAUUUAGCUGAAAUAUAAAUGAAGCAAUGUGACUAUCCUCCCUCUCCACCAGAAUAUGGAAGGGGGAAAAUGUAUUCAGAGUGCAUAACAUUCUCAUAUUUCUUGACAAAUACACAUGGACUAAAUAGCGGAGAUUCCAGGUAAGCAACUACCUUGUGCCAUUUUAUCUUUACGUCCAAGGCAUCCUCUCCACCAAAGGAUAACCAGGAUAAGGAAAACUACAAAAACUAUAGCAGUCAGAAUCCCAGCCACUGUGCCAGCAGAUAUGCUGGCCGGGGGAUCAAAGCCUGUAAUGAAGAAAGAACAAACAAAUAUUUAACCAAAACUGUUAAAUGGGGUAGACGUAAAUGCAGAAAAAUAUCUGUAACUUCUUGUUGAACACAAAGAAAUUGAUGGAGAACACAAUAAUUGAGAAUUAAGAGGACAUAAAACCGCCCAGAGUACUCCACAGAAACUAUCAGAUAAAUGAGCACAGGAAGAUAUCAUCUAUGGAACAUGUAAUACAAAAUACAAAGGGAAAAAAAAAAACAAAAACAAAAAAAAAUUCUACUCUUCAUUCUCAAGGCUGUACUGUAUUAUACAGGCACAGUGGUUGUAAUCCAUAGCAGAAAAGUGAACAAGGCUAUCAAUUCGUAGUCAAAUGGAAGGAUUAAAGAUACAUAGAGAAAACAUGCUCAGAUAGAAAGAACACAAAGCAACCUAUAACCAAUUUUCAACUCUAAGAGAAUAAUAAUAGACCCUGGUCAGCUAUUGUGUGUAAUUGACUUGAUCUACAAAGACAUAUGCCAAUGGCCUGAAUCCAACAGUAGGCAUUUGCAACCAAACCAAGUAACUGAAUAGCCUAUUGAUGACUUCUGGUGCAAGAAAAAAUAUAGGUAUUCCUUUCAACAUGAAUAAGAGUAACUUUCUCAACAGAGAAGCACCAAGCGAAACAUGGAUGUAUCCAUCUGCGUACCAGGGUAGACGGAGAUAGCAGAUAUAAGAGGACCAUAGACUCCUACGUCAGGUAUAGCAGUGGUUCCUUUCCCAGCCCAAUAGAAGCGUAUCUCCAGAGUGCCCUUGGUCACGAUGGCAGCAAAAUUUCUCAUGACCUCCUUUCCAACUCCACCUGCUUCACUCUCAAUGUUGAAAUCUUUCCAAACCAAUUUCCCCUGA